AGCCAUGUUCGACCGCAAGUUUCCAUCUUGAUACCCACGGGUACAUGUCGGUCUUCGGGACAAUGAAGACUUGGAUCUUUGACCACCGCGACAAGGACCCGAUCGAUUUAGCGGAAUACGGGAACCCAAAGCUCACUGUUCAAGACCUCAAGAACAAGCCUCUUCACUGGUUCAUACCUCUCCUAAUGGGCGAGGGGACUGCAAGCACCAAUUUAGCUUUUCGAAGCGAUAAUUUGUAUUUAUCUGGCUUCACCAACCAGAAAGGUGAGUGGUUCAGUUUCCAAGUAGAUGAGGAUCAUGAGUACGUGAUUCCGGGGUCGACAGUUUUAGGCUUUAAAAGUAACUACGCAAGCCUCGUUGGAGGUGGGCCGGGGACGGGUCAUGAACCUUGGGAGUUUUUAGUAGAUUUAGAUAUAAGUAGAGCUGAAAUCUUAAGCGCGAUAGCUGUCUUGAGUGAGUACGACCCAAGCACAACGCCUGACCACGUGAUCAAGUUAGCAUUAGCGAGGCUAACAGUAGCGUUCAUGGAAGCUCAAAGGUUUCCAUUUAUCAGGCAAAGGAUGUAUGAGUUGUGGGAGAAUGGUGGUCCAGGCACGCUCGGCUGGCGGGGAGCCAAACUUGUUGUGCAUUGGAGUGACAUAUCGUGUGCCCUUCGAAUUUGGGACACGAGAGCCGACAAGGCCAGAUGGGACAGUCGCGAAGCAGAAGGGUUGAAGAAGGAACCUCCCGUCGGCCUCGGCAUCGCUACCCCCGAACAAGCGCUGGCCGAGAUUUGGCCGAUUCUUAUCAGCCAGUGCACCGAGUAGUGAAAAGCACACGACUUUAUUUUCUUUACCAUACAGUUUAAAUAAAUGUACCGUAGUACUACUUGUAACCGCUAUAUGCACAAAGUAUCGAGAUGGUAUUUUCGACAUGUGUUAAAUUCCUGCCUGCUCCUGUGUCCCCCAUCUUCCUAUUAUAUUUGGAAACACGGUUCACAAUCGUAAACAAAUCGAGCCCAACUUUCCUUUUACAGUAUAACCGCUCAGCGCUGGUACGCACAGAGCCUUCGGAUGAGCAACACGUGGUAUCUAUCAGGCCCGUGCAAUUUUCCCAGCAGAUUACUACCGAUGCACACAAAAGUGAUUCAUCCAGCAAGAAAAACUCACACAUUCACAGAAAAAAGCACAGGUCCCAAAUUUUCUCAUACGCAAGUACAUGAACCUAAUUUGCAAAAAAAAAUUACAAUAUGCUAUUUACACUAAACAGUAAAUAUCAGCAAGUAGUAGUUUCAGUAAAGUCUGAAAUCCAAAAAAAAAGAUAAAAUUGUCUCAAGGUGGAGCUUUAAUUAGAACUACCCUUUCUCAAGCAUCGACAUCUACUGUAACAUAGGAUGCCUUAAAUCUAUAUCUGUUCUAGUUUACCUGAUGUUUAUGUUCCAUAUCAUAGAUGAUAGAUAAUCCAGCGGGCAGCUCAGCUAAGCAGGAAAAAAAAGGAUAAAAGGGGAAACAGAUCUCCGAGGACGACAGCAACAAGGUCUUCCUGCUCCUCUAGGCCAAGCUCAGCAACUCUAACGGUUCCCUAAAAAAUUCUUUCCAAAAUGAUGUACUAGAAGCUAUGCUAAAAUUUUCUUUCCCUAAAAACAUAUCAACCCACAGCAGAACGCCAAUAACUACCCCCAAUAUUUGCCACGUCAUCAUAAUUGGGCCUGCCUCCAGAACAGAGCCCCCAUCUACCUCCAGAAUAGAGCUCCAUCGCUCCUUUGAGCAGAGCUUGCCGCCGGCUAAAUUCACCGUAUCCCGACCGCCUCCGUUCGAUUCCUCGCACCAACAGCUUCCCUCGCCGUCCUGCAUCCAUUUCACCCAUCACCGGCCUUUCUCGUCCAUUGUCCAGGGUCUCCGCAGCUCCACUGCGCACACGAGUUCUGCAUUGAGUGCGUCGUACGCUACAUCAAGGGCCGCAUCGUGGACUGUGCGAUGGCCGUGGACGAGCACCACAGCAACGGCGGCGGCGAGGGCCAUGGAUGCGUGAUGUCCUGGCUCGCCAUUAGCAGCUCCUCCACCUCGCGCCCGUUGCUCCCAAUCCCGAUCCAGCUGCCCGAAGCCAAGCCAACACGUAUUCUCCUUCCCUCCCUACCUAGCUGGCCGGCGUGGGGUGAGUGACGCGGGCCGAGCAGGCGGUGGCCGGUGCGCUGCAGGCGGUGCACGCGUGCGAAAAAAAAAGAGCAUGGGAAGCAUAUGGUGCGCACGGGAACGGAGCUCAGGGGGAGUGGGGAAGGGCCGGCCUCGCUAAUAUAUGCGCGGCGACGAGGUCUUUUUUCGCAUUGUCAAUCUUUUGCGAAAGUUUUGGGUGAUCGGUUGGAGUUUUUUUUUUCAUUUUUCCCUAAAGAAAGUAUUAGGGUAAGAUUAGCAGCUUUUUUUUUUCUCAUGACUCGGAUACUUGUUUUUUUUCCCUAUACAACGCGAUCAAGGAUUUGUGCAAGCAGCCUGCCAAGCUCUUUGAGAUUUUCUAACCGGAACUAAAGUUUAUUUCUCUACGGUCAAGAAUUUUGCACGGUUGGUGGCUGGCGAAUUAGGUGCAUACUUGUUUUAUUUGCAGGCACGUCAUGAUCGCACGGCACGGCAGGCCGGGAUCGGACUCGGGCAUCGGUAUGAACCACCAUGCAGCUUUGCGUGUGCUCGCUUCCGGGUAAUCUGCAGAAUUUCUUUAUCUCCAGAUAUGAAAUUUUUUCCUAGAGUUUCAUAGUAGCUAGCCAUUGUAGCCAGGAAAAAUUAGAAAAUCCCUUUUUUUAUUUUGUCUCAUAACUCGGAUUCCUAUUUUUUCCCAAUACAACGCGAUUAAGGAUUUGUGCAGCCAGCCUGCCAAGCUCUUUGAGGCCCGUGCAAUUUUCCCAGCAGAUUACUACCGAUGCACACAAAAGUGAUUCAUCCAGCAAGAAAAACUCACACAUUCACAGAAAAAAGCACAGGUCCCAAAUUUUCUCAUACGCAAGUACAUGAACCUAAUUUGCAAAAAAAAAUUUACAAUAUGCUAUUUACACUAACUGAUUUGCCUCCCACAUUUGCAUAGCUGAUGAGCUCCUUUCAUGACCUGCCACUACAAUGAGAAAAAUGAACCAAAUCAGUUAGCAUGUAACACAUAAUAAAAAGGUCAAACAAACAAAAAUAUGUUGGAUGAAGUGAAAAGCUAGUUUGUGUAUCAUGAUAAUCAACAGAAGCACCCAGAAAAAGUAAAAAAAUGGUCAUCUGAAAUUGCGUUGGCAAUUGGAUUGAUUUGCUUGUUCGUAACCAAAAAAUUGCAUGAUAUGGACCAUAUAAUUGCCUACUGAACUUAUUUUUGCACAAAUCCACAACAUAAAAAAUUUGCAUGCUCCUGUCCAUUUUAUUACCUACCACAUGAUCAUAUAAUCGCCUACUGAGCAUGAGAAAUUAAAUGCAUGGAACCAUUUAACUUGCAUGUGGAGAAGCAUGCAUAUGCCAGAAAUGAUAAACAAGAAUAGAAAAACUUGCAUGAUAUGAACCAUAUAAAAUUGCUUUUGAUUUCAUAUAAAAUGCUUGGCAUGCAUACACUAAAUUGCCUAGAUUAUAAACUGGACCACCCCAGUUGCACACUGUAUAACUAUUCAUGAGUGAACCAAACCAACCUUUUGUGCCAGCCACCAAUGUACAGAUUAUACAAAAACAUGUAUAAAUACAAAUCCUCUACAUGCUUAACAACAAACAAACUCAUUUUUCUCCCUCUCUAAAGUAUAAAACAAAGCUUAACAACAAUAAAUGAACGGAGCAUGAAGUAGCUAACCUUCACAACACUUUGCAUGAGUGAAAUCCCCACGGAAAUGAGGAAAAAAAAUUCAGUAGCACCCCCCUAGGCUUGCUUCGGCGCCAUGGAGAGGAUGAGCUUCUCUGUCUUUGUGGAGUGGAGUGGCUCGGGCUGGAGGAGUGGUCCCUCCUGUAGAUAAGAUUUUAUCCCGGUUGGUAAAUCUAACCGGGACAAAAGAUUAGAGCUUUUGUCUUGGUUGGUGUUUACUUCCGGUUGGUAACACCAACCGGGACAAAAGAUCCAACAUUUUAUCCCGGUUUGAAUUACCAACCGGGAGUAAACCGGUUAUCCUGGUUGGAAAAUCCAACCGGGAUAAAAGGUUGGAUCUUUUGUCCUGGUUGGUGGAUCCAACCGGGGGUAAAGGGUGGCGCCGUCGGUGUUCGGAAACUAGCUGUUUUAACCGAAACUAAAGGGUGGCCUGUAGUCCCGGUUGCAAAAAAAGAACCGAGAGUAAAGGUGCGCCCCAUUCCAGCCAACCGUGGCGCACCCUCUUUUCUCCCGGACCGAAAUUAAACCGAGACUAAAGGGGUGGGAUCUAAAGUCAGUUCUCUAGUAGUGGCCGCUGUGCCAGCAGAAGAAAAAAGCACCCCGGUGCUGAUCUUGCAAUAAGAGAAACUUUGGUAGAUGUAGCAGAUUAGCUUCAAUUGUGACCUAUUAGAUUGAAUGCAUGAUCAGCGUGUGAUUCUUUAAUUUUGGCCUCAAUGUGAUUGUUCAGCUCGAUUACUGACAGAUGAACACCUUCCUACUCAAACAAUAUAAUCUGGCCACACAGAUUGUUUUCAUUGUAACAGCACAGGGUGUCAAGAUGAGAAUGCGCAAAUAUAUCAUGAUUAGAGCAUCUCCAACAGUUUGGCAAUUUUCGUUUCCAAAAUCUUGUUGUUUGCCAACUCCCAAAAUAAUAUGGGGAGGAAAAAAAGAUCUCAUGUCCAACAGUUUGGCAAAUUUUGUUUCCCAAAAUCCAAAAUUGUGGACCCACACGUAUUUUUGCCCGCGCCUUUUCUCUUGGUGGCGUCGCCUGGUCACGCGGGAGGUGUCGCGCGGUUUCUUGGUCGUGGCGUCGCUAGGUCGCGGACAAGGGUUCCCCGAGGUCGCCGCCGGUGCUGGUCUCUAGGAAGCCACGGAAGCCACGGACGGGAUCUUCCUUCCAGCUUGCCAGUCCAUGAGAGGUCGCCAGGACGCCGGAUCUUCCUUGCAGCCGGCCGCCGUCCUCCCAGUCAGGCACUGCAGGUAUCCAAGGUUCGUGCUUCUUAGAUCAAUAACUUGCGGCUGGGAUCCUGUAUAGAUUGUUUGAUGUUCUCAGCUGCACAAUUGUCAUUUGCAGGCGGGUUAGUCGACGUCAUGAUUGCUUACAAAUCACUUCUCCAAAGAGAAUUGGAUGACGAUUCAUCUUUAGAUGACGAUGAUUAUUUCAUCAUCACAGCUGCUCGAAUUGUGCAAACGUUUUCGGGUCAUAAAUGAAGACACGGUGGUUCUGUCCCUAGCCAUGUUGUUAUUUAUCGAGAUAGAGAAGGCGGCCAUCAAAGGAUGUUUCAAGAUUAUUGGGCGGAUAAUCCGACGUAUCGACCACAUUUAUUCUGUCGGAAGUUGGUGUUCAUUCACCUUUCAUUAGCCCUGUACUAUGCACUUAACUAUUAUAUGUCUUGUUGAAAUUUUGUUUAUUUUCUUCAGGUACAGGAUGAGUAGGGAGCUUUUCGUACGCAUAAUGAAUGCUGUUGAGUCACAUGAUGAUUACUUUGUGCAAAAAAAGAAAUGCGGCCAAUGUACUUGGAUUAAGUUGCUUCCAAAAAGUCACUGCUGCAUUUCGUAUGCUCACAUAUGGGGUUCCUGCUGAUGCUACAGAUGAGUAUGUUCGCAUUGGUGAAAGUAUUGCACUUGAGAGCCUACGUAGGUUUGUUGCUGCAGUUGUUGAUUUAUUUGAAGAUGAGUACCUGAGACAUCCCAAUGAGGCCGACACAGCACGCUAAAUGGCACUCGGUGAGAAAAAUGGUUUUCCUGGAAUGUUAGGGUCCAUCGACUGUAUGCAUUGGGCGUGGAAGAAUUGUCCAGUAGAAUCUUAGGGUCAGUACAAGGGGCAUGUGGAGAAGUCCACUAUCAUUUUAGAAGCUGUGGCUUCGAACGACCUUUGGAUAUGGCAUGCCUUUUUUGGAAUGCCUAGGUCUCAUAAUGACAUCAAUGUCCUUCACCGGUCUCCUUUAUUUGCGAACCUGGUGGAGGGUAGAGCUCCAGAUGUGAACUACACCAUUAAUGGUCAUGAUUACACUAUGGGUUAUUAUCUAGCAGAUGGUAUAUACCCCUCAUGGGCUACUUUAGUCAAGUCCAUCUCUCUACCUAUGGGGAACAAGAAGAAAUAUUUUGCCAAAGCACAGGAAGCAGCGAGAAAGGAUGUCGAAAGAGCUUUGGGGUUUUGCAAUCUAGGUUCGCCAUUGUUCGAGGACCAGCUCGCUUGUGGGACAUAGAGACACUUGGAUUGAUCAUGAGGGCUUGUGUGAUCAUGCACAAUAUGAUUGUUGAAGAUGAAGGAUUCGUCGACCCUACUGAGCGGUUCGAUUAUGGUGGUCAAAAUGUGGAACCUUCUCGUGGCCAGGCUACUCGAACACCUGUUGAAUUUAUUGAUGCUCAUAAAAGGAUCAGAGACCAGGAAACACAUUUCCAGCUGAAAGAAGACCUCAUCGAGCACCUAUGGAACCAUCAUCAAGAUUUAUAUUAGCUACAUAGUACUUUCAAUAAAAGGUUGUCUCAAUCACAUGUAAAUAAAAGGUUCUCUGAAACACAAAAAAAAACAAAUGUUUACUGAUUCCUCAAAUUAUUAAAUAACAUGAACUAAUAAUUUGCCAAACGCCGAGCGAUGAUCUUCUGCUACAUCGUCUCGUAGUACUGCUUCUGCACCGGGGUAAGGGAGCUCAUGUCCAUUGGCAUUAUUUCUUUUUCCUCUUUGAUCAAGUCCGCUUCAGCUUUUUUUUCUUCUAAUGUGAGUCGCUUCUUCUCUACCUCAAGUGAAGCCAGGAACCUCUCCUCUUUCUUCUUCUCUCUCUCCAUGUGAAAAGCCUCCUUCUUCGCCCACAUUUUGUCCAAAGCCUCCAUGCAAGCUUUGCCACCUCCUCAUCUAAGAGCUUCUUUUGCCUUCUUCACACCCUGUGGCCUUUUUCUUGCUUCGGAUUCUGGAGCUGCAAUCUCUAUGACAUCUUCAGUGUUUGUGGCUUCUACAUUCCUUGGUGUCGAGUCCAUGUUAACCUUUUGUUUUUUCUUGCCUGCUCGCUUCUCCUGCUCGGCCAGUUCCACCCUCUUGGCUUUCCACUUGUCUUGUUCCUUAAAUUUGUUCCAACAAUGUAUAAGAGUAAAUGUCUUCUUGUCCUUGUCUAAUGACAGAAAGCAGGCAACAACAGCCUUUCAUCCUAGCGGAGGCAGGCAGUAGCACCCAGCGGCGGCCCAGCAGGCCCUAUAGAAGCCUAGCAGCCGAUGACGUGGAUCAAUCCUAGCGAGAACCCUAGAGUGCAGCCGUCGUUGUGGAUGAAGGAUCAAGAUCGGCGACGGGAAAUAGAGGGAAGAUCGUACCUGAACCGUAGCGCGCAGCUGCUGUCGUCGAUGAUCUGGGCUUCGCGUCGAGGAAAAGAUGAAGACCGGCGACGGGAACAAUAUCUUCGCGAGGGAAGGAGAUGGGAAGAAAGUCUUCGCGCGCGUGGAAAGGAGGCGGCGGGGCGGAGAAAGACUGAUGCCAAGCACGGAAUCCGCGCGUAUAUUUGCACGCUAGACAGGGAGAUAUGCCAAUUUGGAAAAGAUGGGGAAUUGGGAUACCAAACUGUUGGAGAGGGUUUUUCCUCAAUUUGCCAAAAAAUUAUGGAUGGGGAAGGCAUUUGCCAAACUGUUGAAGAUGCUCUUAACCAGAUUCAUUUGUGCACUGUAAACAUGGGCGCAUGAGGGCCUAGGUGGUGAGGCGACGGGACAAGGCGGGACGACGAUUGAAGUGCAGGCCGGGUGGCGACGGGAGCCUAGAUGACGAAGACAGGUGUGGAGACGAGAUGCCAACCUCGGCGACUACUGCGAUUUGACGAGCGCAGCACCGGCGGUGGAAGGCGAUGCAGCUGCGGGCAUAGCGGCGGCAGCGGCGGGAGCCGAAGCAACGGCGUGCAUAGCGGGAGGCAAAUAGCGCGCGGGCACGACGGAAGGCAUAGAAGAUACUGCAUUCGGUCGAUUUUGGAGCCCGACAGGCGUGAACUCGGCGAUUGGGAGUGCGCGGAUCCAGGGUAAAUUUGGCCCCCGACGCUGCAUAUUUUGGCCGAGCUGAGCGUAUAAAUUGGGAGUUAAUUUUGGGAACUGUUGGAGCUUUUUUUUAUCACAUCCAAAAUUAAGUUAUUGGGAGUAGGUUUUGGAUACUUUUGGAGACUAGGAUCAUGCCCGUGCGUUGCUACGGGCAAUUCACAUUCUAUCUUACUGGAAAGAAACAAUUCAGUAUAUAAUUUUAAUUACAUUUCAUUAUGUUACUGAUAUAUGACGGUCCAAAACAUAUAUAUCACACACCAAUACAUCUUACUUUAUAGAUGAAGUAUAUAUGACAUCUCAUAUUCAUCCCUAUGCACAAGAAAAUAAAUCGAACUUCAUAGGGAGUUAUCCAUUGGAUUAUAAAAAGGGUUCGCUAUUUCUAUUGAAUUUUUAUGUAGAAUGUUGCGACGCAAUUCUUGACGCGCUUUGUACGGUCACCCUCCCGUGACAGCGUGCCCCCUUGGUCAUGGUUCCCGAUCACAGUAGCCCAAGGAAGUUUCAUGUUGACGGCUGGAGCAAUUGCAGCAUCCAUAGACUUGGCCACAUCAGUAGAAUCCGUGUCAUAGAUGUUAUCACCUGCCCAACAAAAUUGUCGUAAAUUAAUACUCUUAAAAUGGUCUGCUUGCAGGCUUGCAGAAACUUGUAUUGCUCAGGCUAACGCAGGGUAAGAAGUAUUGCUUACUCUAACAGGACGUGCAAGUGGUUUUGCAUCUUGUUCUACCAUACUCAGGGCCAUUGCAAAGAACACUUAUGAAGUUAUGAGAAACAAGACACAUUUAAAUUAUGUUCAAUGUAGUAUGAGUUAAAGACAUAAAAAGAUAAAAAGCUUUUCCACCAAAGAUGUGACCAACCAAAACCCGAGGGGUUAGCCUGAGCUACACUAUCUGUUGGAUUUAGAUAAAGCAAAAGAUAAGGGAGCUGAAAAGUUGUGAACAACUGAGAAAUAACAGAUAUCAGUAAGUAUAGCAUAGAAGUUUUAAAACAGGUGUAGUGCUAGGCCACAAAUCAUUUUGCAUUCUGAUGAUUAUUAAAUUAUAGUAACAUGAAAUAUGCAUUUUAUUAUAUGAUUCAGAUGUGUGUAAGAUGACGCGAAGAGUUAGGCGAAGUCACAGCCAGUCCACGAAUGCAUAAAGCUAGAUUUGCAAUAAAAAAUGAAUAUGCAGAUAUUGCGCAAGCAUGUUUGACAUAUGUGCAGUUUAUUUUCAAACAAGGGACAUAUCUUGUUCCAUAUGUUUGAUAUGGUUGAAGAUAUUAGAAAGCAAGGGGCCAAGGCAUAAAUUGCAAGAAGCUACAAACCAGCUUUAGAACAUCAAGAGCAAUUGAGGCACCAGUGUGUGGUCCCCAUUUCUAAUUGAUGCUCAGUCGCCGUGGCAGUGUAAAUCAACCAAGAGAAACUACAUGGAGAGAACAAAUAUCAAUCCUUGUUAGUUUCCGCAUUGUUUAGCAAUUCAGACCAUCAUCAAAAUGAUAGAUAUAAUGACCUGCCACAUUGGGAAUUCCUGAGCCAACCUCUUCGCAAAAGACCCUUCACAGACAAAACAGUUUGUUAGUAACAUGGUUUACAAACAAAACACAAAGACAUCAAGUUUUGUUGUUCAAUUGCAAACUCGUAACAAAAUGUGAAAUGCGCCAAUACAAGAUUAAGUCAAAUUUCAGGCAUGUAUUGAGCACUGCUCAUUUACCCCAGUUUUUCCUGCUCCCAAGGAUGCCAUGAAGGAGAACACCUGUUGGUGGAUCAGGUAUUGAUUUGUCCAUAAAUGAAUUCCACUGAAUCUGAAGUUAAGUGUUGAAUAUGAUUUAUCCUGAAUUCUUGAUAGCCCAGGAACAUUUCAACAUCGACCUAGAGUUACAACAUGGUGUGUUUCAGAACAAUUUGCAUGAACAUCGGUAUCUGUUAUACUUGAUAUAUAAUCAGAAAGCAGGCAAUAAGUAGAAAGUAGGCAACCAUGGGCUCAAACAUUUGCAUAACUAUAAAGUAAAAUAAUGAAAGAAGGAAAAAAUUAUACACAGUGUACCUUGAUGGAUCAGAUAAGGAAUCCCAUGCUAGCUGAUCAACCUCUUGUAUGCCUCUCAUUUACUCUAAUCCAAUCUCUCCAAUAGUCCAAUCUCAUGAGCUAAUAUUGGAUAACAAAGGAUGGAUAAAACUUCUCCUUGAAGCAUAUGCUCCUUUGCCUGGCAAGUCUACGUAUGUAGACAGAGAACUAUCUUCAUGAUAACAUGUUUCCAGCAAACCAUCUUAGAAAAGGGGAAUGCUUGAGAAAAUUGCUAUCUUCUAUUAAGGUACAUUAUUUUGUAAGAAAUACAAAAGUUUUUUCUGGUGGAGUUUUUCUAUGCCAGAUUUUCUCACUUGCUUGCAAAGAAUGUUGUGCUCUGGAAAGUCAAACAGAAUAAAGAGGAUCUACAACAUUAGUUCCUGCAUACAAACUGGAAGGAUUUAACUCAGAUAAAAAAAGAUACUUAGUAAGAGACUUUGCCAUUUGACACAAAUUAAUAAUCCCCAAAAAAUAUAUAUCACUCUUAAGAAGAAAGAGAGAAACGAACUACAUAUAUCACUCUCAAGAAGAAACAUAAAUGUUAUUUGCCACAGCAAUCACCAUCAGUUUAAAAGCUUCAAGAAUCACAAUCAUUUUCUUUAUAAAAAAUGAUCACUAUUGGUGAAUAGUAAUUUAAUUAAAACGUGCGACCUGUAUGGCAUACAAUGGCACAAGGAAAACAUCUUUUUGAAGUGUUACAGGACUACUGUUCAGUAUCAUAUCAGAAAACUUAGAGUAGUCAUUUCAUAAAACACCUUUCUAAAAAAUAGUUGAACAUUAACUGGUUGAUGGCCUAAUGUUGGACCAUAGGAAGAUACUGUUCUGCGCAUUCCAUAGCAACUUAGUAAAGAAAGAAAUUCUAACCGAGACCUUAGAAAUGCAUAUAAUCAAUGAAUAUGUAACAUCUCUCAUAUUUGAAACCGAUGCGCUAAAAAAAUGAAGGUAAGAGAGCACCAAAGGAUUACAUCUUCUGCAGUUGGACGAUUCUUUGGAUGAACAACUAAUAGCUUUUCCAAUAGUAUGCAUGACAGAACAAGGAAAAAUAAAAUAUAUCUCUACCAAAGAAAGGACAGAGCUUCCAAGACAAUACGUACUAUCUGAAAACAACUAAAGGAAGCAAUCAACAACAUGUCCAAAUAUGAGAGUUCUAUGUGAAGUGCCCAACCAUGACCUAGCUUAGGUCAAAGAAGGUAUUGCAGUGAAGGUUUCUUUAGAGCUGUUUCUAUACAACCUAAAAAUUGAAUAUUCUAAAAAAUAUUCUAUAUGAACAAAUUGCUAUUUUUUUAUCAGACAAGCAACAUAUGUAGCUCAUUUGAUCAGUACCACUUGAGAACAUAAGGUCAAAAAUGACAGCUACAAGCAUAAUGUCAGAACAUCACCUCAUACUGAGUGAGUGUUAGAUAAGUACAGAUUCAUCACCUUAGGUUGACUGGCAAAACUAAUUGAAGUGCAGCUGCACUCCUCGUAGCACAGCAGACAACACCUCGACGCCUAAUAUCCUGUUGUAGCAACUUGAGAAUUGAAAAUAAUCAACUAAUAAAGAAAAAGAUUUGGCAUACCACUCCAUUAAUAUAAGUAACAAAUUAUAGCAGUUAUUCAUGUAGGCACCAUGAAACUAGAUACAUGUUUCUGAAUCAGAAAAACUUGGUACUUUUAAGUUUUAAUAGCUUUUUUAUCAUCAUUGUGAUCACUCAACACAUUUGGCAAGGCAUUCAUUUAGCGAUUUCACUAUCCUAUCUAACAAGAACAGGUGUAUUUACAAAAAGGUAACUGCUGUGUCAAACAGAUUCAAGAGGUUCUACACCACCAGUCACUGCAUAUAAACAAUAUAUACUGCAAUUCAAAAUUCUCAAAUAUAAUAACUAAAUUCUACGAUGUUGGCACAUUCACGCCGCCUCUCUAAAGUUCACACUUCAGCUCUACAAUUCCUAUAGAAGUUUUACGACAGAUCGAACGUGAUGAUAUUAGCAUGUUAUGGUGAACAUCAGAUCAACAUAAAGCCUGAAAAAUCAGCAUAAGGUAUACUACUAUGGAUACUUUACAAGCAUUGAUGGACAAAUGACUUCUCUUUCAUUUUCUCUUAAACAACAUUUUUUUAAAAACCAGGAAGAUCAAAUGGUGUGGACUAACCUUCAUUUGCAGUUACAUUAGAACUGGUCUCGCAUAUCUAUAAGUAUCAUCUGGAACCAAAACCAGAUAUACAUCGAUGAGGAAGUAGUAAAAGCUUGAUAGCACCAAUGUAGGUCAGGGCUCAUUGCAAUACCCAUUACACUAUCUAGAAUGGAUCUAGUUGUGUUGCAUGUACAUUCCUGCAUGCUGGUGGGUGAAUGCAUUCCAUAUACUUUGUCCUCGGCCGUGUGCCCCUUUCCAUUGCAGCACCCUUUUAUACUAUUUGGUGUCCAGCCAAUUUAUUAAAUCAAUUUUAUAAAUAAGAUAAUAUCAACACUAAUGGAGAUAUGAUUCUUACCGAUUCAGCAUGUUGUUAAUGAAAAAGGUCAGCGAAAAACAUACAAACACAAGCAUUUUAGACAGCAUAUGUAUAGUGGUAAUUUAAUCGAGCACCUAGCAUGUGUCACAAGUGGUGUACAUCAGGAGCUAGUUAAUCAGAUGCAACUGCCACUACACACACCUACUCAUCUUGCAAUCUGAAUCAUCAGCCAAGCACUGGAAUCAAGGUUCCAUGACGAAUGGUGGAUUGCUGGGAGAUUGAUGGCAACCAAAGACCAACGAAUCGACCAGAUCGAGUCCGGCAGGGAUGGUUGCUGUACCUGGAGGAGGAGAACACGCCCUCGGUAGGGAGAAUCAUCGAGAGAGAUCCCGCCACCGCUGCUAUGAUGGAGCCCCUGCAAGAAGCACGGCUGAUCUCGCAAGGCUGCAUUUUCUCCUAGCUCGGGAUGGCCGGUGGAUCCCGAUGUCGUCUCCCUCGCGGACAUCGGGCGGUGGGGUGGCCCUCCACCACGGACGGUGCCCGAUGCCCGGAGCGAAGGAGUGCGGUGACGGCUGGGCCGACCAGCGGAGGGCGGCGGCGACGGCCGGACCCAUCCUCCAGCUCUAGGCCACGCCGGCAGAGAGGGAGGGGCAGAGGGGCUUACCUGAAGAUGAUCCAUACAAUGACAGAGACGGUGAGGCAAACCGAGAAGAACUUGACUAGUGAGGACGCCAUUGUCGGCUAGGCAAUACGACUUGACUAGCCGCUGACAAGUUUGCCCUCGGGUAAUACGACUUGACCACUGCAAGGACUUGUUUGCAGAUAGUCUUACAUAGUCCAGCAACUCUACCCGGGGCAGCCCUUAGUCUCUCGGCUAGCGAGCGAGGCUCAGCAUCAUCUUCAAGUGGAGCAACGACGUUGACUAUAUCUUGAGCAGUAGUAGUCGAUUCGUGAAGAUCGCCUUCCAGCCGUUCAAUAGUUCUACCAUGGCUUCUACAGGACAUCAUAGCCAAUGCAAGCAUCACUCCAUUCCAGUUCGUCCUCUCUUUCUCACGCUCAUAAGCCGCUUGAGUUUCAGCCAAUGUUGUCCUAAGAUGGGCAGCCUCGUCAGCUACCCAGUCAUGAGCGUUUCUCCAAUCAAGCAAUUGACUACUCGUAGCGACCUCUUUGCUUUUAAGCUCUGCGCCAAAAAUAUCAUAGAUCAGAAUUUAUGACUACAAUCAAGCAUACUCAAGAAGUAUGAGUACUCACCAUGGUAUCUCUAGCUCAAAGAUCUAUAACGACUCUCCAAUCAUUCCUAGAGGACUUCAUGAUCAUUCCUUUCAAUUGCAAAAGACUUGGCAGCCUCCUCAUGAACUCUCAAGGAAUCUGCAAGGCGGCGACACUCUUGCUCCAAAUGUGCUACCCGCUGCAUGGCUUCACUGCGUUCUUGAAGAGCCCGAGUAUGUCUCUGAGCCUUGUCAUACAGAUCCUUCAAAAACACAAAACAAGCCAUCAAGACUCGUCAAAACACAAUAAGAUAGAAAAUGAGUUAUGACGCACCUGAAAGCUUUGGAUAGCUCUCCUAAUCUCCAACUCUGGUGGCAACUCGAGUACCGGACCACCAAUACUCUUGGCAGUUUCAGGUUCUGGCUCUCUACCCACAAUAGACCCCGAAGAAAAAUCAUGAUCAACUAUCAGAUACAAAGGAGUACCCCUUCCAAAAAGUAUCUACACUCAAUAACAAACUUGUUGCGCCGACUUCACCCUUCUCUGUUGCAACAACCAGUGCCAAGGUUUUAGCACCAGUCGUACUCACAAUUGGCGCAACUUCAGCUGUUGAAGACGGCACGCCCGAAGAACUCUCGGGGAUUGACGGGGCCCUCUACUGAGUGGAUGACCUCCUGGAGCAUGGAUAUAGUUGCACCUAGACGACCUGCGUCGUCAAUCUCAGGUGCAUCAUCCAUAGUCAAGUCGACUAUGGACCCAGAGAGUAUAGCUGGCGGAUUAGCCUCCGUCCCCACCUCCACAGGAAUAAUGUCUUCUGCAUCCCUGGAUCAACCAAGUCGCAAGAUCAUAAUCUGGCUACAGAUUACAAAAUCAUCAAAAGGAAAUAUUACACAAACCCUUACCGAGAUGACCGCGAGGGCAAACAAACACACUUCUUCUCGGCUACCACCGGCUGGAUACUCGGCACCACAAAGGUCGCAGGAGGAAGGUCCUCCACUCCGCCGCCAAGUCCUGACAGAACCAAGGUUGAGACUACGAACGCACGACUACCAGAAUAGAUCGCAUACUCACCACCGGCAACACCCUCAGACAACAAAGCGUUAGCAACCACCCCUAGUGUCUUCACAGCAUCCGCCAGCUUAGAAGCUGUAGCCUCAUCAACCGAUGGCCCAGUAGCCUGCUCGGGGGCUAUCAACUCAGGGACUAUUGGCGCAGAGACUACCUGCUCAGUGGCUACGGAUCCCGAGUUCAAAGGUGGCGCCUCCAUAGGCGGCUCUUCAACAGCCGCAACACUGGCAACUGCGUCUCCGGCAAUCACGACUACUUCAUUAGAAGUGGCCUCAUUAUCGCCAAAGGUCAAGUCGGCGGCCUUUCCAACACAUAGACUAAUAUCGUUAGUAUUCUUCAAAGUAAUAUGACUAACAAGAAACUCAAAGAUACUGGAAUGCAACGUGCAACUACACACCUUGGUACCCUAUGACCCCUCGGGGCUCAAACUCGAUGAAGUUGUAACAUGCUGAGCAGCAGCUUUCUUCCGCACUACUCGACGUUUCUUGGCAGGAGGAGAAGGAGCAUCUUCAGUAUCAACCACAACACUCUCCUUACCCUCAGACGACAUGGGCAAGAAACCAAGAAGCACCCGGUACUACAAACCACAAGACAACAAUUCUUACUCGGAAAGUAUUACUACACCUUCGACUACCCAAAGUAAGCAAAAGAAAGAAUAAAAUACCUCUGUUGGUUCAUACCAACCAUCAAACUGAUGAAGGACUCCUGGGAGCACUGGCACCCCUUGAUAGUUCCUGAAUAACUUACCCAACAAUGCCUCCACAUCAUCAUCGGAUAUGUCUUCAGGAGACAUGCACGGCGGGUCAUCAAAACCCGUAUACUCAAAGCCUGGGUGAGCACGCUACUGCAGAGGCUGAACUCUGCGCUUAAGGAAACUGGCGGCUACAUUGAUCCCAGUCAACCCCAAAGAUCUCAACUUAGAAAUCUGCGCCAACAAAUUUGUGAUCUCAAGGGUUUCCUCAGGCUUAGUCACCCAGUUGUCAGCAUGUUUGGGAGCAUGGCCAGUGACUACUGGCAAGACAGGAUCAUGAUUGCCAUAUAAAACCACCUCUUUUUCCAAUCACCAUGAGAAUCUAGCAAAUCGUACUCGAGAUAUGUACUCGAGUUCCUCAAUUGAAACCUAGCCCCUCCAAAUACUUCAGUCCUAGUCGCGUUGGGUUGCGGUUUACAAUGAAACAACUUUCUAAACAGAUCCAGACUAGGCAGAACACCUAAGUACACCUCGCACAAGUGUACAAAGAUAGACAUGUGCAGCACACCAUUUGGAUUCAAGUGGACUAGCUGAAGAUUAUAGUACUCGAAAAUACCUCUAAAGAAAUCAGAAGAAGGCACAUCCAGUCCUCUCUUAACAAAAUGUGCAAGCAUCACCGUCUCUUUGGGGUGCUCCUCGAAUUGCCACGCAUUACCGAAUGCGGGCCUCCACUCAAGCUGAACUCUUGGUUGAAGAAGCUUUGCGUCGACCAAAGCCUGGAUCGCCGGCUCCUUCAUCACGGAAUGCUGCCAGGUGAUCCUAGGAGGCGGCGGUGCAGUCUGAUUUGUCGAACCACACUUGGGCGCCGGCAACACAAGCUCCUUGCCCUUCUUGGAUUUGGAUCAUAACUUACUGGUGGCUGCGACCUCCCCCUGGAUCUUCUCGGGUUUCUUUCCCAUCUUCUUGACAUGCAUCAGUUGAUCUUGAGAAAAAAAAAGGAGGGAGGAAAGGACUGCAACAAAUCUCUCUCCUAAAGAACAGGCAAGAGCAACAAUGGCGGUGGCGGCGCAAGGAGGAGCAACCGGUGCUAGGGUUGCAAGAAAGGGGUGCAAAUUACAGAUCUAUUAAAACAAAGCGUAUCGCUAAUUAGUGCUGGGCCCCCCUAUUAUAUCAGCAGCAUGUUCGGAUUCCAAGCGUCAAUUAAGCAACGGUCAGAUACGAGUUAGAUUUACCACCAUAAUGACCAAUGGCUACUCUAACCAAAAGAUUGAUCCCUUCACCGACCAAAAACUAGUCGUCCAAGUGCUCGGGGGCUGUGUAUACUAUACCCGUUGGAUAAAGUUUUCUUUUUUCGAAGAUUAAGGCAACUCAAAACAAAAUUACAAGAUUGACCCUCAGCCUGAUUCUUCGAUUCAACCUAAGUCUCGGGGGCUACUCCAUAUGGAGUGCGAUUGUCAUCGCACUACCAUACCAAAAAAAGGGAGUCUCAAGGCGAAGAAUACUUGAAGCAAACAUUAGGCACUGAUAAGUACCUUCCAGUCACGCGACAACACCGGUACUCGAAGGUUGGCCGCAUCGAGGAGUACUCAAGGAGCACUAGGAGGAACUCGGGCAACAUCCUCAAGCACUCGGAGCUGUUUCUCUCGACUACAAAGUACUCAAGGGCUUGUCGGCUAGGCACCCCUGGACCCACCAGAAGACUUACGAACCCACUCAAGGGAACGUACCCAAAACCUAAUCGGACAUGAAGACUACUCCGCAGGGCGCGUAGACUUCAUGUACUCCCCGAAGACUAGUCGGCUCAGAAGGAAACCACUCUACCGAGUUCGAAUAGGACUCUGUAAAACAUACUCGACUAGGACUUGUACAAUCCGCCCUAUAACCCUGCUCCCCCGACUAUACAAGGACGGGCAGGGACCCCCUCCAAAACAAAGAACACAACUCGAUCAAUACAAUCAACACAUAGGAUGUAGGGUAUUACACAAUCUAGCGGCCCGAAUCUGUCUAAAUCGUGUCCCUUGCGACACCAUCGACUCCUUGAUUCUCGACGACACCCACCGCACAAAAGACCACCUAGGGUACCCUCUAGGCGGGGUGGCGGUCUAAAACACCGGCAGCCAUGGCCACCCCCACAGCAGCGCGUCCGCCAGAUCCACGUCACGCUACCUGGAUCCGGCCCGGCGCGGUCGUUGAGGCCUCCCUCGACCCUUAGUCUCACGCGUGCUUGGCCCGCGGUGCGUAAGGGCGGCGGCGGGUGAUCUCGCUUGGUGGGCAGCUGUGGCAGAACCGCCCAAAUUAACCUGACUAAAAUGCAUUGAAGUCGCCUGACACGCGAUUAUGCACUUAAAGCAAGUCAACUUGGUCGACCGUCGGAUUUCCUCCGAUAAACCACAUAAACAGGAUCGAGAAGCAUCGCUCAUGUGAAGGUGAGUAGCACGGAGGUUACAACAUUCCAUCAUGACAACAAGUUCCACAUUUUAUUACAUCAGAGUUUUCAAAAUUUAGACCGAAAUUUGCAAGGUUUGAAGUCAAAUAAAACUAGCGGAAGCUAAACAUCGAUACAUGACAUCAUGACGGAGCCGAUCAUGACAUCAAAAACUCCUUCCUUCGUCGUCCGAGGAAGGAUCCCACUCGAUGGUCCAGCUUGGGGGAAGCUGGGACGGCCAAGUGGUACCCGCAACCAAACUAUUGACAUUACCUGAAAAAGAUUAGCCACAACAAGGCUGAGCAACUAGUACUUAGCAAGACUGACCCGUCGGAAAGACACGACCGAGACCUAGACAUGCAAGGCUUUCUGGCUCUGGGGUUUUCUUUGCCAAAAGCGUCUAAAGUCAGUCCUUACUUUCAACAUUUUAGCUCAUGUUCUAUGUUCCUUAUCCAUUCUAGAUUAGCAACUUAUACUAAACAAACAUGGUUUCCAUGCAAUUACUGAACAAGCAUCAAGAUUAAAAUCGUCAUCAUAUUCCAUCUUUACUCAGUGCAGAAUAGUGAUCAAGUAGUCCCAAUCUGUGAGAGGCAGACGAAUCGAUUCGAAUUUAUUAACCAUGCAUGGCAACCCUAAUCUCACGACAUCCGCGCACCACGAAGGGUCGCUUCAUUUGUCAGCCGUCCCCAUCGAUCCCUUAGGCACGUGUCAGGGCCAACUUCCUUUGGCAUGCAAUGCUCCACAGUCCCGGCCUAUUGCUGCACUGUGACCACACUUGCACCCACAUGAUGCACCAUGGGAACGACGUUCCAAGGACAGCCGGAGGGUAUGCCACGCCCCAGUUCAAUCAGGUACUAGGCUUCCCCAUCCCAUACUUGGUAUGAGAUUAGUACUUUAAAACACUUGAUCACGAACGCCGACAUGUUUCAACCUUAGUUCAUUUUCAUUUAGACAGACGGUGUAAUCCACCAAGUAUCGAACACAAGCCUGACCCCAUCCGUCGUCCUUAUAGUUGCGACAAAUCUGAAACAUUCAACUCCUAUAACUCGCGAGUCACAGGAGAUCACUCGACUUUUACCGAAACCUAUUAAGUAGUGCAACUACUCGGCCUUAGCAACUAGUAUUCAAAAACAAGGUACUAAGUUAUGCAUCUAAGGUUCCAUUACAACUCCUCGAAACGUAAAUGCGCAAUCAAGUAAUCAAUAAUAUUGCAUGAACUCAAGAUAGGAAUUUAUGCUCCGGGGCUUGCCUUCAGAAAAAGCUUGCGGGUCCUCGGGGUCUUGCUCCGGUUCGGGCUCUCCUUCACAGGGAUGCAAUUCCUCGGCGGGGUCUUCUUCCAGUGCUGGAUGAAGCUCGUACGUUCCGUCGGCGAGAUUCAACUCUACACGGAAAUGCAAUGCAGGGGUUAAACAUUUAAGAUGGUUAAUUCAACACACUAAUGUUUUAACACGGACACUUGUAGCAAAGCUACAGGAAAGGUGGGGGAGUUCAACUUCUGUUGGUGGAGAGCAGGAUGAGAGGGUCGGAUUGGGGAAAACUUAGGGUCUGACCCUCAGGUUUAAGGAAAAACCGUACCGAGGUCCUAAGACUCAACACAGAGGAAUCCCCGAAAAUAUUUCACCAAUACCUUCGGGUCAAAGAAAAAGUUACAGCCGAGCCCUCGGGCGAGGUGGAGAAAGGGUCGGCGAAACUUGGCAGGGUCGGGCGAGGCAAACGGGAAAAGGUCGGGCGAGACGAAAAGAAAAGGGGUCGGGCGAACCAAAACAAAGGGGUCGGGCGAAAUGAAAAAGGACAGGGGUCGGGCGAGACAGAAAGAAAAAAAAAGGUCGGGCGAGACGGAAAGGACAGGGAGGUUAAGUAGCUUACCUCCUGGUCUACUGGUGCUUCUUGUGGACACCAGCAAGCUCGAGUACCACGCGGAGGAGCGGGCGGCUGGUGUGUUGGGAGAAACGGCUUGAGGGUGGCGGCGAAGUCGCCGGAGUGUGGGGGUGGCGCAAAGGGGUGAGCUCCACGGAAGCUCAGCGGCGGUGCGGGGAGAAAGCGGUGGCUCAGAGGAGAAAGCGGCAGCGCAGGUGCGGGCGGUGGCAAGGGGUGGCAUUGCCGGUGAGGGGGUUCCCUUUUAUAGGACCGGGGUGGAGCGGAGGGUCGAGGCGGGGCGCCGGUGGGGAAAGGAUAAGGUCGGGAGCGGCGAGUGCUCGGGCGAGGCGGCCAUUGGCCGACGACGCCAUUGGGUAGAGGAGGUGGACCUUCGGGUGGUCUUCGGCGGUGAUUGGCCUUGGGUGGCGCGCGUCUGGGGCUUCCGGUCUGUUGGGCGGGCGAGGCGGAAGGGCUACCGUGGGGGUUGGGCGAGCGAGCGGAGGCGUGGGACGUCGGGGUCGUCUCAGCUUUCUCGGUGAACGGGCGGAACAGGGUUGGCAGAGCAGAGCCGUGGCAGGUGGAAGGCGACCUACGCGCGGCCACUGAUUGGCUAGCCCUGCGCUCGCUCCGUCCUGUCGCGGCGCGGGUUGGGCGUCGUGGCUCUCGUCCUGUCGCUGUCGCGCUGGUGAUAGGGCGCCGGCGAGCUGCCAGUGGCCGGCGGCCACGCGGCGCGCGGGCGUCGAGGCUCCUUUCGGUAGCAAGCCCGACCAGCUUUGGAGCGAUCCUUCUCCGAAUCUUUCAACACAACUUCCGAAACUCCCUUAAACAAACUUGCUCAACUCUGAUUGUUCUUCAAACUUUGUUUAAGGUGCUGGUUUAGAUUGUGAAAGGAUUCAAAGAUAUUUCCGGCCAAGUUAGCCAAAAAUCUGGGAUUCCAGACUUAGGAUUUUUAAGGCACCAGGGGUGAGUUGACUGGUUUACCUCACUUUGACCGGGAUUUUGAACAAGUUCGGGUCCGAUUUGGAUCUGUGUCAGAGUAACAAAGUUGGAACACUCUUAAGGUACUACAACUUUCAUUCAGGCCCUGACUUGAGUUUAGAUAGGGAAAACGGGAGAUGAAAGCUUGCAAAGAUGGAGGAAAACUCGAAUUCCAGGACUUAAGCUUUGGUUGCUGUUUUUGACUUCCUUCCACUCUGAAUUGGUCAAAGUGCCUUUAACAAAAGUUGUUGGAAUUAAGAAGUUUUACAACUCUUAUUUGGGCAAAAACUUAAGUUUGUAUAUAAAAUUUCAAGCUUUAAAACAAACUCCAGAAGGAGCUUCUUAGGUUUAUAAAGGUCAUUUCACUUCUUAACUUAGGGAUUUAUCACUGGUUUAGAGUUAAAAGUACUUAAUUUAGGUAGAGUUGUUACAGCCUACCCCCCUUAAAGGAAUCUCACCCCGAGAUUCAAGUGCAGAAGGAACUAGUGUGGUUGGUGCAACGUACCUCCUUGCUCGAAAAGAAAACCGCGGAAGUUAGCGUUGAGGUACUCUUCCGUCUCCCAGGUUGCUUCGUCUUCCGUAUGGUUACUCCACUAAAUUUUGUACAUCUUGACCAUUUGCCGACGAGUAUGUCUUUCCUUGCGGUCGAGGAUCUUAACAGGAUACUCCUUAUAUGAUAAAUCGGGUUCGAUCUCCAUUUCUUCCGGGGGAAUGAUUUCAGUUGGAAUCCUGAUGCACUUCUUAAGUUGCGAGACAUGGAAAACAUCGUGUAUCGCUGCAAUCUUCUCUAGAAGUUUAACUCGGUACGCUACGGAUCCACACGCUUCUAUGAUCUCAUAGGGACCAAUAUAGCGCGGAGCUAACUUUCCCUUUACUCCAAAACGUUGUACACCUUUGGUCGGUGAAACCCGUAGGUAUACAAAAUCUCCAACCUUAAAUUGGAUGGGUCUUCUUCUUUGAUCGGAAUAGCUCUUCUGUCGAGAUUGGGCGGCCUUGAGAUUUUCGCGGAUGACUCUCACUUUUUCUUUGGCCUCUAUGACCAGGUCAGGUCCAUACACCGUUCUCUCUCCGGGUUGCAACCAGCUCAGUGGGGUUCGGCAUCUACGUCCAUACAAGGCCUCGAAAGGUGCCAUUUUCAGGCUAGCUUGGUAACUAUUGUUGUAGGAGAAUUCCGCUAAUGGCAAACACUUAUCCCAGUUCUUGUCAUAAUGAAUAGCACAGGCGCGCAACAUAUCUUCCAAAAUCUGAUUAACCCUUUCAGUUUGCCCAUCGGUCUGAGGGUGAUAUGUGGAACUGCGGAUCAAUUUAGUGCCAAGUGAAAACUGCAAUUGCUCCCAAAAGCGUGCUACAAACUGACUACCUCGAUUAGAGAUGAUCGUUUUAGGUACACCAUGCAAGGAAACAAUCCGAUCAAGGUACAGUUCUGCAUAUUUCUGUAUGGUGUGAGUGGUGUGUACUGGAAGGAAAGGUGAUGUUUUGGUUAGUCUGUCUACUAUAACCCAUAUGGAGUCAUGCUUGUGGGAGGUAUUGGGUAGUCCGACUAUAAAGUCCAUGCUUAUAUCUUCCCAUUUCCACGAGGGAAUAGGCAGCGGCUGCAAGGGGCCAGCUACCCUCAAGUGGCUUGCCUUAACUCGCUGACAGGUAUCGCACUCUGAAACAUAGCGAGCAAUGUCGGGUUUCAUCCCUCUCCACCAGAAAUUUUGUCGGAGGUCGUGAUACAUCUUGGUACUGCCGGGGUGAAUCGAGAACUUGGACAGGUGUGAUUCGUCCAGAAUUUGUCGCUUAAGCUCGGGAUCAUUUGGAACUACAAGUCGAGCUUCAUAAUGUACCACUCCUUUCCAGUCCUGUCAGAAACGUUUAUAUCCCUCAUCCUUCUGUGCAAGUUUCCCUUUGAUAAUGUCUAUCUCUUUGUCCUCUAGCUGUGCUAGAAUGAUUUGGUCAAGCAGGGUGGGCUCCAGAGAAAUAUGACUUAAGGUGCCGUGUGGAACAAUUUCCAAGUUGAGUUUAGCCAUUUCGUGACACAGGGUCUCGGCAUAAUUAACCGCCGAUAGGCAGUUACAAUGGAUCUUGCGGCUGAGUGCAUCUGCAACUACGUUGGCUUUUCCUGGGUGAUAAUGCACUUCUAGGUCAUAAUCCUUGAUUAAUUCUAACCAUCUCCACUGACGUAUGUUGAGGUUUGCUUGAGUGAAUAUAUACUUAAGACUCUUGUGAUCUGUAUAGAUGUUGCAUCGGGUUCCCAUGAGAUAAUGCGUCCACAUUUUCAGAGCAUGAAUGACUGCCGCUAACUCAAGAUCAUAAGUAGGGUAGUUCAACUCAUGUGGCCGUGACGCUCGCGAGGCAUAAGCAAUGACUCGGCUGUCUUGCAUAAGAACACAACCAAGUCCAGUGCCAGAGGCAUCGCAAUACACAUCAAAUGGCCUAGUGGUGUCGGGCUGAGCUAAAAUUGGCGCAAAAGUCAAUAACUGCCUCAAGGUGUGGAAAGCUUCUUCACAUUUGUCACUCCACACAAACUUACUCCCUUUCCUCAGCAGUUCCGUCAUUGGCUUAGCUAUUUUUGAGAAGUCAGGGAUGAAGCGACGGUAGUAACCGGCUAAACCAAGAAAACUUCGAAUCUGAUGAACUGAAGUGGGCGGCUUCCAAUCCAUUACUUCUUGCACCUUGCUUGGGUCUACUGCUAUACCGUCUCUGGAUAUGGUGUGUCCCAAGAAUUUAACACUGUCCAGCCAAAAGUCACACUUAGAGAACUUGGCAUAGAGUUGGUGGUCUCUUAAGCGUUGGAGUACAGUAUGUAGGUGCUCUGCAUGUUCUUGUUCAUUCUUCGAGUACACCAAGAUGUCGUCAAUGAAUACCAUGACGAAUUUGUCGAGUUCGGGCAUAAACACCGAAUUCAUGAGGUACAUGAAAUAAGCCGGUGCAUUAGUAAGCCCAAACGACAUGACUAAGUACUCGUAGAGUCCAUAUCGUGUAGAGAAGGCAGUCUUUGGAAUGUCGCAUGGGCGGAUCUUGAUUUGAUGGUAGCCAGAACGGAGGUCAAUUUUGGAAAACACUCUAGCUCCAGCUAAUUGGUCGAACAGAACAUCAAUGCGGGGUAGGGGGUACUUGUUCUUUAUCGUCACCGCAUUGAGAGGUCGGUAGUCCACACACAUUCGCAGACUAUCGUCCUUCUUUUUCACAAACAAGGCGGGGCAACCCCAAGGUGAUGUACUUGGGCGAAUAAAACCUUUUUCCAACAAAUCAUGCAACUGAGCUUUCAUUUCUGCCAGUUCGGCUGGUGGCAUCCGGUAUGGUCUCUUUGAGAUUAGGGCGGUACCUGGUUGCAACUCAAUGGCAAACUCGAUGUCUCUCUCAGGCGGCAUACCCGGCAAAUCAUCUGGAAACACAUCCGUGUACUCGCACACUACUGGGAUAUCUUCCAAAUGGGCUUCAGACACGGGAUAGGCACAAGAAGUUUGGCACUCUCGGGGAGGUAAGUGUAUAGUGGAGCUACCAUACUUGGGUGAAUUUAUAUGGAUUGCCCUGGUAGGGAUAUCUAGGGUCACUCGGUGUCGGGUCAUCCAAUCCAUUCCCAAGAUAACAUCUAUUUCUUCUAUCCCAAGGGUAAGCAGGUCUUCCUUAAGAAGGGUUCUCCCUAACUGGAUAGGUACUUUGCGGCUCACUUGGUGUGGAGCUACCUUUCCACCCGGGGUAGAGAUUAUGUAGGUACCUUUGGUGUGACAGAAAUCUAACCCACACUUAGUACUGAUUCUAGUCCCAAUGAAACUAUGGGAUGCUCCUGAAUCAAAAAGAAUAAGGACGGGUUGAUCACAGAUAGAAAAGGUACCCGUCAUCACUGGUGCGCCCUCUGGAAGUUCAACAAGGGUGGUGAAGUUCAGCCUGCCUUGUCGGACCUGCACCUUUGGCUUCUUCCCCUUGUUUCCCAGUGUAUUGCUUUGACCGGGUCGUUGAUUCUGGUUGCGGGGGUAGUCCUUGGCGAAGUGUCCUGAGUUCCCGCAAGUGAAACAGCGGUUUCCAGUGACCGGGCGCAGUGGCAUCGGGAGAGCAGGGCGGGGUCCUUGCAGCUGGAAACUGGGGAAACGAGGUGCUGCUUGCGGUGGAGGUCGAGCAACCCAUCUCCCAGGCUGUGCGGGCCUGCGAGGCGCUUGUGGGGGAACCAUUCUGUACUUCUGGGUAGGCGGGCUGGGUGCCGGCAUUGGGGCCUUCCUCUUCAUGUCAGCCUUAAGAGCCUUCAUGCAAUCUUGCUGGGAAAUUGCCAGGUUCACCAGUUCAUUGUAGGAACCCACUUUGAUGGGGUUCAGCCUUUCCUUGAGCUCCAAACUCAAGCCUCUGCGGAAGCAGUCCCUCUUCUUUUCAUCGGAGUCCGCAUGAUAGCCUGCAUAGUGACACAGGUCGUUGAAAGCCUGCGCAUAGUGCAGGACAUCGCGGCCUUCCUGGGUGAGAGCCAGGAACUCAUUGAGCUUGCACUCCAGAAGACCCUCAGGGAUGUGAUGGCCCCUGAACGCCGUCUUGAAUUCCUCCCAGACGACGACGUGGUCGGCCGGCUGCAUGGCGUGGUAGUGUUCCCACCACAGGAGAGCAGAACCACGCAACUGCUGCGCGGCGAACCGAACCUUGUUCUCAUCCGGGCAAUAUGCGGUGAGAAGGGAGAACUUGGACUCGAUAGCGCGAAUCCAGGCAUCGGCGUCAAGUGGGUCCUCCGUCUUGUGAAAUAGAGGAGGCUGGGUCCCCAGAAAAUCCUCAUAGAGAGCAACAUGUGGCUGAUGAUGGGCCCUUCCUCCUUGGGGCUGCUGCUGCUGCCCCUGAGCGAUGUGCCUCAACAGCUCGGUCUGGGCUGCCAAGAUUGACUCGAGGGUGGUCGGAGGCGGAGGUGGGGGAGGCACCUCACUGCCACUGGGAACGGAGCCGGAGCGUGUGCGAUGCGCCAUCUGCAAGAUUCACCUUUCCAUCAGUUCCAUAAUCCCAGAAGUAUUCCAAAAAAUGUGGGAAAGUAUGUGUUAAUUCGGCAAAUGCAACUUUUGCAACACAACACAUAUCCUUAUCAAGGAGGUGCACAUAUCUUAGCUAGCAACUAGCCCGUUUCUGCAACGUCAUUCUAUCCUUACUGCCGAUCGGAGAGGUAUUUUGAUCCACGUUUCGUAGGGUCCACAAGAUCCGGUUUCUCCUUGGUUGGUCUGCAUACACCCUUGGGGGAGCCAAAACCUUAUCCUCGGGGUCCCACUAAUUCCGACCUCUGGUGCCAGGGUCGGGUGAAAUGGAGCUUCUCAACACGGGGUCGGACGAGGCGGAGACCUUUCAACAUGGGGUCGGGCGGGGCGGAGACCGUCCGCGAGGGGUCGGGCACGUCUGACCUCGCGACUCGGGGUCGGUCAGCUUUGGACAGGCCCACAGGAGACGGGUGUGUGGUCACAGCACUAAAACCCACACAACUUGGCAUCCACGGCAUGUCGCAAGGGUCAGAAGUAGAGUCAAGAGUGAAACCAGGAACUGCUUUCACCAAGAUCAUUUCAUUGCUGGUCUUAAAAUACAGGAGGAGUACUCAACUCAAGGCUAACCUAUUAUAUUAUUGGCCAAAAAUAUAGGUCGCCGAGGAGUACAAUCAAAAACAAAAUAGAACCGCUCAACCUAGUUUGCCAUAACUAGAAGUCGUCGAGGUUGCCCACGGAGGCAAAGCUAAGGACCGGAGAGUGAGCAUCACCAACUGGAGGCUGCGGUGAGGCAUUCUCAUAGUCCAUGCUCGAAAAGCCUUCGAUCUCCUUAGGCUCCUCCUCCUAGGCCAUUGGCUCAUCCAGCUGCACCUCUAAGGCGUGGAUGGCAUUAAGCUCAUCGUGAUGCUCCUGCAGGUGCUCAUUGGCGUUCGCCAGCUCCAUGUUCACAUCAUAGAACUGGUCAGCCAAGAUCUCCAUAUCGUGCUCCAUAUCCACAAUCUCUUCCUACAAAUGAGUAAUCUUGUCCUGCAUCUUAGCAAUCGGAACAUCCUUCUGUACCAGCUCGAGCGACUGGUCCACCAUGCCACUCUGCAUGGUAGAGAAGGCAACCUGAUUGGCUACUGCCAUCCCAAUCACCGUAGCCAUCGCUCAGCUCUGCAGCUCAACCAUCCUGUAAAACACAUUUAGGCAACGAGCUAAAACAAAAAUCGUGCGCUGAGGAUCCAUAAGCCCGAGCAAGUCCAUAUGCUCCAUACGAUCCAACCAGUCCGAGUCCCUCGUAUCCCGGGCAGGGAACAACCCAAUCGGGUCUAGCAUGAUGUCAAGAGGGUGUGCCCGGCAGAACUGGGUCAAGGUCUGCAAGGCUGCGAACUCCCAGGCAUCGUGGAGCGUGUGUCCCUCAGCCAGUACCUCCAACAGCGGCCACUGUGGCUGAUCCGGAGGCGGGGGUACCCGCACGUGUACGCGGCUCCGCGGAAUCCCGUGGUCCUGGUACGCACGGCCCGCAUAAACCGGCGGCGACUGGUACCCGAAAGAGCGCAGAGUGUCCCACAACACAACUGGAAAACCCUCGUAGUGAAGGCACCGUGAGUAGGUGGUGCCCUCCGUACCGACUGCCACGUGCACGGGCUGCGCCAUCUGUAACCAAGGGUCACGUGAGAAACGGGGUUAACACUUGGAAAUCAACAUAUUUCUGGCAGUUAGAGAAAAGCUCAUAACUCAGCAAGUAUUCCUCCGAAAUUUCUCAAAUUUUACCAGCAUGUUCUUUAGAUAGUGGGUAACAAGUUUGGUGUUCAAAGGUAGGGCUAGAACAGAACCUAACAAGGUGACAAUCUCAGAUUCCCAUUAAGUGUACCUGCUGGAACUCUUCAGACCGAGUCAAGAUAAACUGAAUACAUCUUCCAAACCAGAGACUUUAACAAAACCGAAACUCUACCAGUAAGCCCUUCACUAAGUUCUGAAGAACUCUGCUUAAAGGACUCCUCACAGAAAAGGUCCUUAAGGUGGUCGAAAUAGCAGAAACUCCGCUGGUGUGCACUUUGGGCUAACAGCCAACAGGGGGUCACCAAACUGAUCACAACUCUCAUCCCAAAUGGUAGUACCUUGUGGCAGUUUUACUUGGGAGUUUUAACACAACUUUCUUAUACAAAGCUUCUGGAGUUAGCAUGGUGGAAAAAGGACAGCUAGACAAUCCUUAACGCGGUGCAUUACUUUUUACGACGUACUCCAGUUUGGUUUUAUUUCUGAAUGCAUGCACGUCCUAGUCGUCCUCUCAACCAAAAAUAAUUGCCAAAAAUCUUUGGACUUAUGUGGUUAGUGCCGGUGGCAAGGCAACAAUACGGCUCUCACUAUAAUAACAAGUCGAGUUACUAGGCAUCGUUUUGAACGCAACGUUUGUUAGUGUACCUGCAGAAAAACACAACACAGCUUGAACCUUCCGUGCCAGCACUCACGAAAGCGUCCACAAUCAUUACCGCUCACUAUAGAAACGGCACCCAUGCGUUUAACGCUGCAUGGACAGCGCAACAAUCGUGGAAAUAGGUUCCUUUGAAUAUAAUCCUAUAACCCUUCGCAUUCUCGUGAUGCGGAAUCAUGCACCAUGUAACAAACGUGGGUGAACAACCGUGACGAUAGGCUUGUUGGAAUCGAACCAUACCAUCCUUCGCAUGUAUUAACAUACGGAACCUGCGCACGUAUAAUAGAUGUGGGCGAAACAACCGUGAUGAUAGGAUCGUUGAAAUCGAAUUCCCAUCACCCUUCGCAUACUCGCGAUGCGGAUUUCGGCACACGUAUGAUAGACGUGUCAAAAAGUGCUGGAAGUUAGAAGAUAACCAAUAACUAUUAGCCACCUUAAAAACAACCCCAAAAUCCCCUAGGGCUCCCGAACUAAACUCAUCCUUAGCGAACUUACGAACAUCUUGAUUUUACUUCUUGCAAAAUUUUAGUUAGAAAAAGAGUUUUAAGGUUUGUUGUUCUCCGUACUGUGCUUCGAGCUCUGAUACCAGCUGUGGCAGAACCGCCCAAAUUAACCUGACAAAAAUGCAUUGAAGUCGCCUGACACGCGAUUAUGCACUUAAAGCAAGUCAACUUGGUCGACCGUCGGAUUUCCUCCAAUAAACCACAUAAACAGGAUCGAGAAGCAUCGCUCACGCGAAGGUGAGUAGCAUGGAGGUUACAACAUUCCAUCAUGACAACAAGUUCCACAUUUUAUUACAUCAGAGUUUUCGAAAUUUAGACCGAAAUUUGCAAGGUUCGAAGUCAAAUAAAACUAGCGGAAGCUUAACGUCGAUACAUGACAUCAUGACGGAGCCGAUCAUGACAUCAAAAACUCCUUCCUUCGCCGUCCGAGGAAGGAUCCCACUCGACGGUCCAGCCCGGGGGAAGUUGGGUCGGCCAAGUGGUACCCACAACCAAACUAUUGACAUUACCUGAAAAAGAUUAGCCAGAACAAGGCUGAGCAACUAGUACUCAGCAAGACUGACCCGUCGGAAAGACACGACCGAGACCUAGACAUGCAAGGCUUUCUAGCUCUGGGGUUUUCUUUGCCAAAAGCGUCUAAAGUCAGUCCUUACUUUCAACAUUUUAGCUCAUGUUCUAUGUUCCUUAUCCAUUCUAGAUUAGCAACUUAUACUAAACAAACAUGGUUUCCAAGCAAUUACUGAACAAGCAUCAAGACUAAAAUCGUCAUCAUGUUCCAUCUUUACUCAAUGCAGAAUAGUGAUCAAGUAGUCCCAAUCUGUGAGAGGCAGAUGAAACGAUUCGAAUUUAUUAACCAUGCAUGACAACCCUAAUCUCACGACAUCCGCGCACCACGAAGGGUCGCUUCAUUUGUAAGCCGUCCCCAUCGAUCCCUUAGGUACGUGUCAGGGCCAACUUCCUUUGACAUGCAAUGCUCCACAGUCUCGGCCUAUUGCUGCACUGUGACCGCACUUGCACCCACAUGAUGCACCAUGGGAACGACGUUCCAAGGACAGCCGGAGGGUAUGCCACGCCCCAGUUCAAUCAGGUACUAGGCUUCCCCAUCCCAUACUAGGUAUGAGAUUAGUACUUUCAAACACUUGAUCACGAACGCCGACACGUUUCGACCUUAGUUCUUUUUCAUUUAGACAGACGAGGUAAUCCACCAAGUAUCGAACACAAGCCUGACCCCGUCCGUCGUCCUUAUAGUUGCGACAAAUCUGAAACAUUCAACUCCUAUAACUCGCGAGUGACAGGAGAUCACUCGACUUUUACCGAAACCUAUUAAGCAGUGCAACUACUCGGCCUUAGCAACUAGUAUUCAAAAACAAGGUACUAAGUUAUGCAUCUAAGGUUCCAUUACAACUCCUCGAAACAUAAAUGCGCAAUCAAGUAAUCAAUAAUAUUGCAUGAACUCAAGAUAGGAAUUUAUGCUCCGGGGCUUGCCUUCAGAAAAAGCUUGCGGGUCCUCGGGGUCUUGCUCCGGUUCGGGCUCUCCUUCGCAGGGAUGCAGUUCCUCGGUGGGGUCUUCUUCCGGUGCUGGAUGAAGCUCGUACAUUCCGUCGGCGAGAUUCAACUCUACACGGAAAUGCAAUGCAGGGGUUAAACAUUUAAGAUGGUUAAUUUAACACACUAAUGUUUUAACACGGACGCUUGUAGCAAAGCUACAGGAAAGGUAGGGGAGUUCAACUUCUGUUGGUGGAGAGCAGGAUGAGAGGGUUGGAUUGGGGAAAACUUAGGGUCUGACCCUCAGGUUUAAGGAAAAACCGUACCGAGGUCCUCAGACUCAACACAGAGGAAUCCCCGAAAAUAUUUCACCGAUACCUUCGGGUCAAAGAAAAAGUUACAGCCGAGCCCUCGGGCGAGGCGGAGAAAGGGUCGGCAAAACUUGGCAGGGUCGAGCGAGGCGAACGGGAAAAGGUCGGGCGAGACGAAAAGAAAAGGGGUCGGGCGAACCGAAACAAAGGGGUCGGGCGAAACGAAAAAGGACAGGGGUCGGGCGAGACGAAAAGAAAAAAAAAGGUCGGGCGAGACGGAAAGGACAGGGAGGUUUAAGUAGCUUACCUCCAGGUCUACCGGUGAAGCCUUGGGGCCGAACAGGAGUAGGCUGGGACGGGAAGUCGUACGCGCUAGGGCUUGGGCAGCGGCGAGACUUCGACGGUUGUCCGGUGGCGGCAGUGCUUCUUGCGGACACGAGCAAGCUCGAGUACCGCGCGGAGGAGCGGGUAGCUGGUGUGUUGGGAGAAACAGCUUGACGGUGGCGGCGAAGUCGUCGGAGUGUGGGGGUGGCGCAAAGGGGUGAGCUCCACGGAAGUUCAGUGGCGGCGCGGGGAGAAAGCAGUGGCUCAGAGGAGAAAGCGGCAGCGCAGGUGCGGGCGGUGGCAAGGGGUGGCAUUGCCGGUGAGGGGGUUCCCUUUUAUAGGGCCGGGGUGGCGCGGAGGGUUGAGGCGGGGCUCCGGUCGGGAAAGGAUAAGGCCGGGAGUGACGAGUGCUCGGGCGAGGCGGCCAUUGGCCGACGACGCCAUUGGGCAGAGGAGGCGGAGCUUCGGGUGGUCUUCGGCGGUGAUUGGCCUUGGGUGGCGCGCGUCUGGGGCUUCCGGUGUGUCAGGCGGGCGAGGCGGAAGGGCUACCGUGGGGUUUGGGCGAGCGGGCGGAGGCGCGGGACAUCGGGGGGGUCUCAGCUUUCUCGGCGAACGGGCGGAACAGGGUUGGCGGAGCAGAGCUGUGGCAGGUGGAAGGCGACCUGCGCGCGGCCGGCGAUUGGCUAGCCCUGAGCUCGCUCCGUCCUGUCGCGGCGUAGGUUGGGCGCCGUGGCUCUCGUCCUGUCGCUGUCGCGCUGGUGAUAGGGCGCCGACGAGCUGCUGGUGGCCGGCGGCCACACGGCGCACGGCGCGCGAGCGAAUGUGCUCUGGCGCGCGGGCGUCGAGGCUCCUUUCGGCAGCAAGCCCGACCAGCUUUGGAGCGAUCCUUCUCCGAAUCUUUCAACACAACUUCCAAAACUCCCUUAAACAAACUUGCUCAACUCUGAUUGUUCUUCAAACUUUGUUUAAGGUGCUGGUUUAAAUUGUGAAAGGAUUCAAAGAUAUUUCCGGCCAAGUUAGCCAAAAAUCUGGGAUUCCAGACUUAGGAUUUUUAAGGCACCAGGGGUGAGUUGACUGGUUUACCUUACUUUGACCGGGAUUUUGAACAAGUUCGGGUCCGAUUUGGAUCUGUGUCAGAGUAACAAAGUUGGAACACUCUUAAGGUAAUACAACUUUCAUUCAGGCCCUGACUUGAGUUUAGAUAGGGAAAACGGGAGAUGAAAUCUUGCAAAGAUGGAGGAAAACUCGAAUUCCAGGACUUAAGCUUUGGUUGCUGUUUUUGACUUCCUUCCACUCCGAAUUGGUCAAAGUGCCUUUAACAAAAGUUGUUGGAAUUAAGAAGUUUUACAACUCUUAUUUGGGCAAAAACUUAAGUUUGUAUAUAAAAUUUCAAGCUUUAAAACAAACUCCAGAAGGAGCUUCUUAGGUUUAUAAAGGUCAUUUCACUUCUUAACUUAGGGAUUUAUCACUGGUUUAGAGUUAAAAGUACUUAAUUUAGGUAGAGUUGUUACAGCAGAUGGAGGCGUGCGAGAUGGGAAUGGGGGUUAGCAAGGGGAGGAGGGGGAGGGCCGGUGCUCGGAAGAUGGGGGACCGGGGGAGGCGGCGCAGGACGGCGAGGAUGGGGAGGAGGUGCCAGGGCGGUGGUGAGCUGGGUGCAUUGUGCGGCUUUGGGGAGGGAGCGGAGGGUUGUGGAGGAGGGAGCGGACGGCUGAGGACGACGCGGAGGGUAGAAAAAGGAUCGCACGGCUGUAAUCGCACGCAGCGCGGGACAAUGGUUCGGGGCGCUUGACGUACGGCGAUUUCAUCUUGAUUUUGUUUUUCUUUUAAGCUGUAGAGAUGCUCUCAAUGCUUACCUCGUUGUCUUUUGUUGCGGAUGGCUAUCCAACUUAUCGUGCCACGUACGGGAAAAUGGUAACCCCCCACCCCGCGCGCGGCUCUUGGCAAAUGUAGGAACAAUUCGAAAACUAGCAAUUAAAUACUGGACGUUCCCAAUAUAGACAAAAAAUAAAUAUCCAACUAAUCACGGAAUAAUCCCAGUAGUAAACUAUAGAAGUAAUUGAUGGGCAACUGAGUCAUCGAACUUACAAAUCGGUGGGAGUAUCGGAGAUUACCCCUUUUUGUUUUCAAAAGACUUUAAAGUUGAAAUGUGUGACUUGUAGAAGAAAAACCCAACGCACGCGCUUGCAGGGUCAAUUAAUGAUUUUUUCUGCAACGAUUCUCGGCUGUGUCUAACAGUAGGUGCGGACAAACUUAGGCUCCGUUUGGUUCACAUGACUAAAGUCCAGUUUCUGUGACAUCAAAUGUUUUUAGAUACUAAUUAGGAGUAUUACACAUAGACUAAUUACAAAAUCAAUUGCACAGAUGGAGGCUAAUUCACGAGACGAAUCUAUUAAGCCUAGGGUUUAGGAUUGUUUAGGAUUUAGGGUUUAAGCCUAGACUUAAUAGAUUCGUCUCGCGAAUUAGCUUCCAUCUAUGUAAUUAAUUUUAUUAGUUUUAUAAUUAACUCAUAUUUAGUCCUUUUAAUUAGCUUUUAAAGAUUCGAUGUGCCACGAACUAAACUUGAUCCAAACACCCUCUUGGUGAAAGGAAAUAAGGAAUGGUGUAUGUAGUAGUCAAUAUGGGUGAAUGGGCGUCGUUUUCUAAUAGUGAUUGAUCCUAGCCAUGAUAGAGAGGUAUGAAUAAGACAUUCUGCAAUGACACGGCAAUUUCAGUCGGCCUGAUAGAUUCAUCGGUCAUGCUUUACGAAACCACGAUAGUUGUAGAAGAAAAACCCAACGCACGCGCUUGCAGGGUCAAUUAAUGAUUUUUUCUGCAACGAUUCUCGGCUGUAUCUAACAGUAGGUGCGGACAAACUUAGGUUCCGUUUGGUUCACAGGACUAAAGUUCAGUUCCUGUCACGUCAAAUGCUUUUAGAUACUAAUUAGGAGUAUUAAACAUAGACUAAUUACAAAACCAAUUGUACAGAUGGAGGCUAAUUCACGAGACGAAUCUAUUAAGCUUAGGGUUUAGGAUUGUUUAGGAUUUAGAGUUUAAGCCUAGGCUUAAUAGAUUCGUCUUGCGAAUUAACUUCCAUCUAUGUAAUUAGUUUUAUAAUUAACUCAUGUUUAGUCCUCCUAAUUAGCUUUCAAAGAUUCGAUGUGACACGGACUAAACUUGAUCCAAACACCCUCUUGGUGAAAGGAAAUAAGGAAUGGUGUAUGUAGUAGUCAAUAUGGGUGAAUGGGCGUCGAUUUCUAAUAGUGAUUGAUCCUAGCCAUGAUAGAGAGGCAUGAAUAGGACAUACUGCAAUGACACGGCAAUAUCAGUCGGCCUGAUAGAUUCAUCGGUCAUGCUUUACGAAACCACGAUAGAUACCCUCGUAUCGAUGCCAAGACUGAUAGCACGAAUGGGACACUACGACCACAAUGUCACGGCAUUGCCGUAUGUUGACUUCACUCGUACGUAUGGCCUAAUCGACAGGUCAAGAAGACGGCAUGGGCACCUAUCGCUAAGAUGGAUGGGAAGCGAUGACACGGCAUGUGUCGUUGUGCCGUGGACUCAAAAAACCUAGAGAGGAAGUUCUCUUCGGUCACUACUGGAAAAUUCACCUUCAGUUCCGGUUUGAUAGGGUUAUAAAUUCCGAAAAUGUAAUCGGGACUAAGUUUUCAAGACAAAGAGGAGUCCUUUAGUCCCGAGUCAUUCACCCGGGACUAAAUAUCCCCUUUAGUCUCGAUUGGUUUUGCCAACCAGGAACCAAUCGGGACUACCCUUCAGUCUCGGUUGGUUUUACCAACUGGGACUAAAGAGGUAUGUGCAGGCGCAUGCACGUACCCCUUUAGUACUUAAGACUUUCUUUCAAAUUCUUUUCCAUAUUAAUAUUGUAUGCAAGUCGUAUAUAUAUUUCAUGACAGUAAUACACACACAAUUUUUAGUAUAUUAUACACAUCAAACUAGUAUUUAUACAAUUACUAUAUAUACAAUACUUUGUCCUCUUCAUUCUUAGGAUCCUCCUGUCGUGGUGUUGCUCGGUUCGGCUAUUGAAUGUCCGUCGUAAUAAAAUUCUCCCGCGGGAUUUAUCACCUCAUCCACCAGAAAUUCUAUGAGACCUUGAUUGCCAAAAUCCUCUCCUUCUCCAAGAGUCUUUCUUAAAUUCUCAUCAUCUGUAAUUAUUAAUAGUUUUAUUUUACGUACAUGUAUAUCAUCCAACGACACCACCUUGUCAUGCACAAAAUUAUUCAUGUGCUCACAAACGUAGUAUCCAUAUAAAUUAUUGUCUUGUUCCUGUCUCAAGCACUUUAGUGGAAAAAAUAUAAGUUAUGAAAUAUUUGUGUUAUAGAAUGUACAAAAUGUGCAAACUUCAUACGUACUGGAACGUUGUAUUGAAUGUAAGUUUUUCUUUGAAUUCACCUCGGUGAGUCUUACAGAAUCGUUUCCAUGCGCUGCGGAUUAAAAUAAUGAAUGAUACAGUGUUAGGUAAAAAUUUAGGAAACAAACUUUUGCAUAGAGAUAAAGUUCCAAAAUUAUUACAAGUUUAGCAUGUCUUGAAUGUCUUUGUACUCCACCAGUGGUUUCUUCAAUGAAUCGAACACAAUAACGUGGCUUUUAUCAAUCAUAAUUACUAGGAGAAUCCAAUGGAAACUGUAUACAUAAAUAUUCAUAUUAGAACUAACUAGCAUUAAUUAGGUAAGGAAAAGGAAAACAAAAAUAAAUGGUAUCCGCACUUACUUAAAGUUGUAUGGCAGUAGUAUGUAUUCCUUGUAAUUUUGUUUCUCCAAGAAAUUGUAUUUUGCAUCCAAUGUAGGCUUUGGUUGAUCCCGUAUCUGAUCUUGGUUAACGAGCGAUGGAUCCAUGAAACCAACGUUGAAGUACGAUUCUCUGUGGUACCUCUGAAUUAGCAUCCUACACAAAAUGGAAGACAAAGUUAGUAGAGCGACACACACACAAAAUAAUGAUCUGAGCUAAAAUUUACAUCUUGAUAACCAGACAUUUACAGAACCCAGGCGCUGAUGAGAGAGAUAUCAAGGGCAUCCUGAUGGUACACUUCAUAUAUAUCCUUGAAUUGCAUCCAUAUGAGUUUCUCACCUUCGCCGAAAAAAUCAAUCGGUUUAACACGAAGAGCGAACAUGAGCCUUUCGUUGCUAGACUACUCCAUGUACCAUUGAUGGAAUUCGUACAUCUUCAUAGAGAGCUUUUGUACCAAUUCAGGCCUUACUAGAGGCUUGCCUACCUCAAUGGGCCAUUUAGGUACAAUCUUUGCUAGAGCUAGUGGUUCAACUUGCCCUAGAACUUCAGCAAGCGACGUACCUGAUCUUGCAUAAACGUAAUGACUUAGAUUUGUUAUUCUAAGGGCAUUGCUGCUAUAGUUUGAGCGUCUUUAUCUAGUUGCUCCACGAGCUGGGGACUUGACGACUGGAAUUCGACUCUCCUCGCCUUUUUUCUUCUGAUUAGACUUAACUAAUGAACGCUCGUAGUUGAAUAGUAAAGUCCUUUUUACUUCUUUUUUUCAUGCUAAUAAAUUUUUUUAAUUUCGAUGGAUCUAUGUAACGAUUGAGCUCUCUAAUGAACAUCGUUAAGAUCAACAAGAUCAUUAGUCUUUUUAAGCUGAUGAUUAGUAGCUUUCACAGCAAAAAGACCACAAUGACCUUAAGGAGUUAAACUAUUGUUUACAUCCUAAACCAUGUUUUUGCACAACAACUUUAAGUUUCACCAACAAGAAAGUUGUCCAACUGGUUAACUACCAGCAACCUUGGUUCUCGACUUUUGUUUUUCCUUAGCCAGCCAGAGCUCUAAAUCUGUGAGACAAGUUCAACCUUGGAGCCUUUUUACUCCAAUCCAUCGCUAUCUUGAUCUAACUUCUUUUGGCAAAGUUGUGCACGAGUUCAAGGACAGAAACUUGUUAAAAAGUUCAAUUGGCGCGCGGUUCAAAUUUUUGGGAGAAGAGUUGCAAAGCAUGUAACUGCUCUAUCUCUUCGCGCCCCGAACCAGAGCCCCUGUGCGACGUCGCCGCGUGACACGCCACCACCGGCAGCUCGCCGCCAACCAACCCAUAGCCGUGACGCGACGGGACAGCGCUAGCACUGCCCAAUCGCGCCAGCAGGCCAUCUCUCCUCUCUGUUCCGAAUCCCCAGCGUCCAAUCCCGCUCCACCUCUCCCCUCUCCGCGAACGCCACACCGCCGCAGCUCACCGGCGCAUGCCCUCGCCCAGUAACCAAUGUGAUGCGACCACACGCGCGUGCAAACCUAGCAGAUCUGCGUGCCCAGCAAACCCGCCUUGCCCCAUCUCCAAAUCCUUGCUGCCCAACAAGGGCAAGAUUGCGUCCGAGCUCGCCAAUGGAGGCGCCGACCAAUCGCCGCCGCGACAGAGCACUUCCUUCUCCCUCGAUCUUAUCCUCUCUCCCGCUCGAGCUCAUUUCCUUCCUCCGAACACUUCCGCGCAUCUAUAAAAAGGUACCGAAGCCUCUUACCGGAGUUCCCUUCGCCCCCACCGCCAUUGCCGCACUACCUGCUCUGUUUGUCUCCACCGCACUCAACGCCGCACUUGGAGCUACCACUCCGGCCAGCCCCGGGCCGCGACUCCUUCACCGCCAGCUUCGCCUUGGUCGCCUGGAGCUCGCCGACCUGCUCAGGAGCCUCUGAGGCCCUUGUCUCGCCGGAUCGCCGCCGCCAGUUUCCGCGACGCCGACCCGAGCCGCCGUUGUUCCUCGUUCCACCUCAGCUUGUUUCUCCCGACCCUGAGACCUCGUCAGUAGGACCGGAGGUGAGCUGCCGACCCCUUUCCAGCUCUUCUUGACCCUGAAUCGUCUGCAAAAAUGACCGGACCUUGUCUGCCUCGCCCGAGUGCUGUCCUCCUCGCCCGAGUGUUAUCAGCCUCACCAGAGGGCUCGGUUGUGUCUUUUCUUUUGACCGAGGGUAUCUGUGUUAAAUUCCGUGGACUUCUCUGUGUUAAAUCUAAGGAUCCCGGUAUAGUUAUACUUUAAGUAUAAGGGUCAGAUCGUAAGUUUUCUCCAAUUCGACUCUUUAAACUUGAAUUAAAUCGACAGAAACUUGGAAAUUACACCUUAAAUCGAGGAAAAAUUAGAAAAAUGUGAAAUCACUUUGGUUGGAAUCCUGGUUCUGAGUAGAAUCCAAUAAAGUAGAUUUCACACCUUUUCCUGUAGUUUUGCUACAGUUUUGGGUAUAAAUCCUUGCAAAUACUAUUGAAAUCACGUCUAAGUGUCUUAUCCUUGCAUUGCAUCUUGUGUAGAACUGAGCGUUGCCGACGGCACCUACGAGCUGCAUCAAGUGCUUGAUGAGGACCCUGCUGCAGAGCUACUCCAAGCCGGAGUAGAGCCCAUUGCUGAACUCGCCGAAGGCCCUCAAGCUAACUUAGCGUGUGAGGGCAAGCCCCGAAGCAUAACCCAGUUUUUUUUUCUAAACUUGUGCAUGCCUUCUAUUGUUAAUGUUUAUGCAUUUACGUUUACAGGAGUUCUUUGAAAACGCUAGUUGCAUGAUCUUAGGUUCCUCUGUUCUGAAUACUAGUAUGACAGGAUCUCAAGUAGCUUCUUUGCUUAAAUAGGACUCGGUAAAAGUCGAGUGAUUUCCUGUCACUCACGAGUUAUAGGAGUUGCUUGCUUUCUUUCUGCAACAACUAUAAGGACGAUGGACGGGGCAGGGUCUUGUGAAUUGUUUUGUCGGUCAGUGGGUUGCCCCGACUAUCUAAAUGAAUUUGACUAAGGUCGAGAUGUGCUAGUGUUCGUGAUCAAGUGCUUGAACAGUACUAAUCUGAUACCUAGUAUGGGAUGGGGAAGCCUAGUAGCUGAUUGAAUCGGCAAGUGGCUUAUACCCCUACUGUCCUUGGAACGUAGUUCCCAUAGUGCAUCAUGUGGGUGCAAGUGUGGUCACAGUACGGUAGAGAUCGGGACUGUGGAGCAUUGCAUGCCAAAGGCGGUUUGGACUUGACACGCGCCUGGCAAUUGAUGGGGAUGGUGGACAAGUGAAGCUAUCCUUGGUGGUGAGCGGAUGUCAUGGGAUUAUUUCCACCAUGCAUGGUUAAAACUCGGAUCGAUUCAUCUGCCUCUCACAGCUUGAGACUACUUAAUCACUAUGCUACACCGAGUAAGAAGAGGCCAUGUUGAUGAUGUUAAUGCUGAUGUUUUCUAUUAAUUGUUCGUAUAACCAUGUUUGUUCAGUAUGAGUUGCAAAUGUAGAAUGGUUACUGAACUUGAACUCGUGGCUAAAAUGUUGAAAGUAAGGAUCCACUACUAGUUGUUUUUGGCAAAACAACCCCUCUGGCCAAACAGCCUGCAUGUCUAGGUGUUGGUGGAUUAGUACCACCAACGGGUAAGUCUUGUUGAGCGUAGUCGCUCAGCCUUGUUGUGGCUUAUCUUUUCAGGUUUUGUUUUGGAAGAAGGUACCGCUUGGCCCUCCCAGCUCCCUUCGGGAUGGACGGUCGAGUGGGCUCCCUCCUCGGACGGUGAGGGUGGAGGUUACUGAUGUCAUGACCGGCUUCAUCACGGUGUCGGGCGUCGACGUUUAGUUACCGUUGUUUAUUUUCGCUGUUGAACACUCUACAAAUUUGUGUUGAAUUUCAAACUCUUUUGUUGUAAUAAACUUAUGCACUUUUUAAAAGAAUGGACUGUUGUAAUCUCUGCAACCGCUCACUCUUGGGUGAGUCCGCUUUUGUGAUCCUAUAGCGUGGUUUCAUCGGAAAGAAUUCGACAAAUGACCAAAUUGGCCUGAUUAAGGUGCAUGAUCGCAUGUUAGGCGACUUAAGUGUGCUUUAGCUGAGUUAAUUUGGGCGGUUCUGCCACAGCUGGUAUCAGAGCUUUGCAAGCGUGACAAAGAAAGCAACAGACCCUAAAAUGUUUUUCUAAAAUAAAACUUGCAAGAAAUGAGUUCGAAAAUCUCAUACGAUCGUUUAGGAUGAGCUUAGUACGAGAAGCCCUAGGGGAUUUUGGGGUUAUUUUUAGGUAGCUAGUAUUAUUGGUUAUUUAAGCUAACUUCCAGCACUUUUGGCCACGUGUAUCAUACGUGAGCAAGUUCCGCAUCGCGAGCAUGCGAAGGGUGGUAGCUUCUAUUCAAGCAGAGCCUAUCAUCACGGUUGUUUCACCCACAUGUCUUCAUACGUGCGCAAGGUUCCGUAUGUUAAUCAUACGAAGGGGUAUACGACUCUAUUCAACAGGGUCUAUAUCAGGUUGUUAGCCCAUGUCUAUUAUACGUGCGCAUGAUCCCGCAUCACAAGAAUGCGAAGGGGUAUAUUGUUCUAUUCCUCAGAACUUACAUCAGGUUGUUGCGCUGUCCAUGCAGCGUUAAACGCAUGGGUGAUAUUCCUAUAGUGGACGGUAAUGUUUGGGGACGCUUUUGUGAGUGCUGGCACAAAAGGUUCAGUUGUGUUGAGGUUAGUCUGUAGGUACUCUAACCGCACUUGCGUUAAGAUAAGAGUAGUGCCCGACUAGCUACUAUAGUGAGAGACGUAUGUGUUGCCUGGCCACUGGCACUAACAUCGUAAGUCCCAAAGCUUUUUGGGCAAUUUCUUUCAAGUUGUGAGGACGUGUUUGGUUUGCAUGCAUCUUAUGCUAAGAACACAAACUAAAAGAUGAGAAGAAAUCAAUCUCCCUCACGCCUAAACCAUUCACAUAAUGCUCACAAGUUGUUAGCCUUCCCCCUCUUAAGCAGUCUGGUUGUGGGUUUUGUUUCUCCUCGGUUGUUUAUCACCUACAGAGACUUUGCAUACGAGAGUUGUGCCUAAUCUCUUGGUUAAGCUGUUGGUACAAUGUGAGGAGUUUUCCUUCAGUAAGUUGGGUGAUACACCAACAGUUUGCAGUCUCAGUCGGUUUCAGUUUCUGGUUGAGUAAUGGUUGAAGUUGUACCUUCCCGACCCUCCAACUAGUCUUCUGUGGGAACCACUUUGAGAAAGUUGUUGCGCACUAAAUGGAUAAGGUUGUGGUGAAAUUUCAGCCUUGUUAGACUGGCAAUUUAAGAGUUAUGUUCUUGGUUUCCUCCGCUUGAUCCCUGUUGUUCCGAUAUGUGUCACUGUCAAAACCUCGAGUUUUAACCUUCUUGAGAGAUGUUUCAACUCCACCUUGUCAUCCCUAUUUCAGAUGGCUGACCCCGUGUACGUGAUGGUUGACACGGACGGCGUAGUCCACUCUGCGUGCCUUCACUGGGAGGGUUUUUCCUUCAUUUUGUGGGACACGUUGAGGACUUUUGGGUACACCGCACCACCUCUCUACUCGGGAAAGGAGGACCAGGAGCAUGGAGUACCUCGGGCCAGCGUGCACAUAAGUGUACCUCCGCCCGCGGAGCAGCCACUGUGGCCACCCUUGGAGGUCGCGGUCAUAGGACACACACUGGUGGACACAUGGGAGACUGCCGCACUAGAGACACUCACCCUCUUCUGCCAACAACACCCGUUGGAGAUUAUCGUGGAGCCGAUCAGUUUGUUUCCAGCAAAGGACUACCAGGAUGCUGAUUGGAUAGACAGGGUAAACCAUCAGGAGUUGAUGCAUUUGCUACGUCGUGCGGAGACAAUCCUUACUUCCACUCGGUGCAUGAACGCACUAUUCCGGUUGAAUGAGUUACGCGAAAUGGCGAUGACCACUCUAAGUGAGUUGGCCAUAGCCAACCGAGGGACUCUGUCCACUGUUCAAGGUGGCAUGGUGGAUCUAUCUCUAUAACUGGUGCAAAAGGACAUUCGGAUCCAUGACAUGCAGAAUGAGAUAGCAGAAUUGAAGGAGGAAAAGGCAAAUAUGGAGGCCAAAAUGGAGUUACUCAAUGAUCAGUUUAAUGAUGUCCACAUGGAGCUAGCAGAUGCUAAUGAGGUCAUAGCUGGACAUCAGGCCGCACAGCAGGAGGCGCAGCAGGUCCAGGAGGAAGAGGACCCAGAGGAGAUGGAAGGUGUGUCGAGUAUGGACUUUGAGGAAGCCCCGCCUCAGUCACCGACAGUAGCCACUCACUCUCCCGCUGUCAGUAUGGAUUCCGUAGGUAACCUUGGUGACUUUUAGAUGAGUCCUAGGGCUUGGAUGGUUUCUUUUGUAAGCACUCCUCGGUAACCUAUGCCUUUUGGGUGUUGGAUGUAAUAGGCUUACCUAGAGUUGAGUUUCCUUCUAGCUACCAUAAACUUGUUGAUUCGAAUUGGACAUGCUUUGGUCAUGACGAUUGGUGUAAGCAAAAAGUUGCAAAUUUGCAGUCACUAUUGAUCUCAGUUUUCACCUUGCCUCUACUCACUUCUGAGUCGAGGGUUAAAAACCAAACUUUUGUUGGAUUUUCUUGUAAAAUUCCUGCCCCAUCGGAGUCACAAAACGCACAUGAGCAUCUUUUACCGAUGCUCAGCGUGCUGAAAAACAGCAAGAACGGCAAAAUGCUAAGUUCCUAUUCAGCUUGAUUCUUCUCGUUGUUUCGAUCCGCGAGGGCAACGAGGAAGUAGCAAGACGACCAUUUUAUUCUGCAUGUAAAUUUUCCUUGGGAUCAAGCAAGCUUUCAAAUUAUGUGACCAAUGGAAGAUAAUGCCUUGAAGAUGGCGCGUGGCACACGUUUUGGAUCACUCUCGGUCGGUGCUAGGGAGGAGCAACUUCCCCCACCACCCCAGGCACCACCCCCCUUGGAGGCACUCCUGGCCGCUCAGAUGGAACUAUUGCGACAUCUUGUCCAAGGGCAACAGCAACCGCCACAGCCUCAGGGAGGAAGGGCUCAGCAGCAGCUCCACAUUGCUCGCUACGAGGAUUUCCUAGGCACUCAGCCCCCGACCUUCCACAAGUCAGAUGAUCCUCUUGACGCGGAUGCAUGGGUUCGCACAAUUGAGUCCAAGUUUGAACUUCUCAUCACCCCGUGUCCAGAUCAGAACAAAGCACGGUUUGCGGCGUAGCAGCUGCGUGGUUCCGCUCGUCUUUGGUGGGACCAUUACAAUGCCAUGCUGCCGGAUGACCAUGUCUUCAGUUGGGAAGAAUUCAAGACAGCUUUCCGAGCUCAUCACAUUCCCGAGGGUCUCCUGGAGCGCAAGCUCAAUGAAUUCUUCGCUCUUACUCAGGGGAAUCGCAGUGUGAUGCAGUGUGCACAAACCUUCAACGACCUCUAUCGUUACGGAGGAUAUCAUGCGGGCUCAGAUCAGAAGAAGAAGGACCGGUUUCGUAGAGGAUUAAUCCUGGAGCUCAGAGAGAGGUUGAACCCGAUAAAGGUGGAUACGUACAAUGAGCUGGUCAACUUGGCCAUCUCACAAGAGGAUUGCAUGAUGGCUCUUUCAGCCGAGAGAAAGAGGAAGGCUCCGAUGCCAUUACCCGAUGCUCCCGCACCCAAGUUCAGAAUGGUUCCUUCCGCAACACCCCGCAGGCCAUAGCAGUCGGGAAGAUGGGUUGCUCGUCCGCCACCAUCGGCAGCACCUCGUUCCCCAGGAUUUCAGCAGCAGGCACCGCGGCCGACCCUACCACUGCCGCCUCAUCCUGCCAAUGGAAACCGCUGCUUCACUUGUGGUCUUACGGGACACUUCGCCAAGGACUGCCCCAGAAACAAAGAUCAGCGCUCAGGUCAGAGCAAUGCAAUGAUCAACAAGGGGAAGAAGCCCAAGGUGCAGUUUCGCCAGGGUCGGCUGAACUUCACCAACGCAGCAGAACUUCCCGAAGGUGCACCAGUGAUGAUGGGUACAUUUCUUAUCCACAAUCACUCAGCUUUAAUUUUGUUUGACUCAGGAGCAUCACAUAGUUUUAUUGGAAGAAAAACUAGUGACAAAUAUGGGUUGAAAGAAUGUCAAACAAAAGGGUGUUUUAUGAUAUCUACCCCGGGUAGGAAAAUCACGUCAGAUAGGAUGAAUGUCAAUGUGCCUAUUAAGUUUGGCAAAACCCUCUUUAAGGAAAAUAUCAUCAUCCUUGGUCUAGAAGGGAUUGAUGUUAUCUUGGGUAUGGAUUGGAUGACUCGACACCAAGUCAUGGUUGACGUCUCAGCCCAAGCUGUCCAUAUUAACUCACCUCAUUAGGGCAACUCUAUUGUCCAAUUGCCUCGCCAAGAAUGUGUAAAUUCUUAUGCGUAUCCCACAGUUGAGACACGGCUAGAGGACAUCCCUGUAGUCUGUGGGUAUCCCGAUGUGUUUCCUGAUGACUUGCCAGGCAUGCCGCCCAAUCGAGAUGUGGAGUUUUCUAUAGAGUUGAUCCCCGGCACAGCCCCUAUUUCCAAGAGACCUUAUAGAAUGCCACCGGUAGAGCUGGCUGAGUUGAAAACCCAAUUGCAGGAGUUAUUGGAGAAAGGUUUCAUACGCCAAGUACUUCACCUUGGGGUUGUCCAGCCUUGUUUGUGAAAAAGAAGGAUGAGAGUCUACGAAUGUGUGUGGAUUACCGACCUCUCAAUGCGGUGACUAUCAAGAAUAAGUAUCCUCUUCCCCGCAUUGAUGUUCUGUUUGAUUAGUUGGCUCGAGCUAAAGUGUUCUCAAAGAUUGACCUUCACUCCGGUUACCAUCAAAUCAAGAUCUGACCUUGUGAUAUUCCUAAAACUGCUUUCUCCACAUGGUAUGGACUAUACGAGUAUCUAGUUAUGUCCUUUAGGCUCACGAAUGCACCUGCUUACUUCAUGUAUCUCAUGAAUUCGGUGUUCAUGCUCGAGCUCGACAAUUUUGUCAUGGUCUUCAUCGAUGACAUUCUAAUCUACUCGAAGGAUGAGAAGGAACAUGCAGAACAUCUUCGCAUCGUUCUCCAACACUUACGAGACCAUCAGCUGUAUGCCAAACUCUCUAAGUGUGACUUUUGGUUGGAGAGUGUGAAAUUUUUAGGACACACUAUUUCUCAAGACGGCAUCGCGGUUGACCAAACCAAAGUGCAAGAAGUCAUGGACUGGAAGCCACCUACUUCAGUCCAUCAGAUUUGAAGUUUUCUCGGUCUAGCAGGCUACUAUCGCCGGUUUAUUCCGGAUUUCUCCAAGAUAGCAAAACCUAUGACUGAAUUGUUGAAGAAAGGAGCUAAGUUUGUGUGGAGUGACAAGUGUGAAGAAGCUUUUCACACCUUGAGACAACUUCUGACUUCCGCCCUAAUUCUAGCUCAACCCGACACUAACCAGCCGUUUGAUGUUUAUUGUGAUGCCUCUGGCACUGGACUUGGAUGUGUUCUUAUGCAAAACAACCGAGUCAUUACCUAUACCUCCCGAGCAUUAUGGCCUCACAAGCAGAAUUAUCCUACACAUGAUUUGGAGUUGGCAGCAGUGAUUCACACUCUGAAAAUGUGGAGACACUAUCUGAUGGGCACUCAUUGCAAUGUCUAUACUGAUCAUAAGAGCUUCAAGUAUAUCUUCACUCAGUCAGAUCUGAAUAUGCAUCAGAGAAGGUGAUUGGAGCUAAUCAAGGAUUAUAACUUGGAAGUGCACUAUCACCCUGGCAAAGCAAACGUGGUUGUGGAUGCUCUUAGCCGCAAGGCCCAUUGCAAUUGCUUGUCGGCAGUCAAUUUCGAGGAAACUCUAUGUCACGAGAUGGCUAAGCUCAACUUAGAGAUUAUUCCUCAAAGUACCCUAAGUCACCUAAGCCUCGAGCCCACCUUAAGGGAUCAAAUUAUUCUAGCACAAAGGGAAGAUGAAGAGCUGAAACUCACUAGGACAAAAAUUGCUUGGAAAGAUGAUGGAUUUAAACACAUCCGACAGGAUGAAAAGGGAAUCAUAUAUUAUAAGAAUCGAUUGGUUGUUCCUAAUGACCCCGAGCUGAAGAAGCAAAUCUUGACUGAAGCACACAUGUCUAAGUUCUCUAUUCACCCCGGCAAUAACAAGAUGUACCAUGACCUUAGACAGAACUUUUGGUGGAAUGGCAUGAAGCCACAGAUUGCACGUUAUGUUUCGGAAUGUGACACAUGCCAAAGAGUUAAAGCCAGUCACCUGAAGUCAGCGGGCACUUUACAACCCCUACUUAUUCCGUCAUGGAAAUGGUAGGAUAUAAGUAUGGACUUCAUUGUUGGAUUGCCCCCUACCUCUCAGUGACAUGAUUCUAUUUGGGUUAUCAUGGACCGCCUCACCAAAUCUGCACACUUUCUUCCUGUUCACGCCACCUACACAGCCAAGAAAUAUGCAGAGUUGUAUCUCGACUGCAUUGUUUCCCUGCACGGUAUACCAAGGAUGAUUAUAUUUGAUCGAGAUGUUCAGUUUGUAGCACGUUUUUGGGAACAGUUACAAACUUCACUUGGCACCAAGCUAAUCCGUAGCUCACCGUUUCACCCUCAAACAGAUGGUCAGACGGAGAGAGUGAAUCAAAUCCUAGAAGAUAUGCUACGAGCUUGUGUCAUCCAUUAUGACAAAAAACUGGGACAAGUGUCUGCCGUUAGCAGAGUUUUCUUACAAUAAUAGCUACCAGGCUAGCUUGAAGAUGGCACCAUUCGAGGCCUUGUAUGGUUGAAGGUGUCGGACACCCUUAAAUUGGUCACAAGUUGGGGAAAGACAAACUUAUGGUUCUGAUCUAGUAGUAGAAGCCGAAAAGCAAGUUAAGGUGAUUGAAGCCAAUCUUAAGGUAGCCCAAUCUCGACAAAAGAGCUAUUCUGACAGAAGAAGACGACCCCUAAAGUUUGAUAUUGGUGAUCAUGUAUACCUCCGGGUCUCCCCGACUAAAGGUGUACAACGGUUUGGAGUAAAAGGGAAAUUGGCUCCCCGUUACAUUGGCCCUUAUGAAAUUGUGGACAUAUGCAGACCCAUCGCAUACCGGAUCCAACUACCCAAACAGCUCUCAGCUAUUGAUGACAUCUUCCAUGUCUCCCAACUGAAGAAAUGUGUCCGAGUCCCGAUCAAAAUCUUGGAGCAAGAACAACUCGAAAUCGAACCCGACUUAUCCUAUGCGGAAUAUCCUGCCAAAGUCCUCGAUCGUAAGGAAAGGUACACCCGACGACAAGUUAUGAAGAUGUAUAAAAUUCAGUGGAGUAACCACACGGAAGAUGAAGCAACAUGGGAAAUAGAGGAAUACCUGAAUAAACACUUCCACGACUUUCUUUUCAAGCAAGGAGGUAUGUUGCGCAGAAUCACCCCAAUCUUUUCAUCCGAAUCUCGGGACGAGAUUCUUUUUAAGGGGGUAGACUGUAACGAUUGAGCUUUCUAAUGAACAUCGUUAAGAUCAGCAAGAUCAUUAGAGUCUUUUUGAGCUGAUGAUUAGCAGCUUUCACAGCAAAAAGACCAUAAUGACCUUAAGGAGUUAAACUGUUGUUUACAUCCUAAACCACAUUUUUGCACAACAACUAAGUUUCACCAACAAGAAAGUUGUCCAACUGGUUAACUACCAGCAACCUUGGUUCUCGACUUUUGUUUUUCCUUAGCCAACCAGAGCUCUAAAUCUAUGAGACAAGUUCAACCUUGGAGCCUUUUUACUCCAAUCCAUUGCGAUCUUGAUCUAACUUCUUUUGGUAAAGUUGUGCACGGGUUCAAGGAUAGAAACUUGUUAAAAAGUUCAAUUGGCGUGCGGUUCAAAUUUUUGGGAGAAGAGUCGCAAAGCAUGUAACUGCUUUGUCUCUUCGCGUCCCGAACCAGAGCCCCUGUGCGACGUCGCCGCGUGGCACACCACCACUGGCAGCUCGCCGGUAACCAACCCGCAGCCCUGACGCGACGGGACAGCGCUAGCAUUGCCCAAUCGCGCCAGCAGGCCAUCUCUCCUCUCUGUUCCGAAUCUCCAGUGCCCAAUCCCGCUCCACCUCUCCCCUCUCCGCAAACGCCACACCACCGCAGCUCACCGGCGCAUACCUUCGCCCAGUAACCAACGUGACGCGACCACACACGCGCGCAGACCUAGCAGAUCCACGUGCCCAGCAAACCCGCCUUGCCCAAGCCCCAAAUCCUUGCUGCCCAACCAGGGCAAGAUUGCAUCCGACCUCGCCAAUGGAGGCGCCAACCAAUCGCCGCCGCGACAGAGCACUUCCUUCUCCCUCGAUCUUAUCCUCUCGCCCGCUCAAGCUCGUUUCCUUCCUCCGAACACUUCCGCGCAUCUAUAAAAAGGUAUCGAAGCCUCUUACCGGAGUUCCCUUCGCCCCCACCACCAUUGUCGCACUACCUGCUCUAUUUUUCUCCACCACACUCACCGCUGCACUUGGAGCUGCCACUCCGGCCAGCCCCACGCCGCGACACCGUCACCGUCAGCUUCGCCUUGGUCGCCUGGAGCUCACCAACCUGCUCAGGAGCCUCUGAGGCCCCUGUCACGCCGGAUCGCCGCCACCAGUUUCCACGAUGCCGACCCGAGCUGCCAUUGUUCCUCGUUCCGCAUCGGCUUGUUUCUCCCAACCCCGAGACCUCAUCAGUAGGACCGGAGGUGAGCUGCCGACCCCUUUAUAGCUCUUCCCGACCCUGAAUCGUCCGCAAAAGCGACCGGACCUUGUCCGCCUCGCCCGAGUGCUGUCCGCCUCGCCCGAAGGCUCGGUUGUGUCUUUUCUUUUGACUGAGGGUAUGUGUGUUAAAUUCCGUGGACUUCUCUGUGUUAAGUCUGAGGAUCCCGGUACAGUUAUUCCUUAAGUGAUCUACUGUAAAAAUUUGGGACUUAUUUGACUUGUACAAAAAUUAUUAACAUUAAAACAAUACCCUAUUUAAGAUUUCAUAGAUCUAUUUUUAUCUCAAGUUCUAGAGACCAUCUGGAUCUGAAAUUUUUACAGGAGGUUACAAAGUCCUAACAGAGGCUACGGUAAAUUUUGCAAGAUUUAUUGAGCAUGUUAACUAUUUAUCCUAUUUUAAGCGUAUUAACUACAUGCACUUAUUUAAGCUAGACAAAAAAUGUAUCCAACAGUAACUAGUAUUUUUCCAAGGGGAACAUUUGUAUCAUGAACUCAACAGAAGUGAUCUUGCAUUUGUCUCUAUUUUCUUCCCUUUACAGUGUAAAUAGCAAGAUUUAACUAGCAUUUAAGCAUUUUAGAUCUAAAAACACAUGAACAUCACCUUGACCAGUGGCACAAGUUUCAGGUCUUGAACAUGCAUGCCACAAGUGAACUAACAAAAAUGGUUUCACAUUUUUAUCAUUUUUCUAUGAUUUUUAGUGCAUUUAUUAGCUUAUACUCAAAAUAAAAUCUAGUGCUAAAUACAGAUGAACAACAUGCAUAUGAGUAUUCUUAACUGAAACUAAACAUCACCAGAAACCUAGCAAAACAAGAAUCAUAUUUUUUUCCAUUUUUCUACAUUUUUCUAUACCUUUUCAAAGUUUCAAGCUUUUUAGAUCUACGAAAAAAAAUACAGAAAACUGAAGUUAUCUUGCAAACUAGCCCCCAGAUCUAAGGUUUAAACGCACAUAAGUCCCUGAACUUUAACUCAUAACCCCUUCUCCUUUCCCCUUCUUCUCUAACUAGAACCUUCACACAUAGAACACACACAACAUAGCACACGGACAGAAAUAAGCACUUGGCCGGCCAUGCCUAGGGGCCGACGGCGACCAGGGGGAAGGAGCGGCUUGGGGAGGGGGAAGGACGGUGCACGGAGGCCAGGAACCUCACCAACAGCGACACAGGUGCGAGGAGGGGUGGCGCCACAGGGCCUCCAGGAGGUAGCGGAUGGAGCGAAUGGGGGCUCCCGUGGAGCGCUGUCCGGUGAGCGAGAGAGGCCGGGAAGCGGCAAAACGGAUGCAGGACACCGAGGAGAAGGUGUGGCUAUGAGGAAUCGAGCCGUGGUUCACCAACGGCGGCGGAUUUCAGCAGUGAACAGUGGGGAAUUGAAGCUCGUGGUGCUUGUAAUGGAGGCAGGAGGAAUGGAAGCCGGCGGCUUGCUUUAUAGGAGGGGGAUGGCGAGAUGAUAAGGCUGGCGUGAGGAGAUAAGGACGCCACGGCAACUCUACGUGGGCAUUGGUGGCAAGGACGAGUGCCAUGCAUGGCGGACCCGUGGUGCCCAUGCCGUGCGGGGGGAGCUCUGCCCAACCGGGCGCGAGGAGUGGCGUGGGACGAGAAGUGCUUCAUGUGGGCAUCGUUGGGGUGGCCAAUUGGCAAGGGGAGGCUCGCAGGCACCCCCAAUGGCGAGUGGCGCUGCUGUGCUGCCCAACUAGUGGCGCACGGGUGUGGACAGAGGACGAAGAACGGUCUGACGUGUGGGCCCACGAUAUUUUCAGCCAUUAAAAUUUGUCCCCUUAUUUAACAUAGCUACAGGUGUCCAAAAAUUGCCCAAAAAUACUUGUUGGAAAUAAAAAUUGCAAAGAAUCCAUUUCCACAAAAAUAAACUCAAGACCUGCUAUGGUUUUCACGCAAUUGGCAAAACAAAACAGCCAAAAUCAAACUUUAAAUGAAUUUUUAGCACAAGCAAACAUUUCCGAAAAAUUUGGUAAAAACAUUUAAAUCACUAAAUUGUAUCUAGUAUUUAAGGAAAAUAAUAGGGGGCACAUUUGUAUAGCAAAAAUUAGGGUUUCUUCACAAGUUUGAAUUUUUAACAAUAAACAACAAUUAUGUGAAUUUAACAAUGCAUAACUUCUACUCAAUUUUGAACUUCCUUUCCUCAAAAUCAGAAGAAGUGUAAAUAACAAAAGUUACUUAUUUUGAAAUGUUCUAUAACUUUUACAUUGGCUAAAAUUUAAGUUCUAAUAUGAAAUUUUUGUUUUUAACUCUUACCCCAAUUAAGUGCUUUUGAGGGUGACUUUUAACACUUAGGCAAUUUGAAUGACUUUUGAGUUUGGCACUUUGCAAUUUGGUUUGUUUCUAGUUUUUCCCUUAAUUUCUCUUAUUUUUACCCUUUGACUCUGGUUUUAUCCCUUUUUGAAUUUAGAUUCCCCUUCCAGGGUGUUUUCAACACUCGGAGAAUUAAAGUGCAUCAGAAUUUGACAAGUAGCAAUUUGAGUUUAGGGGCGAUUCUUUGCUUAAACACUUUUGAUUAUUCUUGAUUGGCUUUACUAAUACUAGGGAUGUUAUGGCUUUGCUAAUACUAGGGAUGUUACAAACCUCCACACGAGGAUCAUCACACCGCAUGCCCAGAAGGUUGGCGAUCUUUCCCUCCCCAGGAGGAUUCCCAGCAUCCUUGCUGCGACCCACCCACCCACGCCCUCUGACCUGAUCGUGGAGCCAGACCGCAUCAGCAACGCUAUCACUGAGUGCAUCGACCUCUCUGAGGUGGCGCUACGCUCAACAAGGUUGGUGCAGGGUCCCUCCCUCACCCCCUUUGGUCUCAAGAACUCGACUGCUGUGUUUUCCACCAAACUCGCACAAUCUUUCCAGAUCCAAUAUGGAGACCCACCCACACCCACCCAGUUUCUGGACUGCGACGAGUUCCAGGUUCCCUGCAUCGUCCUGACCCCGAACCUUUAUGGAAACAACAUCAACUCCUCCAUGCUAGAUCGCGAAGUCUUCGUAGUCUCCAUCGAAGAUCCACCCAUAGAUGACGAUCAGCUUGCUGUAAACAUGGGAGCCGAGGCAGAAGGUGACCAGCGCCAACCACUGCCCGCUGCCAACGCUGACCUGCUAUGCACCAAUGAUGAUGACAACACCGACCAGGACAGUGCUCUGGCAGAUGCUGGUGUCCUAUGCGUGACCACAAUCUACAAGACGCCCUCGACGAGGCCGGCCACAACGUCUUUACCCCACCCCAGGCUAACCUGGGGGAUGCCUUUGCCAAUCUGGAACACCUUCCAGAGCUAAUCCGACAAGUCCGGGCAUGUACUCGCAUAGCCAAAGCCCAGAUCAAAGAAUGGGCUCGGAGCCAAUCAACACACUCCAGGUACCAUCUACCCGGCACCCUCAAAGCUAAUCCACUCAUAGUAGAUCCGGUCACCACCAAGGCAACCACGGUAAACACGCGGGAGGUUGGCUGGAGCCUGUCCGUGAGCCCGAGGUCCUCACCACCGAAGUUGAUCCUGCCAGACCAACCACCUUCCUCUGGGAAGAGUUUGAUAACACCAUGAACGCUCCGCGCCCCUUCCAUAAGGAUGCACAUCACAAUCACUGGGAAUACAUAGUCGUUACAAAAGAGCUUGACGCCCCAGCGGAAUACAAGCGACCUUGCCGCAACAAAGACAAUCGUUGCGAAAACCGUGCAGCGACGACCGUGAUGCCCCUUAAUCGCCACGUAGGUCAUCCGGCCAGGCACCUAUCAACCCUAGUGGGCGGACAGCUCAGGUGUCCCCAAUUUGCGGAACAUCGAGCACCUGCGACGCCUCUACCUCUACCCAUAGGACUUAAAAGCUACAUAUUCUUUUUUCCCUUUUCAUUGAAUUAAUAAAACCUCUGAGGUUCUUUGCGCACCUACUUCCUUCCCGUUACUUUGCUUGAGUUGUUCCUAACACUCAGGGGGUUGUCCGACUUGUUCUUCAAACCACUCACUUUCAAGCUCGAGGGCUUCCCCCAGUUGUCGACCACUGGGUCUCUCACCUCCAGUCGCUGACCUCAGGGUCUCUUGUAAUAUCCCAAAAAUUGAGUGAUAUUAAUUGUGCUAGUUUUUCCAAAAAUUUAAAACUUCUUGUUUGAUUGUGUGAAUCAUAUAAAUACUUGGUCAAAUUUAAGUUCAACCCUCAAUUGUUUUCUCUAAAUUCAAAAGCUAGUAAUUAAAAUUGUGCAUUCAAAUUAAAAACAUGCUUGCAUGAGUGAUUUGGAUUUUCAUUUGAUUUUAUUUGGAUCUCAUGUGUGAGUUUGUAUUUUGAAUCUAAUUCGAAAUACAAACUAAAGCUAGCAUGUAAAUAGUAUAAUAGAAAUCCAACAUGACUAACUCAAACUUGCACCCGAGCUGUUCACAAACUCAACCAGCUCGGUCUGAUCCGCUAACUCUCUACUCUCCCUUCCUUUCAUGUGAAGCCAGCGGAUUGCUUUGGAAGCCUGAUCCAUUUUCACCUUUGCUUCCACUCGCAAUGCCCAGCCAAUUAACAUGGGUGUAAUCCAACCCAACCCCCUCUCACUUGUUUUGAACCUAAUCCUUUCUUAGAACUUUGAUCAACCCUGUGAAGCAUAUCUACGCACACACGCACACGCGAGCUCUCCGUUGCCACCCUGCGCACAUGUGCUACCUCCUUAAUCCUUUGUAUAAAAACUAAGUCAUCCAGCUCCUCUCAUAACCCAGCCCAUUCCAACCUGAUUCAUUUUGUUUCCAUGCGAAGCCUAUGUGCUACAUGGCCUUAGCCUGCUAUGCCACCCAGCCCGUUUUGCUGUUGCAGCCCAGCUUCGCCUGCUCCGCUGGCCAUCAGCACGGACACGCCAGUGCCUCCUCGCGUGUUCUUCACGCGAUGCCGCCACCCACCAGCUCUCUCCCUGUUUCUCUUCCUCCUUCACACGGACGUUGCCACUCUUCUUUGCUUUUCGCUUUCUAGCUCACGCCUGCGUGCAAGCCUCCCUCGUGCCACGACCCUUGACCGCCAGUGCAGCACCCACCCUUGGAUGCUCGCCUACCUCGCGUGCGAGUCACGCCCUCGCUGCGACCGACAGAUGCACGCCGCGUGGCCCUGAGUACGCGAAUCGGAGAUCAGCAGUCGUCCGUCCUACAUGGGCUCGCCCCUAGAACCCUAGUCCUCAGGCUAUAAAGCCUCACAGCAGCCACACCCUCUCCAUCUCUCCCAAGCCACCACCGCAACCUUCCUGCUCUCUUUCUCCCUUCUCUGUUCUUCCUUCACGGUGAAGCAGUUGCUCUGUUCUUUUCUCCUUCCACCGCAAGCUACUUCCUACCCUUCUCCAAUCGAACAGCAAGAAGCCUAGCAGCAGCACCAGUACAUGGCGCCCCCUCCAAUCCUCUCUCUCUCCCUCGAAUCCAAGUAGCAGCUGCUCCUUUCUUUUCUCUCCUUUUUCUAAUCAGAGUAGAGCAAGAACAGACUAGCUCCAACCCAAGCACAAGCCGCCGCCCCUGCCCUUGAACUGUGGCGUGCUGGUGGGAGCUCGCCCAGUGGGCCGUUCAUCCCUCGAUGUCGUCCGCAAGCUCAUUAUUUAUUUUUGCGUCACAUCUUGUUUAUGUUUGUAGACCCGAGCUGCGAUGAUCGAUAUUUUACCUUUCUUGAUUCAGUCAUGAUAGACUUGUACCGGCAUGUGCCGAAGAUAUGUACUCAUUACUUAUGUUAUUUAUGAUAUCUGUACUCUAUUGUUGCUAUAUAUUUCUAUGUUGGUAUGGAUUUGUACUACAUGAGAUAGGGAUUCGCACGUGAUAGACUUCCUCAGACUAUCACCGAGGUGCGUAGGCUUGAAUUCUCAGAAUUGGAAAUUCGGGUCUGUUUCAGCUAGUAUCAGAGCCAUACUUGACCGUAGGAUGAUCCCUAGCAAUAAACGUUAGCUUAGGACAGCCUAAACAUCCUUGAUUGAGUAUAUACUCCUUGAUUACUAUAUGAAUCCCUUGCAUUCUACUACUACAUCCUUGAUUUCUCACUAACUGACUUACUAACCACCCUUCGUGCAAUUUCUGUCUCAUGGUGAACAACAAAUGUCACCUACUUUAUAUUAGUACGUCAAGGUCAUGCAACACUAAGGAAGGAUGUCUGAUGCAAGAUGAAGUCAAUGAUUGCAACGACAACUAUAAAGGUUGAAUAUGGGGAAUGGAUGAAGAUAACCCUAUAGGACUCACUUGGAUUACCCCCGCAGACUCUUUAGUGCCGGACUACACCACCACAGUUGUCUCUGCCUUAAGUUCAGACCGUCAAAGGUCGAUCAUACUCCCACCAGGAUGCUAUGUCAGGUCCAUAAGCGGAUGAGGCUACAACUAUAGGAUAUACCCUGCCACCUCUUGCUCAGGCCAAUUCAAGAACUUGGAAGCUUUCAGGAUGAAACUUGGAUGGUCGCCCUCGUCCAUGCUAUGAAGAGAAUAAGGACUUUGAGAUUUUAAUUCGUUGUGUGCCAACAUCAGGAUGUAUGAUGAUCAACUACAUGGUAUCUGCACACACGAGCUCGGAUGCAGGAUUUGGAAACUCCUGAGAUGCCCAUAGCUCAACAUGUGGAUGAAGAUCUAUAGACUUGAAGCUACAAGUUUAGCCAAGUUGCAAAGGAUUAAGAUAUUGUGACAAGCAGCAGCUACACGAGGCAAAAGGAUUGAUUGAAUGGAAGGUUAAGAUCACCCUGCAAGCCAGCAUCACAUACCAAGAAUAAGGAAUUAUGAAUAAGGACUUGUUACUUCACCAUAAGGAAUUUCCCAUUGCAAAUAAGCGUGAGAAAUUUGGGGGCAUGGAUUUUAAAGACCUACAAGAGAAGUUGCCCUAUCUGAAGGUGAAAAACCAAAAGAAAUCAUAAUGGAGAAUGGAUAGAAAUGGACAUCAAGCACCCCUCCUUGCAAGGACAAAGCUGUGAGAGCCAUGGACGAAGGAGAGUAGUCCAACUACGACAGAGUAUCUGAACUAGCAGAGUUGGACGAGAAGCCUUGGUCUAAGAACAUGGAGAUUUUAGCUCCCUCCUACCAGAACCCAUGUUCUUCUAAGGAUACUUAUGGAACACAUUCUGUCAAAAAAGAAAAUAUGGUAACGGGAUCUUAACCCGGUUGGUUCAAGAACCUAGGUUUGCUAAUGGUUGUAGACCUGAAUGCAUUAAGUGUUCCCAAGAGCAAUAUGGAAUACAACCAAGAAGAUGGGCCAGCAUAAAUACAGAGUUUCACCAGCUUUCUUUGGAAGCUUCACACAAAGUCAUGAUAUGGAAUAGAUGCAGAAGUCGGAGUGAAGCUUGUAUCAUUCAGUGAUAUAUCACCAACAUUAGAGAACCCCUACAUACCCCCAUGGCCACGAUUUACUAGUACGCUUCUUAUCGUCCGAGUGUAAUCUCAAAUGUCUUAGGAGUCAGCCUCGAGAUACGCUCUUUUGUUUGGUGCACUAUUUGAAUGAAUUGGAUCUUUAUGGUCUUAUGGAUCUUAUGCAUCUUCAUGCUUGUGUGAAAUUGUAUUGUGUGCUCAUGCUGGCUAGAUCCUUUAGAUGACUCCUUUAGAACCCUUAGCCUACCUUGCUGCAAGACCAUGAGCUUGAAGAAUGAAGGCCAACGCGUUGAAGCAAAUUAACAAGAUCUACUUCAGAAGAAGAUAAGAACUUCAUUGCAAUCUCGGCAAGUCAGACUAAGACGUUGGAUAAGCUAUCUGUGAAUAUUGGAAUUUAGAUCAUAGUCCUGGUUAUGAGUGCCUCGAAAAUUUGGAACCUCACAAGUUCAGAAGUGCAUGUAUACCCAUGGAAGCACAUAUUGGUUAAGAGCAAUUGAGUACCCUGAGACACUAGCGAUGCAUUUGGACAAGUACAGUCGAUUAUUGGUACUUAGUUAAUGGACAAAGAGAAAGUACUCCCUAUGGAACAAAUAGUUUAAGAGCUCCCACUAGAGUACACUACCUUCCCAUUUGCACCUUGCUUGGAAUUGUCAAAGGAAAGGAUGAGAUUUGCCAAUAAGAGGGCUCUCUCUAUCUCAGGUAAACUCAAGCAAGGACCUGGAACAUGGAACCCUCAUAUCUUGGAAGUUGAAACAUGGACACGAGUAACAAGUGCUUUCGAAAGGAUCCCAAGAUAAUGAAAGAAUGGAUAAAGUGUUUGUCCGUUCCAAGUCAUUUUAGCGAUCGAAGAUAAUCUGCACUGCCAAAACCCUUAAUAUGUGCAUUGAGCCUUCCAUGGAUGGACGAUCAUGCAUUCUUUCUAGAUUUACACUUCCCAUGCCACUCGGACAUAACGAAUCCAUGGCUAUAAUACCAUGACAUCUCCAAAAUGUGGAAGCAAAUGGACUGCAACUGAGUAAUACAAUACUUCGACCUAAAGAUAUUGUUGAAGUGUUUGGAUAUGGUUGGAUGACCAAACUCGAGGGAUACAAGGUUUUAUACUACAUGAGUAGUCAUCCUUAGGUCAUACUAUGGAAUUAACCUCACUUCCACACCUACUUAGUUCUUUCAGAACUAUUGGAUAAGCAGCGUAACUGGGUAAGCACCAUAAGUUGUGCCUUGGAAAAGGAUACAUGAAGGAAUUCUUAAGGAAUUACUAGGUCUACAAGUGGAUUGAGAUAUGGAGUUCCGAUCAACCCCACUUUUGGAAUAAAUCCAAUGUAAAGAAACUCUACUGGACACUACCUAUUGGACUAGUGGCAUGAGAAAUAACUCCAAGAACUACUGGACAAGAGUUAAUUGACCUAGUAGUUGAAACCACCUAAGUUAUUGGAAAAUAAGUAAAAAACAGAUAGUGAGCACAAGUAAGGAUUACUGCUCACCUAAAUGAAGUAACAAACGAAUGACAUCAUUUAUAAUUGCUGACUGCAUGGCAACAAGGUGAAGUCAUGUACAUUUCCAGGAUAUCUACAAGGCAUGAAUACCAUCAAGAGGAAUAAUGUGAACGAUUUUCUAGGGACAGUGAUCCACACUACGGAUUGAUAAGUGAUCCAAACCGCCCCUAGAUAUGAGGAAUAAGGACCCUACUGGGAAUUGGUUAAGAGUUAUGGUAUUAGUAAGAGUUAACCUCAACUAGCCCAAGUUGGCUAAUGAGCAUUUGUAAGAUGCAAGUCAUGCGCUUGAGUAGAUCUACCUUGAGAAAUUGGAUCCAAAACUGACUAGUGUGAGCUUUUGGUUAAAGAGAUUCUCUCACAUAGACGAGGGUGUUGCAGAUAACCCCUCCGAACAUGGACAGCCAUGAAUGGGGAGUAAGCAUGCAUAAUAACAUUUCAAACCAGGAGAUAAUUGGUUGUGUUAGAUAAUGCUAGCACUUUGAUGAGAACCGUUCAAGACGUCUAAACCAACAAAUGGAUUAUAAAAUAAAGCAACCUAUGAAGUUGGUAUGGAUUAAUGGACGCGAGAACAGGCGCUAGGCAAGAUUGACGAACUCUUGAGCGGGAGUCACCUUAAUUAACCAUACAAGGUCCUAUUAUGAAUACAUGUUUGGACAUAGUGCAUACUUCAUGUACUUAUGCAAGAAGUGAGUACAUAAGCCUUGCUAUAGCUAUGGAGGUAAGAAGCAAGCUAUCUAAGCCUGCGAUGCAGUUAACUAAUUUAGAAUGCAUGUCAUGGAGAUGUGGCUGCACUAAUACCUUGGAAAUACAUGUUAAGCCCACAUGGAUCGAGAGAUAACAUUUCAUAUCUUCGACAUGUUCCAACUAGACAUGGCACCAGGAAGAUUGCCUAGAUAAAACAAGAGAAACUUGGGGAUGUUCAAAAGAUGGACGAAGAAAAGAGAUUUUGGACUCAAGAGUGAACCUAGGUCCCAGGAUCGAGGGGUAAGGCACCCAUGGAGAACAAUAGUGCAAUGAUGUGCCAAAUGGAUUAUAUUAAGAAACAAUCCUAAAAGAAGCUCAUGCUUUCACAUUGUUACGCCAAGAGGUUUAACAAUUCAAGAAUGAAGGUAUGGUGACCAAGGAUGAAAGGUUAACUAACCUACUUCGCGGUCUGUAAAGGAAAAUGCCAAGAAUUGAAUCUCAAUAAGCAGUGGUAUCUGGUAACUACCCAUGAAACUCUUCGAAUGAGACUCGUCUACCACCCAGGGUAUCACUUUCGGAAGAGAAGUUGAAUUUGGAAGAGACAACCCUAUACGUCAGUAGAUGCUAAGGAUGCAUGCAUUUGUAUAUAACAAGGUAUUGGAUCAGAGUUUUGCUAAUGCACUACCCCAUUACCACCAAGCUACUUGGUAUGAUUGGAAAUAUCGAAUUUAAGAACUCUGCUAGGCAAAAAGUAUACGACUCCCUACACGUGGAAAGAAGUGGGAAAAAACAUGCCUUAUUGGAUUAAAAGUACAUCAUGGACGCCAUGAGAACAUGGCCAAGUUCAUAAGGAACAUGUUGAAAUAAGUUUAAGUAGCUAGCAAGGGCUACACUGACCAGAAGGAUCCAAUAACCUCGAAUUGGAGGAUUGCACUAAUCUGAGAUCAUCAUAUUCUAUCGGGCACAAAGACUCUAAACCUAAGCUAACCAAAGCCGAGGUAUACACGGCUAGAUGAGAUGGAUUAAGAUAAUAGGACCCUAGCCUAUAAAUUGGAAUUUCCCAAGGGCUCGACGGAAGUAUAGCCCCUCUUGCUUGUUUUGAACAUAUUCCUUGCUUAGCACUUUGAUCAACCUUGUGAAGCAUAUCUACGCGCGCACGCAUAGGUGAGCUCUCCGUUGCCACCCUGCGCACGUGUGCUACCUCCUUAAUCCUUUGUAUAAAAACUAAGUCAUUCAGCUCCUCUCGUAACCCAGCCCAUUCCAGCCCAAUUCAUUUUCUUUCCAUGCGAAGCCCAGGUGCUAAAUGGCCUUAGCCUCCUACGCCACAUGGCCCAUCUUGUCGUUGCAUCCCAGCUUGGCCUGCUCCGCUGGCCAUCAGCACGGACACACCAGUGCCUCCUUGCAUGUUCUUCACGCGAUGCCGCCGCCCACUAGCUCUCUCCCUAUUUCUCUUCCUCCUUUGCACGGCCGCCGCUGCUCCUCUCUGCUUUUUGCUUUCCAGCUCACGCCUGCACACUAGCCUCCCUCACGCCGCAACCCUUGACCGCCAGCACAGCACCUAGCCUUGGAUGCUCGCCUGCCUCGCGUGCAAGUCACGCCCUCAUUGUGACCGACAAAUGCACGCCGCGUGGCCCUGAGCAUGCGAACCGAAGAUCACCAGCCGUCCGACCUACAGAAGACCUCUAGUCAAUGUGACCAUUUCUGAAAAGAAAUCUUAUCUCUUCCGAAAAUAAAGGUAACUGCCAAUUCAGGUGUCGUGAAAUCUAUGGAUCCGUUAAUUCUGAAAUCCCUUUAUUCACGCCGGUGUUACCGCUCCACGGAGAUAAAUAAUGGAGGAAGUUAUCCCUCCCAUUUCACCUUUGCUAGUUGCCUUUCCAAUCUCCAAACUGUAGCCCUAGCGCUGCCACUACCCAAUCUCCGAGCACGAGCGCCACCACCCCCCACCAAUCAGCCCCUGAGCGUAUGCGAUAGAAGAAGCUCAUGUCAUCAAGGAUGGGGAGGAAGGCUGCUGCUAUCAAGCCUGCCGAGAGGGAAAAGAAGAAGAAAGGAUCUGGCAAGGAAAAAGAUAUUUAGUUGCCGGCGCCCAAGUACCAGAAAAUUGAUCAGAUCGCACAGCCAACUCCCGCUUGCGCAUGGAAGCGGUCAUGCUUGAAAGAGGAGGAGAUCAAGGUGCUUGUGGCCGCCAAGCUGCUCCAAAAUAAAGACAUCAUCAGUUGGAGAUUCGCCCACGGCAAUUCGUGGCCAUUGGAGGAACACUCCAAUGAAAUGGUAAUUUUCGCUCACUUCAUCGAGCGCGGUCUUGCAUUGCCAACUUCUAACUUUUUCCGGGGUCUUUUGUAUUACUAUAAGUUGGAGCUGGUUCAUCUGAAUCCCAACGCAAUUCUCCAUACUGCCAUAUUUGUUCAUUUUUGUGAAGCUUUUCUAGGAAUCAAACCCCACUUCCAGUUAUUCCAAAAAAAAUUCCAUGUAAAGCCGCAACCAAUGAGGGAUCAUACUCAAGUAGUCGGAGCAGCUGGUAUCCGAUGCAGGAGAAACUCAGCAGCCUGUAUCUAGAUUAUGAGUUGAUAGACUCCAAUGCUGGGUGGAAGGAAAAAUGGUGCUACAUCGGCAAUCAUGAUCCGAAACUACCCGAGCUGACAGGACAUCACCCCUCCUAGAACAACCGGUGGCUUGAUGAACCAACACAUGUAUUGGGGGGGGGGAAUAUUAACGACUCCUCCCAAGCCCAUGGAGACGGCAAAAUGUAAAGGCCCAGGCCCACCUGAGGUAACAAGGCUGGCGCCGGCCCAACACGGGGAGCAAGAAUCACGCUCCGCCUCGCCUGACCCGGCAUCCCGGGGUCAGGCAUCCCCAACCCCCACGAGACCAAGCUCCGCCUCGCCCGACCGCAGGACCGGGGUCGGGAGCAUCCGACCCCCCGCCGCAGGCCUCCGCUUCGCCCGACCCCAAGCAUAGAAGGUCGGGCUGGCCCGGGCCCACCAGACAAGUAUCCGCCUCGGGCACGGAUCUUGUGGGUCCCCCUAUCGAUUCCACCAUAAAUGCGCCGCAAAGCUAUCAUAAGGAAGGAUCUCCGCGCCCCCACGCAACCCGUUGCAAGUACCCAUGUGCGGCCGCACAGUACAUGCUACAGUAGCUGCGACCCUCUCCGAUUGGUCACAGGGUACUCAUGAGCUGCACCGCCCAGGGCAGGAAGAGGCCUCGCCCGCUCUCAUGCCCCGCGCACCCGGCGGCAGAGAUGUGACGUCCGCUCUCCGCAGGCCGUCAGCAGAACGGCAAGAUCCGCCGCCUCCCCCAAUGGACACGGGGAUCACGACGGAACGCCAUCAUCACAUCCGGUGGCUACAGUCACCGAGGAGGCCAUCGACAGGAUGCAGCGGCCGCCACCCUCUUCCGGCAAACGCGCCGGUAGGAGCCGAAGGCCGGCGAGGACGCCGGCGACCUGGGAACUUGUUCCCCCCCUCGCAUUAUUCUUUUUACUUAGCCACGUUUAUCUUUUUAAUGCUCCCCACACUCGGUCUCACCUGUAACCCCGGUGGCCUCCUUAUGCUAUAAAAGAGGAAUCGAGGGCCCAAGACAGGAGAGGCUAAAGGCACAACUAAAAGCACCACGACGCUUCCAAGCCAACAAAACACACGCACACACCCUUCUAGAGCAUCAGUGCACAUCCAAGAGACCUGGGACCGGUUCCGUCUCUCGUACUCCUGUAACCCCUACUACAGAACCCUGCGUGGGCAACACGAGCAGCUCCCGAUACUGGAUGUAGGGCAUUCCCUUGCCCUAACCAGUCUAAACCAUGUGUCUCCCACGCCACCAUCUGAAGCCUCACGCGCAUAAAAGAAAUUUACUCGUCUAAGUCUUGAUCCGCUAAUCUUGACAACGACAACACGGGAAUUGCUUCCAACUACCCGAUCUCAUUGAUAGAAUAGCCAAGCUGAAGCAAGAAGGGCUCAUUGGAGGUCGAGUAGCCUUUAGUUUUAUGAAGCGAUGAAUCCAGCCCUUGCAGCAGCGAUGCCACUGGGGUUAUGAGUAUACUGGUGUCAAUGAUCCAUCCAGACUUUCUCCUGAUGAGCUUAGCACAGAUGAAAUUAUGGCGAGGCUAAAGCGGAAGUUCAAAAAUGUGGGUGAUAUCACUACCAUUUUGCGAGAAUUCAGCGCCACCAACCCACCAAAGCCUGUAAGUACCCGUGGUUGUAGCCCCCAAGUACUUAUUUGAAGUUGUUGGGUUUGCUAACUUGUCUUUCUUUACAUAAAGAUGUCAGCUUGUACUUCUCUGCUCCUCCUCCCGGAUCGGAAGAUACUUGUGAAGCUGCUCCUCGCGUGCAUACGGCGGAGAGUGCUAAGAGUGAUGACGACCAAGAGGAGGAAGUACUCGAGUCCUCUAGCGGCACUAGCUCUGAUGCCGCAGAUGAAGUCAAGGCUCAGCCAUCUGCUAAGGCUGGGUCCUCUUCUGGAGCAAGGAAACAAUCGGCUGCUGAUGAGCUUGAAACUGCGAUCCCUCUGCCACCAAAGAAGAAAUGGACUAUUGCGGCGAAACGAGCCGUGAAGAAGUCUAUAUCGGUAGAUUAUGUGCCUCCCAAGGUAAUUACCUAUGAGGAAUGACAAGAUCCUGAUUAUUAUGUACUCGCAAAGGAUAUUUCCAAUGUCGCCACCGUGUCUAAUUAAGAUGACACUAGUGGACUGCAGGUCCUUGAGCGAGUGACGGAUGCUGAAGAAGCGGCUGCUCUGGUUGCACAAGACAAGUUGCCGAUCAUCGAGGAGGUGAUUAAUAUUGAAGAUGAUUCGGAGCCUCCUGUUGCUGUCAAUAGCAACACAUCUGGAUUGGUGGUUGACCCUGCCGCCGCAAGAACAACUCGAAUAGCAGAGGCGGUGGCUAAGGCUGGCAAUGAUCAUGUUGUGACCAUUCAAGCCGCGCCAAGGAAAUCGUCUCCUACCAUUAAACCGCUGCGCCUUAUAGGAGAACCCUCUUUGAAGUUGAGGAGAUAUACAAGGUAUGUCUUGCUGCUCCUUUGAGUACUAAUUGUAGCUCAUGAUCGACUUGUUAUGUCUCUGAAAGCUUUGUCUUAUGCAUGAAAUCCUAUGAUAGGGACCUUGGAGAGCCUAGCUUGAGGCUCGUGACUGAUGGCGGUAGCCUCUCAGUCCAGGACGUUGACCCAGCCCAAGCAAGUCUGCAGCCAGAGGAACAACCCACGACAACAAGUAGUCGAGGUGCUGUAUCAUUUGUAGCAGCAUUGAUGCGAGAUGUCAUAUCAUCUUUGACUGACAUUGUAGUGCCAGCCCCCGAGCAACAAGUACCCGAAGAGGCGAUGGCUGCUUCUGGUGCGGCGACCAAUGUUGAUAUCUCAACCUCUGAGCAUCAAAUACUGAGGAGGCGCCAACUGCUGUGGACGUAGCGACUACUUUUGUAGCCCUGGAGCAAUGGGUUGUUGGUGAAGCAAUGAUUACCUCUGGUGUUGUGGCUGCAGAUGUAGCCCCGAGCCAGAGAUAGAAGCCGAGGCGGCGACAGCUCUUGAUGCCAUGGUCGUCAAUGCAUCUUCCCAAGUUGGGACAUUGACAAGUCUUGAGAUGGUCCUUAUGCAAGCACGAAAGAUGGGACUAGCUCUAAUAGGAAGAUGACUCUGGAGGACAUCCAGCUGAUCGAUGAUCCAUUGCUGAACCCAGAGAUGAUAGCUACUAUCAUGGAGAUGCACCGUCAUGUCGGCACUUAUGCAAAGGUGAGUUGAAUUUGCCUUGCUUUGCUGGCGCAAUAUUUGCUAGCUUGUACUCAUUUGAUAGUUCGAGUACUAAUUUCUGAGUUCUAGGACUUGAUCAAUCGCUCCCGUCGCAAGUCAGAGAUGCUUGAAGGGUAUGGUGAUGCCGUACUCCGUGCUGAAGCACUGGAAAAGGAGCUUGCUAAGGAAAAAUUGUAUACCUCUCUCUUGAUGAUGAAGCACGACAGCACGACGGCAACCUUCCAGAACAGAAUUCAGGAUCUGGAGGACGAGAAGGAGCAUCUUGUUGCUCGCAAUAAGUCUCUCAAUCAAAAAAAUUUAAGUUGGUCUCCUCUCCUUUGAUGUCUUUCGACUACUCAUUGCCUCACGAUCUUACAGACUACAUGCUAAUGCUGCACAGAAUAUAAGAAAUUGGAACCAGAGCUUCAAGCGUUAAUCACCAAUUGGAAGAAUGCUUUUUACCGGGUGACAGAUCAACAAGAUAAGCCGGUGCGUCAUGUUGAGAAGUUGUAGCAUGAUCUGGAGAAGGAGACGCGGAUCUGCGAGGAUAGUGAGAUUGAUUUGGUCAAUGCCAUGAAGACCAUCCGAGAGCGCGAAGCUGAGCUGGAAACUUCCAAACUCUCUCUGAAGGACAUAUCUAAAGCGGCCCAGCCAAUAGCGGAUAUGGUGGAGCUCCAGUUGAGGGUGUAGAGCCCCAUCCGCUAUCUGAAGUACUCAAGGAUGUCUGAAGUACUCAAGGACGUGCUAGGAAAAUUCACCAGCUUUAUUCAGAAGAUGGCAAAGUCUGUCUCCAAGCAAUUGCUGAGCUUCGUCAAGUCGUUCUAUCCUCAAGUUGAUCUAGCUCCUGUUGCGGAGGGUACAUCAGAGGAUUUCUCUGACGAACUCUUUCAAGAGUACUUGCAAGAGAUGGACCCCAUUGCAGAAGAAGUAGCCAAUCAUCUAAUCCUUAAGUAGUUCUAUAUUAAAGCAAACAUUAGUUCUUGUUGCAACCUCUGCUGCUUUCGACUUGUUGUUUUUUUAGUGCAUCUUACAAUCUUCCCUGAUAUUUGCUCGUACGAUAGAUGUUAGUGUCUGAACACAAGGCUUCUUUGAUCAGCCUCAUCAGAUGCACAUUGUAGAGUACUUUAAGAUCGCAUUCUCCUUUUGUGGGUUGCGAGUACUCAGGCUAUCUAGUAAGUAGACCUCUGGGCGAGUAGUCUCUUCAGGGUUUCGUUGACUAGAGCCUAUCUUCACAACUUCUCUAGGUUGUAUUGAUGUUGUGCUCUGAAAAACCUGGAACUGCGGACUUGUAAUUACAAGCCGCGACUAGACAGAUUUAUCUCGUAAAUAGUUACUCAAGUAGUUAAUUAACUCCUGAGGUACUGAUGGCUUCUUUUUUUGCAAGCUGCUAAGGGACAGAUUUGUCCAAUGAGUUAACUAAUUCAUGAAGUUUACUACAGACUUGCUUUACAAGCCACUAUUUGGACAAUUUUGUUCAGUGAGUUAAAUAACUCAUUAAAAUUUUGCAGACUUGUCUUUACAAGCUGCACUUGGGCAAUUUUGCCUAGAGAGCUCAAUAGCUUGUUGUAGUUGUGCAGACUUGUUAUUACAAGCCGCGAUUUGGGUGAUUUUUCCUAGGGAGCUGAAUAGCUUAUUAGGAGUACUACAAACUUCCUUCUGCAAGCCGUGAUAAGGCAGAGAUAAGUAGUCGAAUAAAAAUAUGACUGCUUUGCUGAGUUGUAAUUCCACAACUAGGGCUGAUGGCCAAUUUACAUGAAUAUGUAAAUCAAAAUUAGGGAUAAAAUCGACAGAGCAGCUUGAUGUUCCACAAGUUGUCAACGUCUUCACUAGAGAGAUGUUGGAGAUGAUAAACGGUCUCUCCCAUGGUGAGUUUAGCUUGUGUAGCCCCUUGAUGUCUUAGAUACACUUGAGGACCAUAUCGCCUAUAUUGAAUGAAUGUUCUUUGAUGUUGCGAUCAUGAUAGCAGCGGAUUCCUUCAAGGUACCUUGUAGACUGGACGAGUCGCUGCACAGUGAGGUUCUAUGAGGCUGUCUAAGUCUAGAAACCUUGUUUCUUCUAUUGCAUCCUCCUCGUACUGCUCGACUGUUGCGAUUUCCACAUAACGUCAGUAGGUAGGAUACUUUUGGAUCCGUAGACCAGGAAGUAGGGCGAUUGCCCUAUAGGCAUGCACGGCUGGAUACGUAGCCCCCAGAGGACAUUGGGUAGUUCUUUGAGCCACUUGCCUCCUUUUGUGUUUCCGAUAUUGUGCAGCCUUUUCUUGAGAGCUUCUAGUACCAUCCCAUUGGCACACUCAACCUAGCCAAUAGCCCAUGGAUGAGCGAUAGAGACAUACCAGAUACCGAUCCCACUAUUCUCGCAGUAUUCUCAGAACUUAUGAUUAUUGAAAUUGGAGCCUAGGUCUGUGAUAAUGCGAUUGGGGAAACCGUAGUGGUGGAUAAUUUAAUCGAGGAAGUCGAGUACUCUGUGAUAAUGCGAUUGGGGAAACCGUUGUUGUCGCGAACUACAUGGUGGAACUUCAUACCAGAGAAUUUGUUCUCUAGCUUGUGUACUUCUAGGCAAUACGCAUCCAUAUUCUCCUUGUGACGAUCCCACUCAUCAUUGACUUGAUUGAUCACCACUAGUGAGUCAUCGUAGACCAACAAGCGCUUGAUUCCUAGCAAGACUGCCAGGCGGAGUCCAUGUAGAAGCACUUCGUAUUCAGCUUCUUUGUUGGAUACUUCCUAGAAGAUUUGCAAGACGUAUUUGAGUUGUUCACCUUUGGGAGAUAUCAAGAGUAUUCUUGCACCGGUUCUCUUGAGCUUGAGUGAUCCGUCAAAAUACAUGACCCAAUGCUCUAGACGCUCUGUUGGUAUUGGUAUUUGAUUCUCCCGUUAUUCUACCAUGAAAUCGACUAAGGCCUGGGACUUGAUUGCAGUCCUCGACUAGAAUUCUAGGGUAAAUGCUCCGAGUUCUAUCACCCACUUAGAUAUUCUUCCAGUGGCAUCCCGAUUGUGGAGAAUUUCUCCAAGAGGGAAAUCUGUGACGAUGGAGUGUUGUGUUCCUGGAAGUAGUGUCGUAGCUUGCGCGAGGUGAGCAGUAUUACGUAUAGCAAUUUUUGGACUGGCGGGUAUCUGGCUUUGGAAUCUGACAACACCUCACUGACGAAGUAAACGGGCCUCUGUACUUUGUAUACAUGGUCUUGUUCUAAUUUUUUGUACUUUGUAUAAAUGGUCUUGUUCUGGUUUUUCGACGACAAUCGCCGUACUAAUGAUGUUGGUAGUCGCGGCGAUGUACAUUAGCAAGUCUUCAUUAGGGUAUGGCACCAUGAGGACCGGUGACUUUGAUAGGAAGUCCUUUAAUUGAUGUAGGGCUUGAUCUGCUUCCUCGGUCCACUGAAAUUUGUCUUACCGCUUGAGUAGUUUGAAGAAGGGUAGGUCCCGUUCUCCAAGCCUUGAGAUGAAUCUAUUAAGGGCCGCUAUGCAUCCAGUCAGCUUCUAGACAUCCUUGAUGCCUGAUAGGGCAUGCAUAUCGGUGAUGGCGAAGAUCUUCUCGGGGUUAGCUUCAAUGCCUCGGUGACUAAUGAUGAACCCGAGUAGUUUCCCGGAAGGCACGACAAAGACGCACUAUGUCGGGUUGAGCUUCCACCGGAAUUCUCGCAAACUUGCGAAAGUUUCUUCUAGAUCUGCAAUCAGGUCAUCGGGAUUUCUGGUCUUUACAACCACGUCAUCCACAUACGCCUCCAUGUUGCGGUGUAGUUGCUUCUUGAAACACUCCUGGAUGGCCCGAUGAUAUGUCACGCUGGCAUUCUUCAGCCCGAAAGAUAUUGUUGUGUAGCAAAAAGCUUCAUAUGGGAUGAUGAACACGGUCUUGAUCUGAUCUUCCUCUUUGACAGCUAUCUGGUGAUACCCCGAGUAGCAAUCGAGGAAACAGAGAAGGGUGCAUCCAGUUGUGGAGUCGAUGACUUGAUCGAUCCUAGGGAGCCCGAAGGGAUCCUUUGGACAGUACUUGUUGAGGUCUGUGUAGUCGACACAUAUCCUCCACUCAUUGUUAUUUUUCUUUCGUACCAAGACGGGAUUGGCGAGCCACUCUGGAUGAUAGACUUCUUAUGAAGCCCGCCGCGAGUAGUUCGGCUAGCUCUUUCUUGAUGGCUUCCCUUCUGUCUUGGGCGAAUCGUCGUAGUCAUUGCAUUUUUUGUGUAGCUUUUGGAUUCACGUUAAGUGAGUGCUCGAUCAACUCUUUGGGCAUCCCCGGCAUGUCCGCUGGUUUCCACGCGAAGAUGUCUCUGUUGGCCUAAAGAAAGCUGACGAGCGCGUUUUCCUAUUUAUGAUCCAGUCCUAUGCCGAUCGGGGCUAUUUUGGAGCUAUCACCAGUCUCAAGGUCAAUGGCUUUGAUGUAUACUUCACUUGCUGGCUUGACCUUGCUUGCCCCCUACUUCUUUUCUGGGAUUUCGAGCUCUGACAUGGACAGCUUCUUGGAUGCGGCGAAAACUUGCAUCAUCGAGUUUGGUACUUGGGUAGUUGCUACUAGCUCAACGGUUUCUGUGUCGCAGUCGUACAACCUCUUCAAGUCUCCACGCAGGGAGAGUACUCCCUUGGGUCCCGGCAUCUUGAGUACUAAGUAUACGUAGUACGGGAUGGUCAUGAAUUUGACCAAUACUAGUCUUCCGAGGAUGGCGUGGUACGAUGUUGUGAAGUCCGCUACCUCGAACUGGAUGUAUUCUAUCUGGUAGUGUUCUUUGGUCCUAAAGGUAACUGGCAAAACCAUCUGUCCAAGGGGUAUAGCCGCGUUGCCCGGGACGAUCCCAUAGAACGGAGAGUUCGUUGGGGUGAGCAUAUCGGUGACGUCGAGGCCCAUCUUCUUUAGUGUUUUGACGAACAGGACGUUGAAACCGCUGCCGCCGUCGAUGAGUACUUUAGUAAGUCUGGAGCUAGUGACAACCGGGUUUAGGACGAGGGGAUACCGUCCUGGAUCUGAGAAACUAGUCCAUUGGUCUCUGAUAAUGCGAUCGAGGAUUAUGGAGCAGGACGGCGUAGUCUACAAAGACAGGAAUUAGUCGAGGAUUAGAAAAGGAUUAGGAAAGUACUCAUUGUAAUAAGAGUAGAUCUCUUCUAGUCGUAUCCGACUAGUAUUCUUGUAACUAACUGACCUGAAACCCUACCUCCGGCAAUAUAAGGUGAGACAGGAACCCUCCAAAGCAAUUCAAUCCAACCAACACACAGGACGUAGGGUAUUACGCAAUCUAGCAUCUCGAUCCUAUCUAAAUCGUGUGUCUGUGUUUACCUUCGAGUUCCUAAUCUCGACAAGCCCUACUAACCAAAACAUUACCUCGGGCACCCCCCUCGGUAGGUUGCCGGGCCUAAACACCGACACUAACCUUUGCGCUUCAAAAAAAAGAACUAACUUUUGCUAUACAAAACAAUUUCUAUUGAAUAUUUUUGAUAAAUAAAGAGUAAAUUUCAUUAUGAUUUUUAUACUUCCUGCGUUCUCAUCCCAGUCCAGGUGCUCUCAAAACGCACAGUAGCAAUUCUUAAACUUGUCCCGCUUUCCAAUCACCGUUCCGAUACUCCAAAAAUGAAUUAAAAAACAUUGCCCUUAAACUUAUCGCGUGUUCUGGUUCCAUACCCUAUGCUCCCAAAAUGCAUUCAUACCUGGAUUCUUUUUUUUAUUUGUUUCAAACUUUUAAGGUUUUAAAGUAAGUUCGAAUCCCACUCAAACUUGAUCUGAAAUUUGUGAUUUGAAAAAAAAAAGAGCAAGACUUGGGCUAAUUUGUCGUCUCUAAGCGUGCAAACAAAAUCCCCGUUGAACCACGUCCACAGGUAGUGGUAGACCGACCCUGCAGAAGACCGAGGGAGGAUAACGACAGGUCGUUCCCUGACCAACUUUGAAACGGCUCGGCUCCGGUCUUAUCUUGUGGGCUACACGGUCGCGCUGCCGUGCCUGGCAGAUUUGCUUCACAGAAGCGUACGUGUGCCGGGCUGCCAGCUGGCCGCGCCUGGGAAUAAUGUUGCUGUAUAGUGCAGCGGGACGCUUGCCAACAAAAAUUGUAGUUUAUGCAGCGCUCCUGCAUUAUUUCAAAAAUUGUAGUUUAGGACAACGAGCUCGACCGCGACAUAGUAGGUAAAGUUUACGCUCGCAUAGUCGCAUUUUUUUUUUUUUGAGGGGGGCUCGCAUAGUCGCAUGGCCGGGUAUCAGGAAGGAAAUCGCCAAGGUCCGGCAAACACAAGGCUUUGGGCCUUCCCCAAUCCACCUUAUUAUAUCCUUCUAGUCCAUAUAAGGCCCACCUUUCCUGCACAUUUUGGCCCGCAUCUUUUUCAAAAACUUUCUGAUUUAAGGAAGAAAAAGAUCUGGGAAACACAUCCCUUCCGAAUUCCAGCCCCUGGCCUCGUCCGCCGUUUCCAAUCCAAAGUCUCCUUGCUCGCCGCCGGCGCCGGCCUUUCGCCGGACCGCCGCCGCCCCGCCCUAGACCGAACUGGAAGAAAGUAACCGUCCAGGGUGCAUAAAAAGGGCAACUUUUCUACAGCUUGCUCCGGCGUCGCUAUGUUGAGGUACCGCGGCCGCGAUCCCCCACCCAACCUCUCUUCUCUUCGCUUCUCCCUCCUCGACCUGCCGUGUAGAAAGGCAAGGAGAGUCUCGAUUCCGGUGGGCACACGGUUGUGGGCCCGUCGUGUGGCUUCGAUCUUGGAUCGGCCGUGGCCCGUGGUGCUGGUGGUUCUUGUGGUGUUGUUGGAUUGGUGGGGUUAGGGUUUCUUUCCCCGAUCUUUGUUCGUUUGUUUGCGGUACUCGCUGCCGUCUUAGCAUAAAAAUCAUGUUUAGAUCUUGCUAAAUUGCGUUAGGAGGAUUGGAAAAAUUCUCCCUUUUUUAUGCAUCGCAACUAAAUCAAGUUAUUUGGUCAUCUUGGAGAGAUGGCGUAGAUUAUCAAGAAGACAAUUGAUUCAGUGUUUUUGACUCGGAUUUGCAUAGUGGAGGAACCUGGAUUCAUAAGUAAUCAUUCUCUAUUUCUUGUGCUGUGUGCAGGUGGCUGAUGGUUUUCGAUCAUCAUUGACCGUUUGCAGGACAAAAUCCGUGAUUUGAUCUUAAUAAUUUCAUUUUGCAGUUGGAUCUCAUUGAUUUAUGUGCUUUACAUUCCUUCGGUCCCAGAACAUGGCACAAGCAUGUACUGUUUCGCAUGCUGAGAAUAAACGCAGUCUACCAGCAUGGAUGCUGAAAGCAAGCUCAGGUAAUGAAGUGCCAAAGACAGAAGACCGGAAUAGGCAAGCAUUGGAAUCUAACGUGAAAAUAGGGACUGUGGAUCCAACAAAACCUAUCAAAAGGAAUACAGGAAGGCGGUUAAAAAGUGUGGAUUCAGAGGGUGCUAGUGAACUGGUAGUUUUGCAGUGGUGUCAGGGUAAAGAAAAUGCCAGAAGAAAGAGCAAGGGUGCUGUCCAAGAUGUUGUUGAAGAAAUUAGGGAUGUACCUAUUAAGAAAGGAAGAAAAGUGAGCGAAGGAGCUGCUCCAAAGAAUAACAGGAAACGCAAACUAGAGAAUAUCAAAUCAGAAACAUCAUCACCAGUAUCAGUUGAUGAUGAUGUAGAGCUUACUGUGGAGGACCUCCUGAGCAUAGCUGAAGAGGUAAACAACAAUUCUCACUAAUUCAUACUUGCAACUUUAUGGGUAUUGUUAUGUAAUGGCCCUCUUUGAUUUGGCAAAUAUACGAUGGCUAUAUGACUUAUUUGAUCGUGUUGUUCAAGUAGAGGGUCUCUGAUUUUAAGUUGAUCACUUGUAAUGCCGAUAUGCAUUUGAUUAUUGACCUAGGAUGAGAGUUAUGUUGUGCGUUAACAUCAAUGUGAUCACAAUGAAUUAUUUUUACUCUAGCCUUCUUGAGUUGCCUAACAGGUACCUAAUGUUUCCUUGCUUUUUCUCUACCUAAAAAUGAGGCUAGUUUUAUUGUAAGAAUGGCAAGUUGGAAGGAGGUUAUACUAGUUCCAGGGAGGUUGACUGUUUGAUAGGAUCAUUUGGUAGAUUUUCCUGUUAUAUAUUCUUGGAGGAAAUGGCAGCGCAUAUUAUUCAUAUCAGAUAUGGAUAAAGUUGUUGUCUGGUUGCAUUUGAAUUGCGAAGGUGACCUAAUUUGUCUAGUGUCUUGAAACAUUCUUGUAUGCAACUCUCGGACCUAAGUAUGCGCAUGUAGAUGUACCCUUGUAGUCCUGGCCUCCUAGCGUUAGUCCAGAGACUUGGCUUAGCUUAUCAUAAUAUGACCUUUCUAACUUCUCUGCAAGAACUGGAAACUUAAAAAUGUGAUAUACUUAAGAUGUUAAUGACAUAAUUUAUUAGGUGAUAGAACUUUCUACUCGAUAGUUUACCCGACUUUGCUCCACUUCUCAUCUUGCAACAUAUUUGUGCAUGCUACACUAGUAUCUGCAACUGUAGCCAGAUACAUCUUUUUCAUUCAGUGCAGUUCUAAACUCCUAAUAAUAGUCAGACGUGGCUUAGCAUAAUAUUUCUAACUUCUCUGCAAAACUGAAGCUUAUGUUAAUCACAGACUUAGCGCUGAAUUUUCUUAGGUGACCAAUUCGGUUUCCUGAAUUCCUGACAGAAGUUUUAACUUGAAGAACUCUGCACAUGUGACGAUAUACUGAUACAGUUUCAUUUUACAGUAUGUAAAUGCUGAUAAACAGAAGCAGCAUGAAUUUGAAGCCAUGAAGACUAACAGACGCAAAGAGAAUUUCUCAUGUCCAACUGAGGCAGGCACAGGAGUAUCAGCAGUCAAUGAUCCACCAAAGAAGGGAUUGUUGCAGUGCACAACAGCCACAAGAAAUACAAGAUCGAGUGAGCAUACAGAGGAGAACAAGAGCCAUCAAGAGCUGCAAUGUUCGUCAAGAUGCGAAACGACAGAAGAUGUUGCUCAGGAUAUGCUAAACCUGUUUCUCGGUCCUCUAUGGAGUAAGCCUGCAGGCUUUUCAAAAAAUUCUGAGCCUGUAGAAUCAAUAACUAGGAAUACGAAUAAUCAUAUGCCAGAGGAGACAGACUGGCAUAGCGAAGUGCAAACGCAGGGGGAACCAGUGAAGAAAUCCAUGCUGACUGCAACUAUAAAUCAUGUGCCAAAGAAGAAAGGCUGUUGUAGCGAAGUGCCACCACAGGGGGAACCAAUGAAGAAAUCAAUGCUGACUGCGACCAUAAAUCAUGUGCCAGAGAAGAAAGACUGGCGUAGCGAACUACCCAAGCUGGGGGAACCUGUGAUAACAAAGAAAAAGAGCAGCUUGAGAGAUAAGGUGGCCUUGUUUCUUUGACUACAUCUGAUGGUUCUGAGCGUGUACAUUGCCUGUAAAUAUGCCCCUAUCCCACGGGAUUUUAUUUCACAUAUAAUUAUAUUCUUUGGUUAAUAAGCUGGCUUCUCGAUAAUGUAAGCCCGACCUCUUGGAUGUAUUGCUCUUCCACGUUUGUUGGGAUGGUAUUCUUAUGUGAGAAUAAAGGAUAUUGGGUCCAUUUUCUGUUGUUGGAGUACGUCGAAGUAUAAACUGUGCCCGUGCCCAGCAUGCAGCUACCAUUGUAACAUCUCAUGUAAUCGUUACAUGUUCCGGCCUUCAGUUUGAAGAUCUUACCAUAUAGAGCUGCAUAGCUGACGUACGAACUGCAAAGUGAACUUCAUCAAACAAGGAAACCGCAGCAAGGAGAACUUCACUAGUUUUAAGGCUUUUUAAGGAUUUCAUGCUGUCGUUGGCAUUGUAAAGAUGGCACCCAUGCCACGUCCGCAUGGCUUUUUUUCAUUGGACUUGUUGUACAGGCUACCCUGAGAAUGUUUUUGUUUCAAGCUCAAAUGUUCGCCCCGCACAACACGAUAAUCAGCUUGCUAUUUCAGGGCGUGCCGCUCGGUUAAUUUAGUACUGUAAAAUGAAUUGCAAUAAACAGUAUGCGAGGCGUAGGCCAGGCUCGGUUCAGCUCGAGCUGAUGAUUCCCUGCUUGUAUCGCUCGCGAGCUCGAGCUGAUGAACUCCAGAGUAACGACGAUUGGACACAAAGGGCAGGAACAAGAUAGUAAACGCUCGACCAUCGAUGGAAUUGUUGCAGUGCACAACAGUCAGAAGUUCCGAACAAAUUGAAGACCAAACGAGCAUGGAGAAGACGAAAGCAAGAUCCAGAAAGAACUGCAGUGUGCAGCAAGGGUAGUCGAAACAACAGGCAAUGUUGCUCUGAAUAUGCUAAACCUGUUUUUCGGUCCCCAACAAUUACAAAUCAUGUGACAGAAGAAAGACGGCCAUAGUAAAGUACAACGGCAGGGGGAAACUUGUGACUGAAAAAGAAGAGCAGUUUGGAUGAGGUUUGGUUCGGCUGUCUUCUCAACAAAUAUUUUGUGAACCUCAGAGCAAAAAUGCACUAACCAAAACAUAUUAGAAGAAUAAUUCUCGGUACAUUGCUCUGUUAAUAUUAUAAAAUUGCAGAAUAAAAUCACUGUAUUCGUCCAAUUAGCCAGGGCUCAAAGAUAUCCCAAAUGAUAUAAUGUUAAUUAGAAAAUGAAAAAUUGGUCAAACUGUUAAAGCUCCAUCUACUCUCUCAAGGCCCCGAACCCAAUGCCAUAGGGCCCAUAAAAACAAGGAGCUGGGCCUCGGCAAGAAAACCAGAGUUCUCUCCUUCUCACCCAAGGCCCGCAUGCCACUCCACCUUUGGCAUCCUUUUUCAUUUUUCUAUUAAUUUCAAGAAGGAAAAAACAAAUACCGAGCUCAUUUUUUAAUUUUACACUUGUUACGCAUUUUUUUUUGUUUCUACACAUAUUAGCAGCGUUGAUGAAUCAACUCGCAAAAUCAGUGAUUUAAUCUGAUUCCCCUUCCAAAGUUAUACCCUAAAAUUUGGCAGAAACUUACAGGGCCCACAGUUUAAUUAGCCCGAAGUGACCGCUGACCACCGACUGGAUCGACCUGAGACUGGAAGAACGAAAGCCACCAAACAGGCGAGCGACCACGCACCCGGCACCCGGCAGGCCGGCACCCGAAGCCGAGCACGAGCCGCCCUCCACUCCCGCACGAGGCAGAACCCGCGGCUCCCGUCCAUCACGAAUCGGACGGUGCUGAUCGCCCCAAGGUUAAAACCCUAAACUAGAAAGGGGCUUGCAGUGGCAGCCAGCCAGCCAGCCUCCCGAGCCCUAUCCUUUUCCCCUCCUCCCCCGGGUCCUCUCCCCCCACUCCUCUCCUCUCUCCUCCCCUCACCCGCGCCGCCGCCGCCGCCGUAGCCGCCGCCGCGGCUUCCCCUCCUCCCCCGAGCCAAGGUGAGCUACCUACCACCCCGGUCCCGUGCAGUAGCGACGGUAACGUGACUACCUUCCUUCCUUCCCGCAUCGAGGACUAGCUGCGUUUUGCUUGAUUUUGUUCGGCCUAGGAGCGGCUGGAUCUGCACGUCUAGCCGGGCUACGUGCACGUGGGUUUGGAGGAUUUGAGUUGUAACCGAAGGCUAUCGUCUGGGCUGUUUUGUUGGUUGAUUUGUGGUCGGAGCUAGCGGGGAAGCACUAGGGCUUGGUGGUUCCCAUUUUUACUAGAUUUGCGGUAUUGUGGUAGGGGAAAGGGGUUAGCUUGUUCCGUUUUGAUUAGGUGAUAUGAUGUUUGGUAGCAGCAGGCCAGCAGCCGUCUCAGAUUAGGUUGUGUUGGGCCAUGUAAGUAGUCAUUGAUUGAUUUUUCAUACUGUGGGAGUAAUACUGUGGUAGCAUUUUUGUGCUAGGUAACAGCUGCAUGGAUACUUCUAGUAAAUGAAUGAGCAGUUAGCUCCAGGGAAGUUAGAUUAAGAACAUAUUUUUGCAGUGGCUCAGCAGAUGUUUUCUUUGUGGCUUCUCCCGUGCAGUUGCAAACUGCCUCCGCCAUGUCAGCUGCCUUUGUAUUGAUGAACUAGCUAGGAUGCAUGCUGUUGGUUGUUUGAACUGGUUUCCCUGUUUUUCGGUUCUGUGUAUCGUUACUUAUUUAUGUCACGACAUGACGUUGUAAUUGGUAGAUUUCUUUAUUUCUUCCAUGCAGCUGUUGUGGCAUUAAUUGUCUGAUUAUGCCUUCUGUUUGCGCUUAUGUUUUCUGCAAGCGCUUUCCGUUACUUCUUCGGUGCACUUGAACUACAUGUUGUACUUAGUGUGUCCUGGCCACUGCCUGAUUUUUUUUUUUUUUGUCUCACGUGCAGAUGGAUGUUGAAAAGCUCAAGAGGAUGGCAGGUGCCGUGCGCACCGGGGGGAAGGGUAGCAUGCGCAGGUGCUUAUUCUUCUCCUAGACUUAUUCAUGAUGAUGUUUUAACAGUUGUGCAGAAUUGUGCUUUUUGUAUUAGUUCCUUUACUUUGUGUUCGCACAUGCAUUUCUGUUACUUUCACAACCUGUUCACAUUGACUUAUGUGGUGCAAUUAAUCAUUUGUUUAGCAAGAUUAUUUGUGCUGAUUACCUUUAUUUAUGUGUGCUUGUUAUUCUUACCAUGAAUGCACUUGCCUUCUAUCAUUUCUUACCUAUGAUACUGUCAGAAGACUUGUGCAAUUUAUACUGGUAUAUAAUCUGCUAUGAUCUAAAACUAUAGGCGAAUGACAUUAUAUUAGUUCAAAUCAUGUGCAAUUUGCUGCAAAUCAGCACCUAUGCAUGCUGGUGCUGUCAUAUAUGGUAUGGUACCCAUGAUGUUUUAUAAUUUAGCAAUGCUAGCAGGCUAGGAACCUCAUGGAUUGUACUUAUAAUGAGUUUUGAUUGGUGACAGGAAGAAGAAGGCAGUCCACAAGACUACAACCACAGAUGACAAAAGGCUUCAGAGCACCCUGAAAAGAAUAGGAGUGAACACCAUCCCUGGUAUUGAAGAGGUGAACAUCUUUAAGGAUGAUGUUGUCAUUCAGUUUGUGAAUCCUAAAGGUGAGAUACCCUAACACCAAAAUGUCAGCUCUGCAAGACUAGCUUUCCACUUCCUGUUCUUUUUUUCCCUAACAUUUGGUUUUUUGGUUCCCCACCAGUGCAAGCUUCAAUUGGUGCUAAUACAUGGGUGGUCAGUGGAACUCCACAGACAAAGAGUAUGUUCUUCGUGACUUGCCUUAUUCGCUUAGCUAGCUUCUGUUAAUAUGCUCUUUAUAGCCUAUAUUGUUCCUUCUGUUGUGUGCUGGCUUUCUACUUAACUAGUUAUCAGAGAUGUCUUGUAUUCACUGUCACAUCGGCAGCUGAUUCUGUGUUACACAUGCCUUUCGUCAAUUUUAAUUUUACAAGGAAAAAUUAGUUAUGAACUUCUUUGUGCUAGAUUAACAUUAGAGUAUUCUCAUGUUUGCAUAUUCUUAUUUGAACAGAGCUGCAAGAUCUGCUUCCAUCAAUCAUCAAUCAGCUUGGUAUGUUUCUCUUCACCUGUUGAGUUCAAACUUCAAAGUCAACAGUACUGUCUACAUGUCCCUUCUUGUUCAUGGUGUCCCCACCAUUUUUCUAUUAACUUGCGAAUUGCUGAGAUCUCCUAUGUAGUUAUGACUUAUGAGCACCUUUAAUUGUUCCUCCUAUUCAGGUCCUGACAACUUGGACAACCUGAGGAGGCUUGCGGAGCAAUUCCAGAAGCAGGCCCCUGGAGCUUCAAGCGCUGAGGCUGGUGCCAGCGCAGGUGCUGCUCAGGAUGAUGAUGACGACGUUCCCGAGCUUGUCCCUGGAGAGACAUUUGAGGAGGCCGCUGAAGAGAAAAAGGAGUCCUCAUAAUUUUGCUGCGUGCCUGCUGUUGUGAAGGGUUUAUAAGUGUCAAGCAUUACCAUGAGAAAAAGACAUCCUGUUGAGAACUCUGACCUACCUUAUUUGUGCCCGUGGUCCGGUUUUGUCAUGCACGAGAACUUGGUCGGAUGUGUCGGUGGGAUUUUACAUGAAGUAUGCCUCUUUUUUCUACCCAUAUCCUCGUUGCUUUGUGUGCUUCUGUACCAUUGCCCUGGUAUUAUGACGUGUUAUUGUUGAAGUCUUCCCGAUGGUUAAUGUCUCACUCCAGCCAUGGUUUCAUGAUUCAUGGAGAUGAGAUCAUGAGAUACCGUACAAUACCAGGGAUCCAGCUCACCCUAUUUUUUUUUUUUGAAAAGGAGGAUCCAGCUCACCUGUCAACUGUUAUUUAUUUAUCUCGGCUGCAGGAAAUUUCUCUUGGUUUCAUGCGUCUAUCCCUUAUCUGGUUGAUGAACCUGCUUCAAGUAGAUGUUACUCUACUCCUACAUGUACUCGCGUUGGAGUUUGAUCUAAGAUUUGUGCCUUGAUAUGUCUGAAACUUUAAGGUUAGCAUAGACUGUAGCCGCAGGAAUAUACCCAAAUGCAAGACCGCCGCGCUAGCCGGGCUCCCUUAUCUUGUUGACCGACCACACAGGUCUGAUCGUCCAGAUAGAUCUUGGCAUGCUGAAGAUGAAGUCAGCCAGAGAUGGGCUAGUUUAGCAGGAUUCCGGCUCCUCUAAAAAUGGCUCCGGCUCCUCCUUUUAGAAAAUCGUUUAGCAAAACAGCUCCUCCGUGUAGUUUAAAAUGGUUAGAUAAGAUAUGAAAUACCCAUAAUAUCCUUUCUUUUUCCUUUUCUUUUUUUCCUUCACCUUUUCUUUGUUUUUCUUUUCCUUUUCUUUUUUCCUUCAACGGCGUGUAGUUUAAAAGUGACGCGGGAACGCGUGCGGAGGGGUGAAAAGCGGCGCGGGACUGUUGUGACGUGAGGCAAAAAGCAGGCGCAUGUGGGACGGAGCUGCCGGAGCCAAAAAUUCCGACUUCAUGCGCCCAAUUUAAAAAGAGCUCCGGCUCCGAAGAGCUCCUCCAUUAAAGCCAUUUUAUUUUUAUGCGUUUGGCUCACUCCGGCAAAAACGACUCCACGAGCUGUUUUUGGAGCUCUACCAAAUGGGGACCAUCAAAAUGGAGAUGGUGCUGUCGUCAUUCCUACCAAUCUGUUAUUAGGUCCGUGCUGGGUGAUGCCAGUGCCAUUGCCUCUCUCCCGACUCCCGCGGAUCACCGGAUCACUCCGUUGCCGCGGGGCGGCGUUCCGCGAGGAAGUGGCGUGUUCGUCCCAAGUUCGUGGCUGCAGAGGCGGAAAGAGACAGCAGUUCGGCCGCACCCCUUGCCGGCGGCGGCGGCGGCCAAGGUUGGUAGGCGGACGGAUCUUACCGUCAACUAGUAGUAUUAUCCAUGCGCCUACCAUUCCCAGGUGGUGUCGUGGUGACAUGGUGCUAGAGGUUUUGCCGCUCUCGAUGUCGUGGCAAUCAAUUCGGCGGCUGCGGCUUCACAGUUAGGUUUGGUCGCGUGCUCUGUGGCCGGCGGCCGGGCGUUAGGCGAGUUCCCUGCCCUGAGCGUAACGUGGCGACAGGUACACGUGUGCUGAUCAAUUCCCUUCGCCUACGCUGUCGCGCGCUCGGCGCCAUCUCUCUCCUUCUUCGUCGUCUCCAGAAAUACUCGUGUGCAUAUUGUAAUCCGUUCUGGCGGACGGGCUCACGUUGCUCGCUAUGCGUCUGUGGCUUUAUGGUCUCCGAUACCACGCAUGUGCUCGGGCCAUGUCUUCGAGGACUCCGUCCCGUCCCCUGCAUACGCACGUACCUGGUGUAAUUCUUAACGAUCCAACUAUCCAAGCACGAGGCGAUACACCUCUCUGAUCAUGCUCCUGUUUGUGAACGCGCGCCCUAAUGCCCUAUACACCAGAUCGAGUAUAUAGCCCAUUUUUCUCUAGCGCAACCCUGCUGCACUUUUCACAUGCCUGCAGAUCGAUCGGCAACACGAGCAAGGUGAAACGGAUGAGCAGACCCGAUCAAGGACCAAACCUCAACUUUGAUCCUUUGAUUAAUCGAUCGACCUUGUUGACGCCAUCUAUCUUCUUCCAAUAAAAUCGCUGAUCUCACCCUUGAGAAUCUGCCGACGUAUCAGAAAUGAGACGUCCAAUAAGAACUGCGCGCCCUCUGAAAGUUCCAAAUCGCGCGGUUGACGGUUCUCGCCGUUUGGUUUGCCGACUUGUCGUUGAAACAAACCUGCCGAGACGUCUGCAUGCGUCCUAAAUAGAGCGCAAAUUUAAAAGGAGGUGUGGCUUCACCAAUUGACGCGUUGAUGUUGAAACCAAGUCCAAAAAAGUUUGCCUUUCAAAAGAAUGGGUCCAAACACUUGAACCGUUCAUGAGCACGCAUAUGCACACGCCCGUGACCGUGAGGUUGGCCAAGCGUACGCGAGCUUCACUCCUCGAAUUGAAAUGGUCGCGACUGUCGAAUUAGCGUCCAAGUCUCAACAACUGUGGCUUACAAGCGAGGACGGUUGUCACGGUUCGGUGAUGCGCCGGGGGAAAAAGGAAAAAAGAAAACUCAGUGGUCAGUAUCAGGUCAAACGCAUGAGCAUGUGAGGAAGCACGAGCUGAUGCAGCACCGUGUUAAUCUCCUUGAAAUAACCAUUGACUUGAUGUGUUUUAGUUAUGUGAGUCGGGUAAGGCACGGGCUUGCUUUCACAAGAUGCACGAACAGCCAAUUUUCUUCAGACUAAACUGUAAACUCACAGCUCCAAAAGAAAAAAAAAACAGAGCGGAAGAAAUGGGCUACUUGUUCAUAACUGCAUCGGCAAUCAUUCUUCUUUGAUACAAGUGUCUUCACCGCACACUGCACUGAUGCUUAUAGGUGCGUAUACACUUGAAGGAGUCAGCACCGUUUCAACGGGGACCAAAUGGCACAGGAAACCGGAUAUGGGUCCAGCAGGCCACGAGCCCACGACGCGCUCUGAAUUUGGCGCGUUUGUUUAUCCUUUUCUCUUGCAACCGCACGCAUUUGUUUAUCCGCUGGUGUCGGAAGGGUCGAUACUUCGGCGGGCAGGCGUGGGGCUAUAUCCGGGAGGAUCUGAAAGUGACAGCGAUCGGAGCUUCCUUUCAGGCCUUCGCUUGGCGCUUGACCGGCAAACCCGAUGCAGCGAGAGUGCGAGACCGUCCCGUAGCGACUUGUUCGUUCCUAGCGUGAAAACGACUAGGAUUCGUACUCAGGCUCUCGGACAGACACGCCGGUUUUCUUUCGUCCGGCAGUGGAAACUCUGACGAAGCUGCUCGAAUCUUGACGGUUUCGAUGGCAUACGAAAAGAUCUCGUAGUACUAGUAUGCUGCUAGUAGCCUCUCCUCUCUCCGGCCGUAUCCGUUGUGUGUCAGCGUCCGUCGCGUGACUCGGAGAGAUCUGCCCGUACCAGGCGCCAGCGUCUGACGGCGGCUUGAAUUCCACAGCCAAAGUCCGCCGCGCCACAUAGUACCAGUCUAUGGUCUAUACAUACGAAGUCAAAGGUCAGGCGUAUACAGACCGUAGCACGUCGCUCGGCUCAGUGGCUCCAAUCCCGCCGCGUACGGCGGCGAGACCCGAGGCCAGGAACCCGAGCCGUGCCGUGCCGGCGCCGGCCGGACCCGGACGCGGCAGCGGCGCCGACCGCCCCGGAAAACGAAAGGAACCCACCGAGAUCGCCGCGCCAGUCACACGGCCCGGGAGUCGCUCGGUUCGGCACUUGGGGAGUUGGGUGGCUCGUCCUCGGCGCGGCGGCCUCACGCUCCGGGCCUGACUGACCGACCGGCCGUUGAACACUUCGCGGGAGCGGACGCACGCACGCACGCCGGGCCCCGCGCGUCAGGGACCUGCCUGUGGCAUCGCCGCAUCGCCCCCCGCGCGCACCGCGUCCACGCUCGGACCCCGUCGUGGGCGCGGCGCAUCCCGCGGCGGUUCUUAAACCCCCCGCCAGCCGCGCUCGCCUCGCCGCUGAGAGCCUGAGACCAAAUCCCAAAUCCCGUUACGCAGCCGGACCACCACACACAAAUACCGUUGCCGUCCCGUCCCCUCGCGCUCGGGUCCGUUCCUUCGUAAACCCAGUCCGGGAGGAGCGCCAUGGGAGAAGAGACCCUCGUGGCCAUGCCGCUCGCGCCCCACCACCACCACCACGCCCGCCUCGAUGCGCUCCCACACCACGUCGCCCCCGCGCCGCCGCCGCAGCAGCAGGCGCCUCCGCCGGAGCCAACCGUCGCGGACAGCAAGGAGGAGGAACGGGAUCGUGGCGUCGUCGAGCCGCCGGCGCCAGCCCCGCGGCCGGAGACCCCGCCGUCGCCCGGGCUCGCCGCCGCGGCGGGCGCCGGCGAGGUUGGGGACGUGUACUACGCGCGCAGGAUGCUGCAGGGCGCGGUGCUGCGGCCGCCGCCGCACCUGCCGCAGCCCGAGGCGCCGCCGGGCCUGGCCAGGGCGCUCUCCGCGCCCGCGCCGCACGGCUACGCAGAGGAGGAGGCAGAGGAAACAGAAGCGGGAGGGAGACAGAGGCCCGUGGACCGGUCCGCCUCCGCGAACUCCGCCGCCGCCGCCGUCGCCGUGGACGUGGCGUCCAUCGGGCGGUUCCUCCGCGACCGCCGCGCCGUGCUGUCCUCGGCCAUCACCCGCCGCAUCUCGUCGCUCAAGGAGUCCUCGGCGCCUCCCGCCGCGGCCGACACCUACGGCGUGCAGGAGAUCCACCUGCCCAACGUGAAGGUCACGGUGCGCCUCAAGGACGCGAUCGCCGCCGAGGACGACGACAUCUCUCUGGCUGACAGCAACGACGACGGUGGGUACUCCUUCUCGGGCGGCCACAUCAAGGGCCGGGUGAGCUUCUUCUCCCGCUCGGGCUGCCGCGACUGCGCCGCCGUGCGCGCCUUCUUCCGGCAGUCCGGCCUGCCCUACGUGGAGAUCAACCUGGAUGUGUUCCCGGAGCGCGAGGCCGAGCUGGCCUCCCGCGCGGGCGCCGCUGCCCGGGUGCCCCAGAUCUUCCUCAACGAGAAGCUCCUGGGCGGGCUCGUCGUGCUCAACUCCCUGCGCAACAGCGGCGAGUUCGAGCGCCGCGUGCGCGACCUCGCGGGCCGGCGGUGCCCCGACUCGGCGCCCCGGAUGCCCGUGUACGGGUUCGACGACGACGCCGGCGGCAAGGAGGGGGAGGAGGCCGAGGACGCCAUGGUGGGCGUCGUGAGGGUGCUGCGGCACCGGCUGCCGAUCCAGGACAGGUUCGUCAGGGUGAAGCUCGUGAAGAACUGCUUCUCCGGCGCCGACAUGGUCGACGGCAUCGUGAACCAUCUGGAGUGCAGCAGGAAGAAGGUGAGUCGCCGUACAUCCUAGAUUGCCAUUGCUGCUGCUUCAUCGUUUGACUUUUUACUCGUUGGGUGCUUCGGUGCAUGCUGCUUGAUCUUUGUUUAUGCAUGGAUGAAUAGUGGUCGUGAACUAGUAGUUAAUAUAAGGGGCUUGAUUUGGGAAUAGUUGACGGGUGUAGGGGGAGAGUGUCAUUUGUUCCCAUUAUAAUGCGUUAGCAUUAGUAAUUUCUUUUAUUCGGCUUCUGCCGUGUUGGAUACAGUAAGUUUAAGAUAGGCAGACCUCAUAUCGUCUUGGGCUGAUGGGAUUCUUCGGAGAACCUCAUCGUGCUAUUUUUUUCGAAUCAAACACGGCUUAGUUUUAGGAGUAGUAAAUAGAGUACAUUUAAAUGCCUUCUGAUAUAAAAAUAUAAAUAAACAGUUUAUCUGUAUGGAGGGGGCAAUGCAAAAUGGCAAUUAGGCAUGAUGGCCAACCAGAAUUCAAUGCUCUUAAGUUAGGCCAUGUAUGGCAUCUCAGGGCAACAAAAAUGCAAAAGAAAACUCAAGCAUGUCGCGGCAUUUCUAGUUAGGCUUGCAUUUUUAAGAAGCUGCAAGCACGCACAGGCAAAAGAAAGUGUAGAAAAUGCAAAAGUAAUAUUAACCCCUUAAGCCCAUGGCUCCUUAAGUUCCAAAUAAAAUUGUACAAAAUGGAUCGCGGAAAUGGGAUGUGUCGGCGUCGCUCCAUUCAGGAUUGAGGCCCAGUGCUGUUCCAAAUAAAAUUGAAAACCAUGCGGGGGUGGGAAAAUGGAUCGAUGAUGGAAAGAAGUCAAGAACGAGAGAGAUCAUCACACGGCCAUACGAAAUACGGAGAAAGCGAGGGGCCCGGGCGCAAAACUCGCCCUGAGAUCGCGUCACGUGCGGCGGGCGUGUGGGGGAGCGUUACGUGCUGCCGUGCCGAACCGGUCCGCGGGUCCCCCCCCCCAAACCCAAUCGCCCUGCCCGCUCGGCCUGGUUUUCCCGCGGCGCAACCGCAAGGUGCGGGGUGGGCACUGGGCAGCAGAGGCGACCGGAACGGAGCGGCGCGGCGGGGGAGACACCGACACCCGCAUGGCAUGAUGGCGUGAUGACCGAUCGAUUCGUUCGGCUGGUUUGGUUCGUUGCGGCCGGGCCCCACCGGCGCGAAACCGCCCCGUCGAUCGCGUUCGCGUCCGCGCCUCGCGCGCGCACGCCUUGACCAAUUCUGCCACCCCGGCCCAACCAUUUCCAAUCCCAUUUUUUCGCCGAUCGCCGGUGAAUGAUCGUCUCGUACGAUACGAUACGAGAGAUGGCUCCAAGGCGCCCCCGUAGACGUGGCUAGGUGCAAGUCGGGUCCUGAUCAUAUCAUCGCAUGCGGAUGAUGGGAGCCGGUCGGUCGUGCUCAACUGUACAAGUGAGAUUGUGUGCCGACCACGUUGCUUUCCAGCCUUGGAGUACAAUUGUUACUACUCACGCGGUCACCAUGACACGAUCCGACCUUCGUGAGUACUACUACCCCUUCUGAUUGGCCUACGUGCUAGGAGAAGAGAGGAUUUUAUUCCCUGCACAAAUCUUCUUCGUACUAAGAUUGUUUUUUCCACGCCUGCUUGACCUAAUCUUUGAAUGAGUGGGAAUAAAUUGUUCUAUCAGAUCAUGAGUAGGAACUAUGAACGUGAUUGGGGUGGUGAUUCGAUUACGUGACAACUGGGGGGCAAAAAAGGUUAAACUGCUGAAAUAGAAGGCUGGGACUUACGAUUUGCUCUUAUGAGUCUUAGUGGAUGAACGGAAAGCAGAGGCCAAUAAGGUCAUCGAGUCGCUGGUGCUUAAGCACCGGCCCAACAAUUGAUCGGGUGGGUGGGUUCCGGUCCCCUAAUUUUCCUCUACGAAAUUUGACUUCGGCUCCGUGUUGCCGUCCCUGUCCUAUCUAGUCGCUGUCAUGGUUGCAUCCGCACCACCUGACGGAUUUUUCGGCGUGCAGAUUCAGAGUGUGGUGGACGAUGAACUUGAAUAGUGUAGUUUGUCUUUCGUCCUUUUUAUUAUCAUCAUGGUUUUGGAUAAGAACCUUUGGUGCUAAGGUUGAAGGCGUCGUUCACGAAUCUUGUGGGUUGAUUUCGUCAGCAAGUUAUCUUCUGGUCUGAAGAACUCCAUUGCAUGUUUUUAUCAAACCAAAUUAGACAGGAAGCAAAUUAGCUGCUGGCCAAAGCCUCAUCUUGGCUGACUUGUAAGGGUAGGAUCAGGCGACAAUGAGACCGUCCACUGUUCUUUGCACAUUAACAACUGUCAACUGACGGUUAAGACGGUUAACUGACCAAGGGAAAACCCUACGUGUCUCCUCUUUUUCUAUCCCCAAAAAACUGGCCAAAAAGGCUCAACCGUGCGCAUACUGAAUGUCUUGGUGCAGCCAUAUUCUCGUGCUGAAUGAUGAUCAUCCACUGUCUCUGCACCCUUGAUCUAAUAUUAGAGUAGCAACUGACAGCUACGCAACUGUUGUUUGUAGGCGGUGGAGAUAGGAAAGGAGCUCGCGAGAAAGCACUUCAUCCACCAUGUCUUCAGGUCAGCGCACCAUCCAUCCAUAGCAGUUACUGUACCAAACAUUCAGCUCGCGACCUGCUCUCGCAAAUUGCAACGUCAUUCAGCUCACGGGUCCAUGAUACCGUGUUGCGUGCAGGGAGAACGACUUCGAAGACGGCAGCCAGAACCUGUACCGGUUCCUGGAGCACGACCCUGCCGUCCCCAAGUACUACAACUUCCGGGGCUCCACCAACGACGGCGAGCCCAAGCCGGCGGCCGCCGUCGGGCACAGGAUGACCAAGAUCAUGCUCGCCAUCCUGGAGGCCUACGCCUCCGACGACCGCCGCCACCUCGACUACAGCCGCAUCGCCGCCAGCGAGGAGUUCAGAAGGUGGGAAAUGCAUGCAGCGUGAUCUCGCAGCUCUGCUUGCGCUACUCAGAAUCUCAGGAUCACGUCAGUUCAGGCAAUGUCAGUGGGUUACUAACGAUAUAUCCUUUUUGGUGUGUCAGGUACGCGAACCUGGUGCAGGAGCUCCAGCGGGCGGACAUGACCGCGCUCCCGGCGGAGGAGCGGCUGCCGUUCUUCCUGAACCUGCACAACGCCAUGGCCAUCCACGCCGUGAUCCGGGUCGGCCAGCCAGGGGCCGUCGACCGGCGGCCCUUCUUCUCCGACUUCCAGUACAUCGUCGGCGGGCAACCCUACUCCCUCGCGGCCAUCAGGAACGGCAUCCUCAGGGCUAACCGGCGGCAGCCAUACACGCUGGCUAAGCCGUUCGGCUCCAACGACAGGAGGCUCGAGGUACGUGUGCGGUCCAUUCAGUUCAGUUGCCAUCAGCGCUGCAGCUCUGCAAUGCUCCGUUAGGUGUAAUCACCCAUCAGUAAUCAUCGGUGCACUGAAUAAUCGUGCAGCUCGCGCAACGGAGGGCGAACCCGCUCGUGCACUUCGCUCUGUGCGACGCGACGCGGUCGAGCCCGAUCGUUCGUUUCUACACGACGCAGAGCGUGGAGCCGGAGCUCCGGCACGCGGCCAGGGAGUUCUUCCUCCACGGCGGCGUGGAGAUCGACCUGGAGAGCCGGACCGUCCACCUCACCAGGAUCGUCAAAUGGUAAGAGCUCUGCACUUCUCUUUGGCAGGUCGCUCUGCUUCAGUUCAUGCUCAGAUGUCACAACAGACAGCUAGUUUGCCCAUGGGUUCGGUGGGCAGCUCUUGUGAUUUCAUUUCAAGAAGAGAUUGGGAUCAUUCAUGACCGAUGUGGUGUUUUUCAGGUACAGCGCUGACUUUGGGCAGGACAGGGACAUUCUCCGGUGGCUCCUCAACUACUUGGACCCGACCAAAGCCGGGCUCCUGACGCACCUCCUGAACGAUGGCGGCCCGAUCAACGUCUCCUACAUGAACUACGACUGGUCUCUGAACGUCUGAGCAGAAUCCACCCGGCGAAGUCUUCUUGUCCGUACAGUUGGUAAAGCCUUGUGGCCUUGUGGGCGUGCCACGACCCACGAUACAGUCAGAGUUGCAGUCAGUGGGAUUAGCAAUUGGCCAAUGGCCAAUAGGGCGAAUCACUGAGCAUAGAUUGCAUCAGGAUAUGGAGCUUAAUCGGUAAGGGAGCGUGGACAUGUAUAUAUAGCAUUGUGAACUCCGAUAGGGAAAGAAAAAGAGUAGGUUUACGCGGGGAAAUGGUGAAGAGGUGUAUGCAUUUUGUGUCGCAUUGUUCGUAUUGAAAAGGUGUAUGCAUUUUGGUAAUGGUGAAGUGACGCAGAACAUUUUGAAGUUUGAUGAUGUAUGUAUGUGCAUUUAAGCUUUCACUUUUUUUUUUUGGGAAUCGAAGUGUUGGAGUUCUAUCAAAUAUGUGUACACACCGUGCGAAUUACUAUACCUCGCAUAUAUUUUACUUUUUAUUAAUGACUGCCUCCAAAUAGAAUCUAAAAUGCAUGAGCUUAUGAGCAGAUAAAACUAAGGGAGUGUUUGGAUCUUUAGUCCCGACUAAAAUUCAUGUCACAUCGAAUAUCCGGAGAUUAAUUAGGAGGACUAAACAUGAGCUAAUUAUAAAACUAAUUAUACAGAUGGAAGCUAAUUCGUGAGACGAAUCUAUUAAGCCUAAUUAAUCCAUCAUUAGCACAUGUUUACUGUAGCAUCACAUUGUCAAAUCAUGGACUAAUUAGGCUUAAUAGAUUCGUCUCGCACAUUAGUCUCCAUCUGUGCAAUUGGUUUUGUAGUUAGUCUAUGUUUAAUACUCCUAAUUAGUAUCUAAAUAUUCGAUGUGACAUGAAUUUUAGGAGCUCCUAGAGAACCAAACACCCCCUAAGUACUUGUGGGUCCCCUUUGGCACACCUUGUGCUGACUCGGGCUUUAGCAUUCGGUACUGUUGCGUGAAGCAGAUCGAGAAAGAAAAUGAAUUAAGGGAAGGGUGAAGCCGGUGAAGCUAGUUUUUUUUACUUCACCGGCUUUCUGCUACAAAUAUGCUACAGUGCAGAAGCCAAAGCACCCGUAAGCUGUGCUAAAGGGGACUGUAGUUGUAGACCAUGAGUCGAGCACCAUGUACUCUCAGGCUUAGAAUAGAUUUUCACCCCUACUAUGUUUUUUUGGAGUGGUUGUAUAUAUGCAAUUGUUCUCAGCUCAUGUUAUAUAUUUUUAAAUGAUUUAUAAAGGAAGCGAUGAGGACCACUAGGUUGUAUUUAUAAAAGAACAAUCAAGUCGGCACAUAAAAACACUGAAAAUGUCAUGUGCAGAAAUCAUAGGGAGUGAGGAAAAGGAGACGAGGGGGAUGGAGAUGGUGAUGGUAGGGUACUAGGUUGCUUGGGAGCAGCUAUGGAGGAUGGCAGCUGCCCUAGGGUAGGGGGACAACGAUGAUAGUGAACAAAAAACUAGGAAGAAGGAAAAAUUAAACUAAUUGACUUUACCCAUAGGACACAAUAUAUUGAUUAUUAAUAAAUAUAAUCCGAUUUAAUUACAUCCAUAUACUCAAAUAAUAUAUUCCUAAAUUUUUAUCUUUGUGGGGGCCUCUCCAGUCUAAAUAACUAAUCGGACAAUUGUUUUGACACUUCCAACAGCCUUAACUUUUUAAACAAUUAUAUAUUUCCUCCAUCCCAAAAAGAAUACUGACUCUAGCUAUGAAUCUGUUUAAGCACUUGUUCACGUUCAUGGUCAUAAUUGCAUUCUUUUUGGACGGAGUGAGUAUUUCUUUUUAAUGCAACAAAAUAUCCGUAUUAUGAUGCCAGAAAGCACUCAAUAAACAUUUAUUUUACUUCCUAAGUUUUUUUUAUAAUAGAGGGAUAGGGAGAUGAUACCGGUGGAGAUGCUCAUUUAGGACUUGCUCGGGUGUGGUGGAGAUAGGAGGCAGAGGCCAGAGGGGAAACUCCAACUUUGCUUAAUGGUCUUUUCUCUAUAAGUUGGUACCUAUGACUUUAUUUUUUGAGAUGUAUCAAAGACUAGAAACUAUAGAUUGGUUCUUACUCUCAAUAAAAUCCUCCUAAAUUAUCUCGCAAUAAAACGCAAUGAAUAGAACUGGGCUAAUUAGAAAUCCCUUGACCUAAAUUAUCUCGUUGUUAGACCAGCUGGCCCACCAUCCAAAACAACUCGCAGGCCACUUGGGCUCGGCCCUUCCGUCGGUUAUAGGAAAUUUUCAUUUAGAUAGACAGAAAAAGUGAUCAUAUCCUGAACCAGGAAACAUUAAGAUAUUUUUUUCUCGAACAAGAUUGUAGUACGUACACUUGAUGCAGCAGAAAGAUCGCACGUACCCGUUUGUCCAGUACGCUGCAGCAGUACAGGCUCACCCUCAAGGACAGUUUUCCAGUAGCAUUCAGACAUCCAGCGCUCCUGAUCUUAUCGGCAGCACAAGCUCAUAUCUGUCGGAAAAGGAAAAACUGUCCUGAAUAAAUCUGUCAGAAACGAGGUUUGAUUUUUAAAGGGUUGCUUCACAGCUGUAACCUGAACAAAAUCGAGGUACCAUAAUCUUUCUCUAUCAGCUACUGAAGCAGAUACAAGAAUGGUUGGAGAUAACUCGCCACUUGCAGCCUUCAAUACCGAUCGAUUUUCCCUGCAUGGCUGCAUCCGCCGGCAGCCCAGACUCAGGGACAAUGCCGGUACCAAAAACCGAUGCCUUACCACUCGCCAUCAGGAGCGCUCCAAAAAUAGACCCAUCAACUAGUAUGCAAGGCUCUUGCUCAUAGACUCAGAGUCAUAUCGCAUCGCAAGCCCAGGCCUAUAAAUACAUGGGUCAUGGGACAUGGCACCAAGCCACCAAGUGACUGUAUCGCCAUGGCAGCUUCUUGCUGCCCCGGCCAUGGACGAUUCUGCCUCAUCCUCCUGCUUGCUGGUGCUGCGGUUGCAUCAUCUGGGUCUGGAUAGCUCAUCAGACUGUGUGUCGUCCUGCUGCAUCUCAUGCUUUGCAUAUUGUUCGUCCUUUUGUUUCACUAACUGGAUUAAGUACCUUUUUCGCAAAAAAAAAAAGGAUUCAAUUACCUUUUGGCACUUCUCUUUUUUUUUUCAAAAAAAAAGGGUUUAGGGUUAGUUCGUAUGAAUUCUGUUUCCUUUUCCUCCACGUUUUGGAUGAAUUGGUUUCCUUACGGCCAUUAAUCGACAAGAGACUUGCGACUUGUGAAUUCACUAACUGCUACUAUACAAACAAAUAUCUGAAUGGAUAUAAAACAAAACAAUAAAGAUUCAAUAGCAACUUAUAUGAAGCUUGUGGUUAAGUUAUUCUCCAGCAACUUUUAACUAUGCGUGGCCACAUGAAGAAUCCAGAGCCAUGCACAGCUCUUACAACGAGCCACGAAUAUUCAUAGAAGUGCAAUAAUGUAUAAAGUGAAGAGAUGUGUUACGGUGCUUGGAAGAUGCCUCGGUUACCUCCUCUCAAAGAACCUGUUCAGAGUUCAGUGCAAUUGAGGGAGAAGUUUUGUAAACAUGGCUAGUUAGUACUUGUCCAGAGUUAACUGUCAGUGACACAUUCCCCUCGUCCCGCGACUCAUCUCGAGUCAAAAUGAUCUCAUCUGAAUUGCGUGAAAAUCAAUCGAAGUAGCUCUUAAUAUUCUGGACUGGAAGUUUUGUACUAGAAUUUGAUUCCGACUUCAACCGAACACUCUGUCUGAAAACUCAGAGCACAAACACGGCGCCGCGACGGGCACGAGGAUGCCGAUCGUGCACCAGCUCGGCCCGUGCUCGCCACUGGCUGACAAGCACGGGAAGGCGCCUUCCCACGAGGAGAUCCUCGCCGCGGACCAGCCGCGCGUCGAGUACAUCCACCGCCGUGUGACCGAGACCACCGGCCAGGUGAGACCGAAGCGCGCGGCGCCGCCGUCCGCGCCGUCAGUCCAGCUCCAGCCCACUCCGCUGUCGUCGUCCGCCGCGUCAGCGAAGCUUCUGGCGUCAUCCGGAAACGCGGUGGGCACGGGCAACUACGUGGUGACCAUCGGGCUCGGCACGCCGGAGGAGCGGCUCACGGUGGUGUUCGACACCGGCAGCGACACGACGUGGGUGCAGUGCCAGCCGUGCGUGGAGUCCUGCUACCCGCAGCAGGAGCCGCUCUUCACACCGGCCAAGUCGUCCACAUACGCCAACAUCUCGUGCUCGUCGUCCUACUGCUCCGACCUCGACAUCCGCGGGCUGCGGCUGUUCUGGCGGCCACUGCCUCUACGGCGUCCGGUACGGCGACAGCUCCUCCACCGUCGGCUUCUACGCCCACGCACCCUCACGCUAGCCUCCGACGCCGUCAAGGUACUUGUUUCUCUUUCUCUAUACGUGCGGGAACCGUAACAGCUGCGGGCUGACGUGUGCAGGCCGAUGGCACGUGCGCGUGUGUGCUGCGUGCAGGAGUUCAGGUUCCGGUGCGGCGAGGACAACCGCGGGCUGUUUGGGCGGUCGGCGGGGCGGAUGGACCUCGGCCGCGGCAAGACGUCGCUGACGGCGCAGGCGCGUGACAAGUACGGCGGCGUGUUCUCGUACUGCCUCCCGGCGGCACAGUCCGGGACCGGGUUCCUGGACCUCGGCCGGCGGCGAACGCGCGCCUGACGCCGAUGCUGACCGACAAGGGCCCCACCUUCUACUACGUGGGGCUGACUGGCAUCAAGGAGGACGGGCGCCCGCUGCCCAUCCCGGAGUCCUUCUUCUUCGCCGCCGGCGCGCUCGUGGACUCCGGCACGGUGAUCACGCGCCUGCCACCCAAGGCGUACUCGCCGCUGCGGUCGGCGUUCGCCAAGGCCAUGGAGGAUCUGGGCUACAAGAAGGCCCCCGGGGUCUCGAUCCUGGACACCUGCUACGACCUCGAGGGGGGCGAGGGCAAGGCGCUCCCCGCGGUGUCGAUGGCGUUCCAGGGCGGCGCGAGCCUGGACGUGGACGCGUCGGGGAUCCUGUACAUGGUGAGCGAGUCGCGGGCGUGCCUGGGGUUCGCGCCCAACAAAGACGACGCCGACAUGGCCAUCAUCGGGAACACGUAUGCAGCCGAAGACGCACGGCGUGCUCUACGAUCUUGGCAACAAGGUCGUCGGCUUCGUCCCCGGAGCUUACUGAUCUGUUGCCAUUCACCACGCUGGUUUACAUAGUACGUAUUUGUUGAAUAACUAGCCGAAAACCCAUGCCGGCAUCGUCACACAACUACAAGCAUCAAGCAUGACGUGACCCAAUAGUAUGUGUGCGCUUGGCUAUGCAAACAAAAAAUAAGAUAGCACCGAGUUGGAUAUGAUCUAGAAGAACGCAAAGAAAUAAAACCAGCAUCGAGCAGACAAUUGUAGCAGCUGGAUGGUUGAUUGCAACAGAAUUUGGGAUGUAGCUAAACCGCCACUUGUUUUCUUGUCUACGGUACAUGUGCAAAGAAAAGCGAUCCUUGUGAGCAGAGGUGGAGCUCGACCAGAGAUACAAAGGACCGAUCCAUGUAAUUAAGCAUUAGGGUGUGUUUGGUUGCAUGCACCACAUGAUGCAUGCAUGGAUGAUCCUGGAUGGGGUGGUUCAACCAAUUUACUUGUACCAUAUGGUUCACUCUAAUUAGUAGAAUAAUGUAUUAAGUGGGAUAGCCUCAUCCUGGAUGAGUUGGUCCAAUUUACCCAACCAAACAAAAGAUUAUUAUUAUUUUGAAUCAUUUCAUACAUGAAUCAAAUGAUAUAACCAACCAAACACACCCUUAAACAUCAAUGUACAGUACCAACUUUACUGUAUAUUUAGGGCAUGGGGGUCAUGGCCCCCUUUAAUUUCCACCCUGCUUGUGAGAAAUGUAAAAAAAAAACAUACGUACUACACAAACCAAUUGAUGACCGUGGACAAUUUGUUGAAAAGGAAUAUAAUUAAACCGGCUACCUGUCAGUUUUGCAAUGAAUAUGAAACCAUCUAGCACCUCUUCUUUAAAUGUGUAGUACUCUCUCCAUCCCAAAUUACAAUUUAUUUUGACCUUUAUAGAUAACAUCACUUUUGCGCCAUGCACCUAUAUAUAUCUAGAUAUAUAGCAAAGUGAUAUAUGUAGAAAAGUUAAAACGAAUUGUAAUUUAGGAUGGAGGGAGUAACUAAGAGGAUGUGGAUGUAUGUAAAAUCUUUUGCUGAGGUACAGAUUGGAUCCUAUCUGGAUAUGCCUAGUAAAUGGCCAUGUGGUAAAAAAAUUUGACACAAUCAACAGCAUCUCUGCUGGAGUAUGUUGGUGUUUGUGGCUAACUAGAAAUGAUAUGAUCUUUCGAAAACAAGCUUGGAGAGAUAUAAAGAUGGUGGUGAGAAAGAUGUGGAGGUGUACAACAACCUGGAAGCCGAUGUUCAAGGGAGCACUGGAGGAGGAUAUAGGCCGAUGGUGCAACUUCCUGGGGGCAGCCCUCUCGACCCCCUUGGAGAUCGACGUUUAAUGAAGAAAUUCAAGUUGGGCACAGGGUGGCUGCAUAUCUGAAAACGAUGCCCUGAUGGAGAGCUACUGAUUUAUCGUAACACGAAUAAAAUCUAGCAUGCAAUUCUCUAACAUACUAGACAAUAGCAAGCACAACUUCAUGAUCUCAAAAAAUAUGCUAAAAUAACAGAUCGGAUUACGGCGUACGUACUUAGCGGGUGCAGCUGUGAUGACAAGCGGUGCUGACGGAACAAUGACGGUGUUGCGGAUGGAGCACAACAAAUGACUUCGAAGAUGAUGGUACGCCGCAACGCCAGACUUGGACGGAGGACGAGCCGUGGUGAAGAUCUUGAGCAGUCGAACGGAGCGCUUCCCAAAAACCUUAUUCGCCUUCUCCCAGUCCAGGAUCACAAGAGCGAGAGGUUCCGAAGACCUGCUCUCCCGUUCGCCGGUGCACGCCUGCGCUCGAGAUGGAGUAGACUACGGUGGCAGCACACCCUAACUCGAUUAGAUGUGUUUUCGAUAGAGGAUGGUAGGUCAUAUAUAUAGGAAAACCCACGAUCUCACGUCACGAUUGUGAUCCAACCGAUUAGGCUUCCAUAUAUCUCACUAACUUAAAGGCCAAGUAAUUAAAAAAUAAAACGAUAAAAGGAAAGCGCACCACCGCAAGGCUGGAGGUCGGAUUUCGGUGGACCAUUCACGCAGGUGUCACACGCCCGCGCCCUUCGCCCCGCCUAGCCCGGCGAGGCGUGGUGUGGUGAGCAAGCGCAUGCGUGUGGAGCUUUCCUUCUCUCCCCACAUAUAUAGGUUGGAGGAGUGGAGACAACCUUCAUAUUUAUGUUGGCCAUCGUUCUCCUCCACUAGUAAUGUAGGACUAAAGGUUUGCACCACUCCAACCACUUGUUCAUGCCCACACGACCUUUGAGAUUUAUUUGGAAUUUCUGAAAUUGCAAUGGGCCAAGCUCAUUAUUUCAUCAAUCCCCCACCAGAUCUCAAAUGUCCAUAAGAGAUUUUGCCUGUUUCUCAUUGCUGUUUAUAUACCAGCGUUUCAGUAAGGACUGUUAAGUUGAGCUCUUACCUAGAGCUUCAAGCUACAUUCAUCCACAACUUGACAAUGGACUAAGCCUUGAAUUGCAAGUUUUGUGCAGAUAAGUUUCACUCAAAGUCGGAACUAAUACCUGGCUACCAGUAGCCUACCCCGCGGGUGGAGCAUAUUCGUCAUACUCCUUGGUCUCUUCAUGAGAUUACUAGAGAUCACCCACGUCUCAUAGACUGUGAUGUUCUACAGUCGGGCUCAUAUAGGUGUGUUCUUUCAAGAAUGCUCUGUAGGACAACAUCUUCGCUUAAUCAAGCUAAUAGAAGAACAUUAAAGCAUAUUGCUAACCUUCCUUACAACAUUUGAGAGUAUUGCAUCUUUACAUAAAGAGGGUUUAAUAAUUACUCUCCUCAGUCAACCGGCAACUUGUUUUUCCCAAAUCCUAAUUCAUGGAUCUUUCUCCCAGAUCUUUCACAUCAAAGUUCUGUGAUAGAAAAGACUUAACCUCAUUGAUCACAUCAAUGUUUGUGCCAAAGAUCAGUAUGUCAUCCACGUACAAGCAUAAAAUAACCCCUUCACCCCCACCAUGGCGAUAGUACACAGAUCUAUCAGCCUCGUUAAUGACAAAAAGCCCGCAGACGUUAAGUUCUGUCAAACUUAUCAUGCCAUUACUUAGGUGCUUGUUUCAGACCAUACAAAGACUUCAACAACUUACACACCUUAUUUUCUUGACCCUUCAGCACAAAUCCGUUAGGAUUAUCCAUAUAGAUCUCAUGAUCCAACUCUCCAUUUAAAAAAGCUAUCUUUACAUCCAUCUGGUAGACGAUAAGACUACGCCCGCACCCUUCGCCCCAGCCCGGCGUGGUGUGGUGUGGCAAGUCAGCGCGCGCGUGUGGAGCUUUCAUUCUCUCCCCACACACAUAGCUUGGAGAAGUGGAGACAACCUCCAUAUUUAUGUUGACCAUCCUUCUCCUGCACUAGCAAUGUGGGACUAAAGGUUUGCGCCACUUCAACCACUUGCUCAUGCACACAUGGACCUUUGAGAUUUAUUUGGAAUUUCUAAAAUUGCAAUAGGCCAAACCCAUUAUUUCAUCAUUUUAUGUUUCCUGUUUUCAUUUUGCCCAUCUCGGACGUUAAUGUAAUGCCUACCGGCAGUGCUCUGCUUGAUGCUGCGGGUAGCCUCACGAACGAGUGCUGAUCCGGUCUGUAAUACGCUUAAACGCUGAACACUGCGCUCUGUUUGCCUUGUUUUUCAUUAUGAAAAAUGGGGCAGGGCUGUUAUGCCUGUCCGCUCUAAAAAACUACACAAACCAACCAUGUGAAAAUAAGCACAAAUAACUUCUUGGGAGCCAGCCGGCACAAUUGCUUCAUCUUUUGACAUGGUUGAAGCGCAGUCGUGUGCUUUGUGUAGCCAUGGAUGUCCCGAUCAAAGGUGCUGAACAAAUGGCAAAAAAGCACAAGCUCGCAUUACUAGGGAUGCAAUGCAAGUGGUGGCUCCAAUUAGGUAGUAGUAAGUCGGCUAGCUAGUUUAUUUUUGUCCCACUUCUCCAAAUCCGGAUUAGUUUAUUUCAAUGAAUUUUGGGUCAUUCGAUCCAAUGACUCGGAGCAAAACAAACUUUGCAUACCUGCACAUUACCAUCAACUGAAGAUGUACACGUUUUCAAUCUCUAUCUAACUAUCUCUAAUAUUAAAGUGCGGUCGUUUUUUCCAACUGUCGGGUAGUUUUGAAAAAAAAUCCUUUAACUUUUUUAAUCAACCCACCGUCCUCUAUCUCUAAUAUUAAAGUGCGGUCAUUUUUUCCAACUGUCGGGUAGUUUUGAAAAAAAAUCCUUUAACUUUUUUAAUCAACCCACUAUCCUUGGAGUUUUGACGAUUUGCAAAAAAAGUACCUUUCUUCCUCGGCUGCGUGCAUUUCAAAAUUGGACAAGGAUGACGAUGAGGUUGUGCCGAGAAGCUCGAGGCGAUGCUGUAGGCGAGGGCUGCUAGGGUAGGCAGAUCCGCCAAAGAGGAGGCCAAGGCGACAUGGGGAGGCCAUCAGGCCAAGCGGUGUUGUAGGCGACGACGCUCAGGGCAAACGGAUCCGGGGAAGAGAAGGCCAAGGUAACGCGGGGAGGUCAGGUGGCGCUGCGGGCGAGGAGCUCGAGUUCCGCCGACCACACGAGGUCCUCUGGCGGGAUGAACUCCCCCAAUCGGGUGAGCUCCAAUGUCAGGACAAAUUCCUUUUGCGAGGCGAGCUCCCUCCGUCCCUCGGCAGCCGCGCUUGUGUCGACGCGAACUGGAAAGGAUAGCGACGCGGCUGGAUAAGAUAAGGCAUGGGUGAAAGAUUUUUACUGCACAGGCGGAAGGAGUUGAGGUGCGACGCAACAUGUAUAAAAAUAUAGGCAUGACGCCAUUAAAAGGAAAAAGAAUAGCAUGGAGUUUCAGUGGAUUAACUGUGUUAAUUCAUCUCUGAACCAAAAGGAUAAGAAUGGACUAAUCUCCCAAUCAAAUACAAAAGUCAGUCAGUGCAAGAAAGUAGUGGCUCUAUUAUUCAAUACCGUUAUGAUAAUAUCUCCCUAAUGACGAGGGAUCGACUCAUGUACCGGUGACUUGAGGAUACAAUAAAGUUAUUUAGAGCUUAAAAAGACAAAAAGACAAUUGUGAGCCGGUCAUGUAUUUUAAUUUUUAUGCCAUGAAAUUCAAAAGCAAAGCAAGACAUACUACCACACGAGAAUAGCAUCGUGUACCACCUAUGCCUACGUGGGUCGGCUAUUAGAAUCAGAAGUAGAUUUUGCGAGCGACACAUGCAGAGAAGAGUUGAUAUGAGUCACCCGCGCAUUGCAUGCUAUUUGGGUUGAACAAUAGGACUACGACGACUACGACUUUUAGAGUAUGACGUUACACAUAGAUAAGCUCGUCGGGCCAGUGACAUGUCACACAAAAUUCUCAUCAAUUUAGACCAGAGACUAAAAUUAGAGAUAAGAUCAUAUGAUAGAUCCUAAAUAGUAUAUAACAUUUACCUGUAAUAACACACGGGCAUAUUUGCUACUUAACACUAAAAUUGCAAGCGUGUGAUUUAGCAAUAUAGGAGAGAGCGGCCAAACGGGAGGAACGGGGAAGAAUAUUUAGGGUGUGUUUGGUUGUAUGCACCACAUGAUGCAUGCAUGGAUGAUCAUGUAUGGUGGGGUUCAACCAAUUUGCUUGUACCAUAUGGUUCCUUCCUACUAGUAGAAUAAUAAAUUAAGUGGGAUGGCUUCAUCAUGAGUUGGUACAAUUCACCCAACCAAAUAAAAUAAUCAUUACUCCCUACGUUCCAAAUGGUAGGUCAUUUUGACUUUUGCAGGUUCAUAGAUAUUAUUAUGCACCUAGAUAUACACUAUAUCUAGAUGCACAGUACUAUCUAUGAACUUAGAAAAGCUAAAACGACCUACGAUUUGGAAUGGAAGGAGUAUUAUUUUGAACCAUUUCAUACAUAAAUCAAACGGUACAAGCAACCAAACACAUCCUUAGUAGACAACGAUAGGUACCCCAUCAUCACAUAUUAAACAUCUUAAAGAUGGUCUUAGCUAAAAUGACACUUACGAUGGGAAGUUUGAUUUCAUAACACUUCCUCAUUUUUAAUAUAAUUUCGUUUUCUUUUCCAUUGAAACUAAUGUUUAGCGUGCCAAAACAGCAAUUUUCUUAGCUUUGACGAGCUCUAAACGAUUCCAGUCAACAGAAUGGACUUGUACUGUUGUACACUUGUACACACAAAGCAUGACGAAAAGAACACCGACUGAAUAACAGAACAAACAGACUGGCCCAAAGAGAGGAGAUUCCGGACAUGCACAAUAAGCGAGGCCCAAUAUCAGCCCAUUCAUUAUCAUCCGCCCGUCUCGAACGAGCGGCUGAGAUCUCCCUCCCUACUGCGAAACCCUAGCCCCCCACACGGCCGCCUCCCUUGUAAACUCCCAUCUCUCGCCUCCCCAGAACACUUGCUCUAUUCCUCGCCCCCCGCCGCCGCCACAAACCAGCGCAUAGCCGUCGCCGGAGGAGGAAGGAGCCACAGCCAGCAGCCAUGGGUCGCGUCCGUACCAAGACCGUGAAGAAGACCUCCAGGCAGGUGAUCGAGAAGUACUACUCCCGCAUGACCCUCGACUUCCACACCAACAAGAAGGUGCUGGAGGAGGUCUCGAUCCUGCCCUCGAAGCGCCUCCGCAACAAGGUGGCCGGCUUCACCACCCACCUGAUGCGCCGCAUCCAGCGCGGCCCGGUCCGCGGCAUCUCGCUCAAGCUGCAGGAGGAGGAGCGCGAGCGCCGCAUGGACUUCGUCCCGGAGAAGUCGGCGCUCGAGGUCGACCAGAUCCGCGUCGACAAGGAGACCAUGGAGAUGCUCGCGGCCCUCGGCAUGGCCGACCUCCCCGGCGUUGAGCUCCAGCCUGAGAACUCCAACGCCCCCGCCUUCGGCCGUCCGCAGUACGGUGGUCCCCGUCGUGACCGCGUCUAGGCUUCCGCGGGUCGCACUGGUUGCCUACAUCUAUGGUGAUCUAUGGUUUACUUCUGUGGCGAUUAAGCUUUGGACCUAUCUUUUAUGUAAAUCGGUCUGGUUGCGUGUGAUGGACAUCAGAUUUAUAUUCUCGCGCUUUUGAAAUCUUAAGCUAUUUUAUAAAGUACAAUGAGACUUGCUACAUUUUAUGCUCUUUGGUUGCUUGUCAGCUUGAAUAUUUUGUUAUGCGCAAUAGAAGUAUAGGUGCUUUUGCCAUGGAAAAUCGUUAUUUUGUAUCUUUUAGAUCUAGAAACACAUUUUGCUGUUGCUGUUAGGCCCAUUUGUUGAGAUUAAAUUUGUUCAAUUUCAGUUGUUCAUUAUACAGAACAUAGAUGUCUAUAUGUAGUUGUUAGCCAGGAUCAUUAGUGAUAUGGAUGGAUGGGUUCUUAUCAAUUCAACAAUACUUGGUAUACAUCUAAAAUGUAAAUUGUCUGUUUUUGUUUACAACAUUAAGCAUGUUAUAGGAACUUCUUACAUUAUGUUCUGGCAAUUGCAUUUUCACUUGCAUCUUUGCCCAAUGGGUGAACUCCAUAUUGUCGGCAAUGUCUUCUUUUUGCUGCUUUGUUUCUUGGAUAGGAUACUUAGUUUGUGUCAAGCUAAUAAUUAAAUUAACUUGUUGGUCAUAAACUCAGUAGUAAGAAUGAAAUCUUCCUGUGGUUGUUUGUUAGUACACCACUAAUUCAAGAGGUACAAUUUUCUUUGCAUACAACAGUGUUGAGUUGGUUUGACAUGCAAAGUUUGCAUGCAGCUAUGCUUUCCUUUGUUCUUUUGUAAUUGUUUUCUAGGAUAUGUACUUGUUUGAAUUAGUCAGUUUAGAAGACAUUGUUGCUUAUUAAUGUGUUGAUGUUACAUUCGCUAGUACAGAAACCUCUGCGGAUAAUUGAUAUUGCAUUGGUAGAAUAUUGCUUAUGUUUUAUGAAUAUUGUUCAUAUUCGAUGCUUUUCAUCCAGAAUUGAAUUUUGUGCUGUCGAUAUUUUUGUUGUGUGGUGUGGGUUGAUGUUCACAGUAGCUGCUGUCAUUAUAAUUAAACUGGAUCCGUUUUCAUUGUUGAUAGUAGCAAUUAAUUCUGUGUAUGUUGCACUUCCUCAAAAAAAUCUGUGUAUAUUGCUGGUGGAAUUAUCCGGUGCCUUUAUUUUCUGUGUAUGUUGCCUUUGCUUGAUGCCAUAUAAUCGCAUGGGGUUAGUUCGACACAGUUUUAUGAACACUGAAAAAUAUUCGGUUUUCCCAAGCAUGUUUUGCAUACAUUAUUGCUUCGAAUUGUUGUGCAAUGACUAGAACAAACUUAACAAAAUUUAUUGUGUUUGCCUUUGAGGAAUCUGUACGUUGAAAUACCAGCUCCUGCUAUAUGUGAUCUAUGUUGAGUAUGAUGUAAAUCUGUGUCUUGGUCUAAGGAGUGAAGAAAUCAUGUUUGUUGCUGGCAUUCCCUUAGAAUUCUGGGGUUUAUUUCUUGCCAGCGACAAUGCUCCCUCGAUUUUGCUCAUUAUAUUGUGACAUGGGCGAUGCUUGUGCGCUGCGUGUUUGUGAUUAGGAACUGGAGCUGGAUCAUUUGGGUCUUGUGUGUAGCUCUUGGAUUCUGCCGAAAUGUAAGCCUAUUUGCAAGUCCGGCAGCAUCAGAAUGUAAGAGUCGAGCUGUGUCUGGCUCUUGUUUGAAUACCUGAAGUUGUAUCCAACCAAUGAGGACCAAUUAUAACGCUAUGAUCAGCAUAGUUUUACCGCGCUACGUGACUCUUAUGGAUGAACUCCGAACUUUACCCACAUGGUUCGUCCGUUCUUUCAUUCUUCUGUGUAGUAACUUUCUGCACUAACCGGUUGCGCAGACCUGUAGAUUGACACAAAGAAAAAACUGGAUCUAUGCCAUUAUAAUUUUCACAUUUCCGAGCCACGCAACUACUGUACAAGUCAACAUAUGUCAUUUUCUACGUCUUUUGGACCAUUGGACCCACGCACAGGUCGCCGUAUUUUUGUAUAGACUAGAAUACCCUCCUACAACUCUAUCUCCAUCUCACUUACGUGUGGGUCCCACGCAUCAUCUCCUUCCUCCCUCCUUCCCACCUCCGCCUCCCUACCACCGGCACACCUCCCCUUUCCCUCUCCUUCUGCACCUGGGCCAUGGAGCCACCGGCGCCGGAGCUCGCGCUCACCCGCGCUGGAGCUCGAGCCCGCGGUGGUGCAUUUGGGCGACGAAGCUUGGCGGCGGCGCUUGACUCCGGCGAGCUCAAGAUGCGGCUUCGGUCCAUGGGUCAAGACAAGGACGGGGUAGAUGGGAGGAAGGAGAGGCGGAGGUCAUGCCAUGCCGCAGCAGGGUGCAGGGAACCCACCAUCCACCGUCCACCAGGCCUCGCCGUGGGUGCCGUUGCCUGGCCGCCGCCGUCCAUCCUCCCAUAGCUGUCGCCUGUCGGACGAAGAUGAUGACAUAUGGGGCCCACACGCCAGCGACCGGGGGGGGGGGGGGGGGGGCGGUCGGUGUGGUGUGUGUUAUUUGGGGCAAUACUGAAGUACUGUGGUCUGCACGUGGGCUCAAAGGUGAUCCGAGCGUAGAAAAUGGCAUGGUUCAAAUUACGCGAGAAUUGUAACGGCGUGAUUCCUAUAUCGCGAACAGUAGUGGCGUGGCUAAAAAAAGUAAAAGUUAUAAUCACGGGCAAGCUAAACUGUGUCAAAACUUCGAGUUAAGAUAGCUUUGUGGUUAGAGUUGGAAAACAAUGUGUUCAUGUUCAGCACAUAGCUUAAAAAAAGGGAUUAUCUCGCAAAAGAAAAAAAAUGGAGAAUGUAUCACACUUCUUUUUCCUUACGGGAAAUCACACACUGUUUUUCAUCAGAAAGCAAACCGGAUACCUCAUACCAACCUUCUGCUCUUUCUAGCGCCCACGGUAGGUUCCACUAGAAUGGUUGCACUUGCACAUUGACAAUUCGAACACAACAUUAAUGUAAACUGGCUUGAAGCUUGUUGGGUUCAGGCGUUCAGCACAAGAUGAAGUGCAAGUGCCACACUGCCACCAUAGGGAUUCAGUUGCAGGAACCUGCUAAUUAAGUGAAUCGGUGAGAAGAAAAACAUCUCAGAGUAGAAGUGAAGAAAGACGUAAGACAAUAAAUUUACUGUGAUUGCUAAUGACUUUAUUGGAAUAAGACCUCUGGCUAUUUGGUAAUCUACUUAUAUCGACAGUUCACUACUAUUUUGGCCGAAGAAACAAACCACAAGAUAUUUUGAGUGAUACUUGAUGCCUGAUUGGUAUGCAUUCCAUGUUCUGUUACGGUACAUACCUGAUACCAGCCAUAUCCACAGCAGUGAAAAAGUGAGCAGUGUAGGAGCUGAGAAGCCACAAAUAUUCUGAUGGAAAAAUGGAUUACUCCUCGUUUCCAGCAGACAGCAGUGUAUGAGCUGAUAUUAGCAUGAUGUAACUUACUCAAAAAUACAAAACAAACAGAAAAACAGAGCAUGCGCUAUGAGGAGUAUAAGGUACAUGUUGCAUGAAAAAUAAAUAAACCACAGGAUAUAAAUUCAAUAGGGAAAGUGGAAACAGGUUGAAUAGUUCUUCACAUACAAGAAAUUAUGUUACAUUCAACCACCUGAAUCAAAAUAUAGAACACAAUUUUUUUGUGAUGUGUGACCAUCAACAUAAUAUGGUGCAAACAUGAGGUAAAGAAUACAAGACAUGUACCUUCUCAUGGCAUAGUUUUUCUCCAUAAAAACUGUUAGAGUAUACGUAUGAGAAUGAGGCCUCGUUUGAUAGGGCUGCGGCUGUGGCUGAAACGGUUGUGGUUGUGGCUUCUUUGGUGAAAUAUUUUUUUUGCUUCGACUUGUCUGGAUGAAAAAACGUUUGGUAAAAUAGCUUCUCCUAACUGUGUAAUAUGGAUAAAAAUGUGAAGUGCUCAUAAUACCCUUUUUUUCCCUUUUCCCCCUUUUCUUCUUAAUUCUUUUUUCCUUCGCUUUUAUUCUCGUCUUAUCCAUUCUCUCUUUCUCCUCCAUGCCUGCCGCCUCGCCUCUGCCGCACUUGGACACCACCUCAGCUCCCGGCCUCCCGCCGCCGGCUCACCCCCGGCCCCCGCCGCCAGCUCACCCCCGCCUCACCCCCGACCCCCGCCGCCAGUUCACCCCCGCCUCACCCCGACCUCCGCCUCCAGCUAUCGGCCUUUCUCUUCUUUUCCUUUUCAUUUGGACAUCUUGCGGCCAGCCCUGCCGUCACGCAUGCUGGUAUCCCGCGGCACGAACCGCCCCACCUCUAGUGGAUCAUCGCCGGACGCCUCCGAUUCUGGACAUAUAGGUUUCGUCGCCAAUCUACAGGUCCGAACUUCAAGAGNNNNNNNNNNNNNNNNNNNNNNNNNNNNNNNNNNNNNNNNNNNNNNNNNNNNNNNNNNNNNNNNNNNNNNNNNNNNNNNNNNNNNNNNNNNNNNNNNNNNNNNNNNNNNNNNNNNNNNNNNNNNNNNNNNNNNNNNNNNNNNNNNNNNNNNNNNNNNNNNNNNNNNNNNNNNNNNNNNNNNNNNNNNNNNNNNNNNNNNNNNNNNNNNNNNNNNNNNNNNNNNNNNNNNNGACCCCCGUCGCCUCAUACCGUCAGCUCCCGUUCUCCUCUCGGCCUCCCACCGCCGGCUCACCCCCAGCCCCUGCCGCCACGCUUGCUGGUCUCCCGCCGCCGAACCGCCCCCACCUCCAGCGGUCCUCGCCGGCCGCCUCCACUCCGGCCAUCUCCGGUUCCGUCGCCCAUCUCCAGCUCCCGACCUUCCACCGCUGCGCCGCCAUGCCUCCCGCUGCCGGCCCACCCUCGCCACCUACCGCGCCUCCGGUCCUCGUCGUCGGCCAGCUCCACCCGAGCUCCACCCGCAGGCCCUUCUCACAAGGGCAAGUGGGGAAACAAGGAGGAGAAGCCGGAGGGAGCCAAUGUUUUUGGCUCCCUCCCCACCGAACGGCUCCAGUCAUCGGGAUUUUAAGGGCUUCUUUCUUGAAGCCGUUUUCCAACCAAUUGUUUGGUAGGGUUUCACCAAAAGUCGAUGGAGAAGCACUUGGAGAAGUCAUACCAAACGGGACCAAACUGUUGGAGGGCUAAUACAUUUGUGUUGAUUUGGAUAUUUUAAUAUUUUAGAUCACGAUCGCUGGGUUCGGCCGGUGGAGAUUGAUUUGUUCGAUCGAUCUCUGAGGGGAUCUGAUUUGUUUGUUUUCCUACCCAGUGGUCCAAAACGAGAUUACCACAUGACGUUUUCUUUCCAAGGGAUUUAGCCAUGUUCCUCAGGUAGUUAUUGUCGAGAGAUGACGCUAGCUUCGCUUUCCAUCCAUUUCCCGACGGGUACACACUGCUACAGCUUGAAUCAGAGCUCCCGCCGGCCUUCACCACGCCGGCUAGGUGCGCUAGCUGAAGGUCUGAUCUACACAACUGAUCAGUGCCAUCUCCAUUGCUUAGCAGUAGUACACACGGCAUGCACAUCCACAUUAUGACUUUCAUCGGGGGAUCAAAGGUGGGGAAGGUGUGAGUUCACACUUCACAGAGAGACAGAUGUGUCAGAGGGAGGAAGCAAAUUACCUAUACAGCAUAUAUGAAGGCUCUCACCACACGUGACACGUGCAGAGAAAAAAUGGCACCGAAAGCAUGUUCGCCUGUUGGCACCGAGUUUCCGAAAAUGGAAAUACAUUUACACGCUGUGAAAAGAGAUUUUAGAUGGGGAAAGCUCGAGUAUUUUCCUGGCUCCCUACACUCGAAUUUUUCCUUCCCCCCAGCUCUCACCUUCUUCUCUAGCUCCGCGUGCCCGAUAAGCUCCGACGGGCUUUUAGGGUUCGGGGUUUUGGGGAGGGGGCGUACCUGUCUCUGGCGAACCUAGAGGGAGCUCCGGGCGGCAAAGUAGCCGGCGGUGGUGGCGGUUCGAGCCAGCGGGGCGGCAAGGCGGCGCGGGCGGCUGGUGGACAGCCGGAUGGACCGUGGAAGCGGCGGCGGCGAGCACCGGCGACAAGUUAGCGCGGGAGUGGGCGGGGGAGCCGCCGGAGACGAGGAAGGAGGGCAGGGCGGGGGCGAGAAGCCAUGAAUAAGCUCGCUGGAGUUGAAAAAUGGGGUGCUGGGGGCAUUUCCCAGGGCGAGGGCUCAUCGACGUUGCUCGCCGGCGUCGGUGGAGGGAGCUAUGGGCGCCGGAAUGUCCGUUUGUCACAGCGGCGGCGCCCCUGUACGUGCGUGCGUGCUUCCGUCAUGAGGAAGACCAUGGGCAGAGCAUGGUAGGGUUAUGAGGUAGGGGAUGGACAUGAGCCGUUGGAUCAGAUGGAUGGAUGGAUGGAUGGAAAUUCGAGUGUGGGCUGGCCCAAUAAUACUCGAGUGGGCCGUAGACAUCCCUUUUUAGAUAGGGGGCUGCACCUUCGUUCCUGGAAGCUUCCCUCCGUCGAUCGGACAUGCGCAUAAACUUUGAAACAUCGCUUAUGGGAACUUGGUGCGCUCAGAUCGAUCUUGCUUGGAACAUGGAGGUUGCGAACUUUUUUUUAUAUUUUUUAGGAUUUUGCAUAAAUAAAUGCAGAAAUAGAUCUAUACCGUCGUACGAGGUUUGGUGGCAGGACGCCUGCCGCGAUCACCAAGCUUAUUUCGCCACUUGAGAUGGCGAUAGGUCAGUAGGUUUGGAGUGGCGGCACUUUCCCAUGUUGUGGUUUAGUCAGGUUUAGCCGGGUUGAGGAUGUUAUAGCUGGUUCAAACGGAACUUCCUACAGUCAUUGAUAUUUUUAAAAGUGAAAUAUGUAGUUCCAUUGCAAUAUGUAACUUCGUAAUUUGAGAGAGGUAGAUUAUUGAAAAUGAUUUAACUCCCGACCAUUAGAUACAUAGUUGUUUCCAGCGAGAUUACAACGGAUGCAAACGAAAUUUCUGCGGAACAUACGAAGAAUAAUGACUCUAGGGUGAACAACUAAUUAUACAUUGCAGUGGUAUAUGCGGCACGGAUGCUAGCCGUUGCUAAACCUAGCAUGCCUUAGGUAAUUGAAAUAGCUGGGGAAAGAGCCAUGUCUACUUCCUAAUAGAACUGGCUCUGCGAGGACUGUGAUGGCCCAGCUCCAUAGUAGCCAGCACCCUAAGAGGAUGGUGGAGAUAGGGGGCGAUCCUUAUUGUGGUGGUAGGGGCACUUGCACUAUGAAUCGGUGCAAAUCAAGAUACCUGCAAUGUCAACCGCCCAAGGAUUCGCGACAAUUUUGGACUGAAGAUCCUCAACCUUACGCUCCAAGUCCAAGAUCUUGCUUCAGGUAGUGUAUGUACUCCUGGGAUGGCUUAGGAAAUGGUGGAUUGACCCAGUUGGCGUAGCAGCAGUUACCUUCAUUGAAAUAGCUUUGAACAUGAUGUUACUUUGAAGGAUGAGAAGUUUAGGAAGAGUAAUGAAGUAAUAACUUUACUCACCAACCUAUACGAGCAUCAAAAGAAACGGCGACUUCCAUCACCGUAGCCGUCAUAGAGCUGGACGACACAAGCCACGCCAUCGUGACACAUUGGCCACGUAUCGUGGAGAUCGUCAUAAGGCCUAAGACAAUUUGGAGGGGCAUAGUUAGCCCUGUCCUCCAGAGGGAACUUGUCGAGGGGUGCCUCGUACUCCGUUGGGCCAAAAGAACCUGACCAAGUGAUGGUUGGAAUAAGAGCACCCCUCCUCUUCCCCUCCUCCCACGACCUCUCCCUCUUGCAGAUGCCAUAGUUUUUACCCGUGCUCAGUGGCGCCAAAGGAUAUGGGAGUGUUACUCGUGCUCAGUUGCGUGGAAGGAUUUGGGAGAGGGGGGUUCAAUAUAAAGAGUGCUGAGAUGAAGACGCGCUGCACCCCCAUGUGUUCAGUACGCCGUCGUGUUCAAUCAUCCUGAGAAAUGGUACAUAUAGCCUUUGCAGGUGCAUGGACGUAGGUGUAAGUGUGGAGUCCCAUCUGCCUAAGAAGGCUUCACAUUCAGGGUCCUUGCAGUCUACAAUAUAGCCUUUUCAGUGAGGGUUCAUGAAAAACGAUGUAUAGUGUAGGCUUUUCAGUGAGGGGUCACGUCAACAGUGAAACCACUAUUUGAAUAGUGUACUUGCCGCAGAGUAGUGUAAUUAAAUAGUGUGGAAUUUGAGUACUCGAUAAAAGAAGAUGAAAUGUUAUAACAGUAUGAGCAACAAUACAAGCAACAGUACAAUGGCAUCCGAGGCGCCCAACAUGACAAAUCUAAAAGAACACCUUUGCUAGAAUAGAAUGCCUUAGGUAAUGUAAAUCGGUAGAGGACAAGUAACGGUCUACUAGGUGAAGUGGUGAAGUUUCCCCUUGCUCAAUGUUGUGGAGGAAGAUUCUACCUCCUGCUGCUUCAUCUUAUUCUGUCGUUCUUCUUCCUGGAGGAGCUGCGUCUGAUGAGUUUUUGUUCACGCCAGAUUUUGACACGUAUGGGAUCGGCAUCAAGGGAAGAAAGGAAUAGCCGAUGCGGCAGAUUAAAAGGUCACAACUGGGAAUCAGCCGAUUGGUGCUACAGUUGGGAAUCGGCCGAUUGGCGCUAUAGUAUUUUGGCGGACGGAGUUGGUAGAGAUCGGCCGAUUGGAAGGCUAGAGCGGUUGGGCCAAUAUGGGCUUAAAGUGGAUCAGACAAAAAAUAAAGGGAAAGUUUGGCACGUGGGGGUAUAAUAACCAACUCCGAUACGAGUUGUGUUUGUAAAUAUUCGUUUUCGUUUAAAACUAGAGAUAGAUCCUAGUCGGUUAGGAAAUUGGUUGUAACAGGCUAUAAAUCGCCAUCUUUAGAGAUUUGUAAAAAACACAUCAAUCAAUACAAACAAUCUACUUUUUCAUUGUACUUUACUUUCAAGGCGGUGACUUUGCCAAUACUUCUUUUUCUUUCACGAGUUCGUACGGGUUGGCAGGACUGCAUCGACACGAUCUCCAGCCGAUUCUGUAAGUUCCGUUUAUCAAAUAAUAUCUAAGCUUUAACUUCAGGCGUAUCGCUGUCGUUUCAUUUGGAUUUAUUCACCAGUUAUCGAUAUUUACUAGAAUUAUAGGUUUUAUCUAUUGUUCUAGUUUUAUCACCAGUUAUCCAGCUUGAGGUUUGAACUAUCGGCUUUAUUAUCGCUAUUCCUGUUCAUCAUUAUAUAGCCGAUUAGAUCUAUUUCAAGUGUUGCAUUUGUAGCGUUAUUUAACCUACUUUGGUAAUUUCUUCAUAAUCGUUACAUGAUUAUCGGCUAUCCUAUAGCUGGUCAUCUUCAUAGCAAAUCGGUCAAUUCGCUGAUACGCUUUUCGAGAUAGAUCGAAACUUCAGCCGAUCGAAACUCCUGGAAUUUAAUACGUUUCUUUCCUUGUCAAUCAACAGGUCAGAUUGACUGGCACGCCGCGCGAACCGCACCAGGGGGAUCACCCGUACAGGAGCUAAGCAGAUUCUCCCGGGUCGUGUGUCCGACGCUGAAGGCCAUCGGCCGAUUUUUAGCGCCAACACACUUUUGGCACGCUCGGUGGGACAACUUCAACACCCAACAUGUAGAAAGCUACCGAAAUCUCCGAAGACAACGUCAUCGAGGUGACGAAAGCAGAUCUCAAGGACGACCAUUAAGAAGAACUGACAAGGCACAUGGAACAAUACAGGAAGACAUGCUUGCAAUCUUUCAGUCGUACUAGAAGCAGGGAGACCGUCAAGAAAGCUUCUUUUCCAACUCCCCGCCAGAUUACCGUUGCUGAGGACUCGGGCAAGAUGUCCGAUAUGAUUCAACAGUCCGUCUAUCAGGCUUUUAUCGACCAAUCCCCGGUGAAGACCAACACGGUGUACAAUGUCGUCAUCAGUUCCCUGGCCAACGGGGUAGCUCAAGGAUAUCAGGGGCCAGCGUACGCCCCACCCAUUGUAACCCCAGUCAGGAGCUUACCAGGCACAUCUCACUCAGCUCAUCAGCCGACACAGACACAACCUGGAGGACACAACACUUCACUGCCUUCGAUGCCUCCAGGGUACAACGGUGCGCCGUGUUUUCAAACACAGGCACCACCUCAGCCUGCCUAGAUUUCCUCUGUGCAAUCAUUGCCCUCGAACUCAGUGCCUUGGGGGGCACCAGUAACGGUGGCUACUCUAGAUCAAUCGGCCGGUAUUGGAGGCUCUCCGAUCCAGGCACCAUUCCAAUCGGCCAUCCUGCCGACGGUCCCACAAUAUCAACCAACCACGUCAGAAAUCGGCCGGGGGGCAGAUGCGAUAGAAGCACUCAGAAGUGCGGCACCUAUGAUGCUGUACAAUGGGACGACCGAUUCUCUACGCCACCAACUGUCAACUGCAUAGCCGGCCACACUGCCGCAGAAUCCACCCCACGCCUUGAUCCAUCACCCGGUCAUCCCACCGCCGAUCCACCAACAUGUGCUGACCCCUCAACCAGUUGUUCAUCAGCAGCAAGUGGAUUGGACAGCAAGGAUAGCGGAGGUAAUUCAAGAUCAAUUCGGGUUGAAGCUGAAGGUACAAACCUACAUGUACAGAACGCCAUACCCACCUGCCUACGAUCUACUGCCGUUUCCCCAUCGGUACAAUGUUCCUAACUUCACCAAGUUUUUGGGACUAGACGACACCUCAACUGUGGAGCACAUAAACAGAUUCACCAUCCAGUGCGGGGAGGCCACCACACAAGAUGCUCUGCGGGUACGUCUGUUCUCGUCGUCUCUGUCCGGGUCGGCUUUCCAAUGGUUCACUAUGCUGCCACCCAAUUCCAUCGUUACUUGGGGCCGAUCUGGAAAAGCAAUUCCACAAGUACUUCUAUGAGGGAGUCCACAAGAUGAAGCUUUCAGAUCUGACCAGCCUCAGGCAGAGGAGCAACGAGCCAGUGACCAAUUAUGUACAGAGGUUCAGAGAGGUCAGAAAAAAGUGCUACACCCUAGUCCUGACCGACGUGCAGCUGGCCGAUAUCGCCUUCCAAGGUCUCCUCCGCAUAUCAAAGAAAAGUACGCUUCCCAGGAGUUCGAAAGCUUGAGUCAGAUCGUUUACCAAUUGGCCGGCCAAGAAGUACGCCCUUUUGAUCAGCGGAGAAAUUUUCAGAAAAAGGUGGCGUACUUGGAGAGAUCUGAAUCUUACGAAGAAGCAAAAAUCGGCCUAGCAGAAUGGGUCAAAGGGAAAAAGCCGAUAUCAUGCCCGUUCGGGAAGAAGGAACCAGAAGCGUUCAGUUUUGACACGUCAAAGGCUGACAAGUUCUUCGAUUUACUUCUCCAAGAGGGGCAGAUCAAGCUCUCACCUUACCACACCAUUCCAUCGGCCGAGCAACUCAAGAAGAUGAAGUAUUGCAAAUGGCACAAUGCCACGUCCCACGACACAAACGAGUGCAAAAUCUUCCGUUAGCAGAUACAGUCGCCAUUGAGCAAGGCAGACUCAAAUUCGAGGUCCCGACGAAACCAGUAAAGUCGAUGAAGAUCGAUCAACACCCUUUUCCCACUAACAUGGUUGACAUAGGAAAGAACGCACUCCAAACCAAGGUGCUGACCUCAGAAUCGGCUAAGAGAAACGGCGCCAUGGACACCAGAAAUCAGGCUACGGUUGAAGAUGUCAAAGGGAAAAGAUGGGUUGAAGAUGAAGGCGAAAGAACGGAAAGACCGUGUAGACCUAUCACCUCCCAAUUCUUGCUCAACAAGUACCAUCGAUAGCAGGAAAGUUCGAGACACCAAGAAGAAAUGAUGCGCUGACACGAAGAUCACUGGCGGUGCCCGUUCUUCAUCCACUGCUGGGAAAAUAACCUCAGGUUGCCAUCGGCCGAUAAUUGCCCGGAGUGCAGCGGUCCAUAUCAUGACAUUCGCCCGUUCAAGAGGUCUCAGCAGAAACUGGCGCGAGCAAGAGGAUUGACGCCUUUCAGUGCGUGAUCGGCUGGGGGGCAGAAUUGACCGGUAUGAUCGGCCAAGGGGCAGGCUUGAACAGUAUGAUCGGCCAGGGGGUAGGAUUGACCAGCACAAGCGACUGGGGGCAGAACCAGCGCAGACGAUCGGCUAGAGGAGGUGGCCGACGCAAAGGUGUCAGAUGAAAACCCCCCUAGGACGGGAACCAGACUGGGAGCGCGCCAGACUGCCGGUCAAACCGGUGAACCCCAGGUGGUGCUUUGCUGGAUUGACCUAAUCCCAAAAAUGAAGGAUCCAACGUCUGCGCCAGUGGGAACAACAAGAAGAAGAGCAGAGGUAGAUGCUGGACAAGAAAGAUGACAGGUCUCGAGUCUGGCGCCCCAAAAGAAACAACAAUGAAGAAGGCGACAAACAGGAAUCGGCAGCUGAUGUCAGCAUGGUGUUCAUCUUGUUGAUGGAGUUCAUGGCUCCCGCCGAUCGAGACGACACGACGAGGAUGGAGGAACAGAUGAUGCAAUUGGCUUUGGAGCCAAUGACAACCACUUUUGAGAAACCCGAAGAUGAAAAACGGCAACACCUCAAGGCCCUAUUCCUCAAAGGACACGUCAACGGUCGACUUGUCACCAGGUUACUAGUAGAUGGAGGCACUGCAGUCAACAUCAUACCGUAUGCCAUGUUCCGGAAGUUGGGCAAAAGCAAUGAGGAUCUGACCAAGACGGACAUGAUGCUCAAAGACUUCGAAGGCAACGUGUCUCCCGCCCGUGGGGUGCUCUGCGUUGACCCUACCAUCGGCAGUAAGACCCUUCCUACUACUUUAUUUAUUAUUAAUAGCAAAGGGUCCUACAACAUGUUGCUCGGUCGCGAUUGGAUGCACGCGAAUUGCUGCGUCCCGUCAACAAUGCACCAAUGCCUCGUACAAUGGGUCGGCGACAACAUCGAGAUAGUCACCGCUGAUUCCGCCUACAGUAUUGCUGCGGCCGAUACACAACUGUGGAGCUGCGAGCACAUCAAGUGCAUAUCCGGUAGAACUUGGGACACCGAUUUUCUCAGAGUGUCCGAUUUUAGACUACAGCCGAUCCGAGCAGUCGGCUCUGAAGAUUUAGAUUAAAUGGAUCAAUUCGUCCGAGAAAAUGGGAAGCUGGGAUACGGGUUUACGUCGGCCGAUUCGUUGGAGAUGGUAGAUUUAGGUGAUGGCACCAAACCAAGGCCGACGUACAUUAGUGCUAACCUGGAUCCCGAGUACAAGUGUAAAUUGACAAAUUUAUUAAAAGAAUUUAAAGAUUGUUUUGCUUGGGAAUACCAUGAGAUGCCUGGCCUAGACCGGUCCAUUGUUGAACACCGGUUGCCUAUAAAACCAGGAUAUCGGCCGUAUCAGCAGCCCGCACGAUGAUGCAAUGCUAAAAUUCUACCUGAUAUAAAGGCCGAGAUUACAAGACUGAUUGAAGCGAAAUUUAUUCGACAGUGCCGUUACGCCGAGUGGAUCUCUAAUAUUGUACCCGUAUACAAGAAAAAUGGAAAGCUGCGCGUAUGCAUUGACUUUAGGAACCUUAAUCAGGCCAUGCCGAUGGAUGGGUAUCCAAUGCCGACAGCUGAUGUAUUGAUAGAUGCCGCCGCGAGACAUAAAGUCAUCAGUUUCAUGGAUGGUAAUGUUGGUUACAAUCAAAUAUUAAUGGCCGAAGAAGAUAUUUUGAAAACAGCUUUCAGGUGUCCGGGCCACCUCGGUUUAUUCGAGUGGGUAGUAAUGACCUUUGGAUUAAAGAACACCGGCGCCACAUAUCAACGGGCCAUGAAUUAAAUAUUUCACAAGCUUAUUGGCGCACUCGUGGAAAUCUACAUCAAUGACGUCGUGGUCAAGUCAAAAGGACAUAAAGAACAUCUGGCCGACUUGCGAGAGGUGUUGGAGUGCACGAGGAAGCAUGGUUUGAAAAUGAACCCGAACAAGUGCACAUUCGGCGUGUCAGCUGGACAAUUCCUAGGAUUCAUGGUACACGUGCAUGGAAUAGAAGUCAAAUGGAAGAUCAUAGCCACCAUCAAUAAGGUUGUAGCCCCACAGAAUAAAAUUGAGCUGCAGUCCCUAAUCGGCAAAGUCAACUUCAUCAGAAGAUUUAUAUCCAAUUUGUCUGGACGUAUUCAAGCUUUCACUCCUUUGUUGAAGUUGAAACCCGAUCAGGAAUUCGUGUGGGGAGAAGAACAGCGAAAAGCGUUGGAAGACAUCAAGCAAUAUAUGAUUUCGCCACCUGUAUUAGUCCCGCCGCAAGCUAACAAGCCGUUCAGACUAUGCUUAUCGGCCGAUGAACGGGCUAUCAGAUCGACACUAGUACAGGAGUUUGAAGGAAAAGAACGGGUAAUAUAUUAUGUUAGCAGAAGACUUCUGAACGUCGAGACAAGAUAUUUCCCGAUAGAACGGCUAUGCCUAUGUCUUUAUUUCUCAUGCACCAAGCUCAGGCACUACCUAUUAUCGGCAGAAUGCAUAGUCGUGUGCAAAGAUGACAUAGUAAAGUACAUGCUGUCGUUGCCAAUUUUGAAAGGACGAAUUGGAAAGUGUAUCCAAGCUCUAUGAGAGUUUGACCUAAGGUACGAAUCGGCCAAAGCUGUUAAAGGUCAAGUCAUGGCCGAUUUCGUAGCUCAGCAUUGUGGACCAGAAGUCGCUGUCGUGGAACCAGUUCCGUGGACUCUAUACUUUGAUGGUUCUUCGUGUGGGGCCGGGUCAGGUAUCGGCAUCGUCCUCAUAUCGUCUCGGGGGGCAAGUUAUGAUUUCUCUCUGCCGAUAGAAGCAUCCGCAACCAAUAACCAGGCGGAAUACCGAGCUGUCCUGAAAGGUAUUCAAUUAUUGGGAGAGAUCAAAGCCGAUGCUGUGGAAAUUUUUGGGGACUCCAUGCUCAUCGUAGACCAAUUAAUGGGGAGAUUUGAAUGUAAAGAUGACAUUUUAAGGAUUUACUACGAAGAUUGCCUCCAGCUUUUAAAAGAAUUCAAGUCCGCGGUUAUUGAGCAUAUUCCCAGAAACUAUAAUGAAGAGGCCAACAGGCUUGCCCAACACGUAUCCGAGUAUCGGUCGAUUCAAGGCGCCAUGACUCUGGAACUCGCGACCGAUGGUUGGCGAAAGGAGAUCGCCGAUUACUUGAAAGAUCCGUCCAAGCAAGUGGAUCGGCGAGUGCGCUUUCAAGCCACAAAGUAUGUGCUACUCGAGGAUGAUGUGUUUUACCGAAUGAUUGAUGGAGUUCUGCUCAAAUGUUUGGGAAUGGAAGAAGCAAAGAUCAUGAUGGGAGAAAUCCACGAAGGUGUGUGCGGAGCUCACCAAUUGGCUCAUAAGAUGAACUGGAUGAUUAGAAAUAACGGGUACUAUUGGCCGAUGAUACUCAAAGACUGCCUUAAGUAUUAUAAAAGGUGUUAGGACUGUCAAAAGUUUGGCAACGUGCAACGUGCGCCAGCAUCGGCUAUGAAUCUGAUAAUCAAACCAUGGCCGUUUAGGGGUUGGGGAAUAGACCUCAUCGAACAAAUUUAUCCUCCAUCAAGCAAGGGACACAAGUUUAUAUUAGUAGCCACUGACUACUUUACCAAAUGGGUGGAGGCAAUUCCGUUGAAGGCCGUAACAUCGGCCGCCAUGGUCUAUUUCGUAAGAGACUACAUUGUUUAUCGGUUCGGUAUCCCUCAAACCAUCACAACUGAUCAAGGAACGAUGUUCACUUUGGGAGAGUUUGAGGAGUUCACUGCCGAUAUGGGAAUUAAGUUGUUGAAUUCUUCUCCGUAUUAUGCUCAAGCUAACGGCCAAGCCGAAUCGUCCAAUAAGGGGAUAAUCAAGUUGAUCAAGAGAAAAAUAGAGGAACAACCUAAAAAGUGGCACUUAUGUUUGACCGAAGCUUUAUGGGCUUACAGGAUGGCCUGUCACGGGGCCACUAAAAUAUCUCCUUAUCAAUUGGUAUAUGGUCACAAGGUGGUAUUGCCUUGGGAAUUAAGGACGGGGUCAAGGCGCACAUCACUUCAAGAUCAGUUGACGGCCGAUGACUAUUCCCUCCUCAUGAAGGGAGAGCUCGACGAUUUGGCAAGUCAGCGAUUAAGGGCCCUGAUCAGCAUUGAAGAAAACAAGAAAAGGGUGGCUAGGUGGUACGAUAAGAAGGUCAAGGUCAAACAAUUCUCCCAAGGAGAUUUGGUAUGAAAGUUGGUGCUGCCGAUAGGGUCUAAGGAUCCCAAGUUCGGGAAAUGGUCGCCCACUUGGGAAGGGCUGUAUAAAAUCGGCCGAUGUGCUCCGGGAAAUGCAUAUAUACUGAAAACUAUCGAAGGAGAGGAAUUCACGAGAGCCUUGAACGGGAGAUAUCUGAAAAGAUACUAUCCUAGUAUAUGGGUGGAUGCGUAACUGAGAAUAGGGUGCGUCAAUAUGACGUGGCCGAAUCUUAUUGGCUCCUGUUGGUAUAGCCGAUGCAAAGAUAAACAUCGCCUUAAGAACGAAACAUUCGCCUGAUCUGGCCAAUUUAUUAUUCGGUACAAAUGACGGGGUACAUGGCCGACACGGUACAAGUCGCCCUUAGAACAAAAAGUACCAACUCAUUUAUUGACCACUCUUUUUCUUAAUCUCCCUCUCGACCCGACCUAAUUCUAUCAAGAGGCGGAUGCUCUUUUCCUCAAGGUCCUCCAUCACGGCUUCGACCUCGAUUUGAUGAGGAAGGGGGUGGCUCCUGUCAAGAGGUGGUCGAGACGUUCCCACUGCGGCAUCUUCAAGGGCGACUGGACGAGGGAGUGGAUGACUCCUUUCAGUUGGCGGCCGCCUGGAGCAAUUGGCGUCGAUAUGGUCCUAGAUCUUCUGGACUUCAAUGGGAACAUGAUCCCUGAGUUCUUCACGAUGGGCCCUGAUUAGAUCUUUGUCCGCCUGCGACAAUGGUUCAUCGGAGUGCAUGAUCUCGAUCGCCCGUUCUAAGUUAGAUCUAAGGCGUCUGGGCUGAAAAAAUCAUCGAACAACUGCUCAUAGAUAGAUUGAUCAAAAUGUUAGACGAGGGAAUAGAGGACGGAGGAAGAUUUCGUACAUGGUUGACGAAGAAGGAAGAGAACGAAGAAGACGAAGAAGACAUCUUGGCGAAUAGUUUGAUGGUAUGAACUACUAGAGGAGGAGAGGACGAGCAAUGCGAAUGCCUUUGGAAACAAUACGUGGCCUCAUACUUAUAGAAGGAAAAGGGGCGAGAGUUUGGUAAGAUGUGUCCUAUCAGAGUAAAAGGGGUAAUAAAUGAAAGGCCGCCACGAAGGACGGUUCAGGAUUGGAUCCACACGUCAAUGGUCAAAAGACAUUAAUGUUUUUACAGAGCGUCUAGUACUUUUGCAGUUCAUCCAAGGAGGGCAUUAAUAGCCACAAUCGCUCGCUGCCUAACCUGAUCGGCCGAGUCUAAAGUCCUCUAGUCGUGAUCAGCUGACCGAGGGACUUCUGGCAUAUGGCGAUGGAGCUUGAUUGCUUCGUGGGCCAGGUUCUGCCUCUCUUGCUUCAGCUCGGCAAUGACAGAUGAGAGGUCUUGAAGUCUCUUCUAUUCGACAGCUAUGGCCUUGGUCACCUGCUCCAUCUCCUUGGCAAGCUCUGCCCUUCACCGUUUAAGGCGAUCUAUAGCACCAACGAUAUCUGGGCAAGAGCUUUCAAGGAAAUUGAUUCGGUGAUGUACCUCUUAAGCUUGAUGCUUGUAAGAGUCUUCCUUCUCGUGGGCUUUUGCUAGUUUGGCGUGAUCGGCCAUGUGGUGCAAGGCCCUGAACACUGGAACCCGCAUUAACUCGAUGUAUGCGGCGGGUGCCAGAGCUUCCUCUGCCUCCUUGGGAACUCGAUCUCUGAUAUCGCUAAAGAGCUACUGAAUCGGCGAGGCGUCUUCCACUAAUCAGCCGAUAUCUUGUUGGAGGAGGAUCCGUAUGCUCUCAAGCUUGGCACGGACGUCGUCGGUGAUUGAGCUCAGUGUGACUUGACGGGAAGCAACCUCCUCAUCAUCGGAAAGUGUGACCGCGAAAGAGAAGAGACUGUUAUUGGGGGCAUCUUGUUCCUGCGAAAGAAUAAAAAAUAAAUACAGAUUAGCCGACGGUAAUGGGAAAUCGGCCGAUUCGGGUGACAAGUCUCUUACCUCUUUGGGACGGAUUUCUUCUGCUUGCGUCUGCGGGAGUGCUACCCUCGACUCGAGAACUGACGUGAUCGGUUCAUCAGAGGAGGAAGAUUCGACGAUUAUUGGUGCCCUGCUCGGGUCGGCCUCCUGGAAAGGUACGAGAAGCGGAUUUUUAUAAGUGUAAUACAAUGAUAAAGGCUGACGGCAUAUGACGACUGUCAUACCUCUGUGGGUUGCUCGGCCGAUGAUUGUUGGAAGGGUACAAUUGAUGUGCCCAGGGUAGCCUGCAUCAAAAUCGGUUAAGCUUUUGGUUAAGUAUCAAAAAAUUGAGUUAAGGGAUUCUCUACCUCGGUAGGAGGAAUUACUGGCGCUCCGAUUUCUGCUUGGGGUGUGGCUAAUUGCUGCGGAGAUUGCACUGGAGCAACUUGCACGGCCUGACAGAAAGAAGAAAUUAAUAUUGACAGAAUACUUAGAAGGAUGUGAAUACGAGGUUACCUGAACAACUUCUACUAGCAAUGAUGCAGCGGCCGCUCCAGCUUUUGUAGCAGCCUGGGGGUCAACUUCUUCAAUGAUCGGAAGAAUCGGCGCAGCCAAAGAUUCAGCCGUUGCCGCCACCGACUGAUCGGCAGAUUCUAUGCGGGCACGCACUCGGCGGCUCGUCUUCUUUGAAGUCUUCUUCAGUGUCUGUUUUGAUCGGCCGGUGGUGAUGUCAUUGAUAGUUGGGGCAUGAUAGCCGAUGAGUGGGAAGUGUGUGUAUGGAUAGCGAUUCUCUAUCAGCCUGCCACUUCGGCUGCGUGUGGGAGGAAGUCGACUCUCGGACUAUAAAAGAAAACAAGAGUUAGUGGCAAAUUUGUAGUAUAAAAAGGAAACGACAUUGAAAUCGGCUGAGGAAAGAGUAGUACCGCUGCAUUAGGGUCAAUGUUGUCAGGGUCCAGAUUGUUGCAGUAUAUCGCAGGAGAUGCACAAAAGAGAUGUUGUUUCCAUUCUGCCCACCAUAGUUUGAAUUGUUGGACAGCAAAAGGUGCCACUAUCCAAUCGGUCAGAUCAAUGGUGCUGGAAUCGGGCACUAAGUCGCAUAGCUGACUAUAGUCGAAGCCCUUAGUAAGCGCAUCUCGAAAUUGUGCACGGCCCGCAAAGUAAACCUGAAUCGGCAGCUGACCAAGGCUGAAUUGCCGUGCCGCGGCUGAAGGAUUGUAAAACUCAUAGGUCGGCGAAUCCUUCCCGGAGAAGAAGUUUGCUGGUAAGAUCCCUGGCUUGAUCAAGGCAUCCGUGAGAUCGUUAUCAAAAUUGUUGGACGUCGAGUCAUAACAGAACAGAAGCUCAAAAAGUGGUUCUGUUCUCUGAUACGGGUACCAGCUGGUGGGUUCUUCACUAAAGCCGUUGUAAAAACAUCUGAAAUACUCAGCUGUUUGGAUGGCGGUGAGCUGGCAACCAGGGAAGGCUGACGCUGCUUCGCCGAAAGAGGUGCAUCGACACCGUACGGUGGGGUUUUCCUCUGACUCAAUAUUGGGGAACAUCAUGAUCUCUAUCCGCUGCUGUGAGAUCUUGCUCAUAUACAAAUUAAGCUAGAGGGUGAUGAACCACCAGGGGCCACCAAGGUUACUAAUCAGCUCCCCCUUGACAGCUUGACGCCGAUGUGGUGCAUCAUAUGGUAGGCCGAUCCCAAUAAGUGUUUUCCUAAAGGAACAUUUGCUCCUCUUGACAGGGCUUCGGCCAGGGCUUGUGUGUUGGAGGAAGGGCCGACUGCCCUACCGCAGAAAAGAUGUUUCUCUAGCCACAUCAUCAAGAAGGCCGUGUAUUCUCUCUCUUGAAUUAUCCCGGUCCUCGUGUUCAUGUUGAUGUACCCCUUCCACCCGUCGAUUCCUUUUAUUUCCAACCGAUGGGUCGGCUUGACCAGAUAAUUGAAGGGAGUAUUGGGGGAAGAAAUGUUAAGGCCGGUCAACAUCACAACAUCGGCCAGGGUUGGGGUCAUGAGUCCAUGUCCAAAAAGAAACACAUUAAGUGCGUCAGACCAGAAAUAAGAAGCUGUUAUCACCAAGGGUUCAUUCUUUUCCAUCUGGGAUAAGGAUAAGUUGAUGCACUGGCUGAUUUUCUUUGCAUCCCAUUGAACUCUCUUGGAGUUGGCCAUUCUUUGGUACCACUCCUUCCAGCUGGCGGUUUCAUUCAGCCAAGAUCUAAAGGUGCCUGACCACUAGUCCAAAUCCAUGGGUGAUUGUUUAAAUGGAAUUCUCUAGGUCUCUAAAUUAAUCAUAUCGGUUGGGUCUGGGUUCCCCAUAGGUCCUAAGCAGAUGAGACUAGGAGCUUCAGAAAGGCGAAUAGUAAUUUGGUGUCUGACUGCCUAAAAAAAGGUAAAAAGUGAAGAACUAAGAAUGGAUCUAAAAAAUGUAUGGGCGGUAAAAAAAAGAGAAGAAGAGUUUCGGAUGCUUACCUCCGGGAUAAAGCUCAUUGUCGCCGAUGGAGUUGCCGACGGAGCCUCUGUCGCCAAUGGAGCUGCUGCCGCCGCUGAUGGAGCUGCUGGCGGAGCCUCUGUUGCUGGAGGAGUUGCUGAUGGUGCUGCCAUUGAGGAGAUGGGGUGGAAUGUAGAUGAAAAGAGGAUCGUCGGAGAAUGCAGUUGGAAGCCAAAAGGGUGUCGAGAGAAGAUGGAAACUGAUGCGCCGGGAAGGAAGUUACUGGGCUUGUGAAGGAGAAGCGGCAGGGCGUGACCAGUAUUUAAAGACGGUCUGAGAGAAGGGGUAAAGGCGAGAUUUUUACCGCGCUGUCUACACGAAUUUUGGGGGAGCGGUUGUCUCAGGCGCCCGUUUCAAAAAGAUUGUAAUCAUCAAGUAGAAGACUGCGAAACGGAAGGAGAUUUUUGCCGCGUUCAUUUCAGAGGAGAAGUUAAAAAAGAAUUUCGAAGUAAAAGUCAUGUUUUACUCCGAAACUGGGGGGCAUGUGUUGACGCCAAGUUUUGACACGUAUGGGAUCGGCGUCAAGGGAAGAAAGGAAUGGUCGAUGCGGCAGAUUAAAAGGUCACGACUGGGAAUCGGCCGAUUGGUGCUACAGUUGGGAAUUGCCCGAUUGGCGCUAUAGUGUUUUGGCGGACGGAGUUGGUACAGAUCGGCCGAUUGGAAGGCUGGAGCGGUUGGGCUAAUAUGGGCUUAAAGUGGAUCAGACAGAGAAUAUAGAGAAAGUUUGGCUCGUGGGGUAUAAUAACAACUCCGAUACGAGUUGUAUUUGUAAAUAUUCAUUUUCAUUUAAAACUAGAGAUAGAUCCUAAUCGGUUAGGAAAUUGGUUGUAACAGGCUAUAAAUAGCCAUCUUUAGAGAUUUGUAAAAAACACAUCAAUCAAUACAAACAAUCUACUUUUUCAUUGUACUUUACUUUCAAGGCGGUGACUUUGCCAAUACUUCUUUUUCUUUCACGAGUUCGUACGGGUUGGUAGGGCUGCAUUGACACGAUCUCCGGCCGAUUCUGUAAGUUCCGUUUAUCGAAUAAUAUCUAAGCUUUAACUUCAGGCGUAUCGCUGUCGUUUCAUUUAGAUUUAUUCACCAGUUAUCGAUAUUUACUAGAAUUAUAGGUUUUAUCUAUUGUUCUAGUUUUAUCACCAGUUAUCCAGCUUGAGGUUUGAACUGUCGGCUUUAUUAUUGCUAUUCCUGUUCAUCAUUACAUAGCCGAUUAGAUCUAUUUCAAGUGUUGCAUUUGUAGCGUUAUUUAACCUACUUUGGUAAUUUCUUCAUAAUCGCUACGUGAUUAUCGGCUGUCCUAUAACUGGUCAUCUUCAUAGCAAAUCGGCCGAUUCGCUAAUACGCUUUUCGAGACAGAUUGGAACUUCAGCCGAUCGAAACCCCUGGAAUUUAAUACAUUUCUUUCCUUGUCAAUCAACAGGUCAGAUUGACUGGCACGCCGUGCGAACCGCACCAGGGCGAUCACCCGAACAGGAGGUAAGCAGAUUCUCCCGGGUCGUGUGUCCGACGCUGAAGGCCAUCGGCUGAUUUUUAGCGCCAGAUUUCAUUGGGGACCCUUUUAUCCCGGUUUGAAACACCAAUCGGGAUAAAAGACCCCCUUUUAUCCCGGUUGGUAUUACAAACCGGGAUAAAAGGCUCUCGACCCUUUUAUCCUGGUUGGCGGUUGGUGUUACCAACCGGGAUAAAAGUGGGGGGUCUUUUAUCCCGGUUGGUGAGCCCCCCCACCAGUGACCGAGCUUUAGUCCCGGUUGGUGAACUUUUUGUCCCAGGCCAACUUUAAACCGGGACAAAAGGGGACGCAUCAAAAGCCAAUUCUCUACUAGUGUUAUGUGCCCUAGGUGAUAAUUUUAACCAAGUUACUUCUUUUCAUAACUUUUUUGCACAAUAAGAAAGUAUUCCACUUCUUUCCAUACAAGUGAAGCAAUUCAUAAAUUAUAUAUCUCCCUUGUUUAGCAGGAGUUCAGUGUAAACCUCUGAGGAACAUGGUGAUUUAGGCAGAUUCGGAUGAAUUUAUUUCACAACGACAUUAGUGGCUUAUAUUUUUGGUGUGUUGGCUAUUUGACUGAUGCGUGAAGGGAGGACGACAUGCCAGAUUGGUGGUUGAAGACCUACAGUGGGCAUGUCAAGAUGCUUUGAGGUUCAUUAUUCCUGGGAGUUAUAAGUCACACGAUUUUUCACGCGAAAUAUGCAGGUGUGCGGUGCGUGGGAUUCAAACCCACGACCUCAAACCUUACGCGUAGCUUCCUUACCAUCUCACCUUCACAGCACAUCUGACGGAGUAGGGGAUGCAACCCUUUUGUAGUAACUCGUGGGGGACCCUUUAGUCCUGGUUGGUAACACCAACUGGGACUAAAGGUCCUUUAGUCCCUGUUGGUAUUUCCAACCGGGACUAAAGCCUGGAGGCUUUAGUCAGGAUUUCUAAUACCAACCGGGACUAAAGGAUCACUAUUACCCCUGGUUGGUGUUACUAGUCGGGACUAAAGGUGUCUCCAAGGACGAAGGAUCAUCUUUAGUCCCGGUUGGUAAUACCAAUGGGGACUAAAACAUCUUCAGUCCCGGGUCAAAAACAACCGAGUUUUUUAUUGAGGAUGGAAGGUUGUUUUUCUCCUAGUGCAAGGCUACCACGUACAACAUGUUUCUCAUAAAAUAAACUACUGUGGCAAUUACUUAUUUGAUUUUAGAUUAGGCAGAUACGGUGGAUCCAAGAUCACACAUUAGGGGGGCUUAUUUCCUCUUAUUCUUCCUCCCUUCCCUUCUUCUUCCUCAAAAUUUGUAGGGGGGCAUUGGGGAGGGGGGGCCUCCGCCGCUGGAUAUGACCAAAGUAUGCACUAUCGAAAAAUGUUUGCACCCAAAAAAUUUUAUCACUGGGUGCGAUGAGUAUUUCAAUUUGGUGACAGUUGAGAAGUUCUAUUUUACACCUAUCAGAAUCAGGUAAUGCCUUCCCUCUCCCGUCAAUAUCAGUUAAUGUUGCUUCGAGUUCAGAACAUCAUAUAACUACUUGACUUAGAAAUAAAUUAGCUAAUUUUAGUUCAAAUUGUAACUAAUCUGUUGGUGCAGUUCGGAGCAUGCCCCGCACACUGUGCUAUCUAUUUUUGAGAGGGUACAUAUAUAGGACGCACACAACCACGCACACCACACUCACACCGCACGCACACACACGCGUGCGUGUCCAUACACACGCUAGAGAAAAGAUUGGAGAGACUACAACCCUUAUUGCACGGGAAACGCCCGCGUGCACAAUAACCUAGGAUUAAAUCCUGCAAGACCAGCAGGAAUUCGUCCCCACUGGGGAUCGAACCCAUGACCUCCCGCUGGAGGCUCCGGUGCUACUGAGGCCUGCUGACAAACUGGUCAAUGCAGACAUAAUGAAAGAAAAGCAGCUCGUGUAAUUGUCUCCCGCUAGGAUAGACAUUAUUUGGCUUAGACCAGAUUGAAUCUAUGUAAGGCAGCAAUUUCUUUUGAUAUAAUGUUAUUGAUUUUUCUAUCUUUCCCAAUCAUAUAUAGAAAGACUGUUUCAUUACAUCAUAAUGAUCACAUGGCACGUGCAACGCGCGUGCAUAGUUACUAGUUGCUCAAAAGGAACACUACCUUAUAAAAAAAUUAGAAAUAAUCUAAAUGAUGCUUUAUAAUGGUAAAAUGUUCAAGCUUCCAGCUCUGCACUGCGAGAGUUAAUUAUUCACGCCUGCAAAGAGAAGACAAGAAAAGCAAGCGUCAGAUCCAUGAGCUGUAUAUAUUGGCGACAUAUUGGUUUCAGCUAUCAACUGAUAAGAAUAAAAGAACACAUCGGGUUUUGGAAGAAAAACAGAAGUCUGUACACCAAAGCACUUAGCAAAGUGAACAAUGGAUAAGCAACUAACCCCUUGACGGAGCUUCCCUUUCACUGGCCACCGAAUCCAUUCGGCAGGGUAUUUCCACCAACGACACAUCAGUCCUUUGUUCCUGUAAUUAAAGCACAUAAGCACAGGCGAAGAAUCAGCUAAUACCUCAGUAGCACAUAAAUAAAACUACAAGAUCAAAUGAGGAACUGUAAAUUCAGACCCAAAAAAUGGCAAGAGAAACAAAGUAGGGAGUAGAGAGACAACUACGACAUACCAGUGCUUACAACUGCAACAGGUAUAGACGUGCUGGAUGAAGCUGCAUGGACCCGGCUCUGUGCCACGUAAGCUGCAUUGAUCCAUGGCUGGCGACCAGGAGCCGCUGCUAAGGUGAUAUUGCACAAGCUGAUGUUCCCUUGGAUGGAAGUACAUGAUAGUGCCACCUACAAGGGUAGGCAAUGCCUUGGCAGAGGCACUAAGAUUCCUCCGAUGUAAGAAAAUGGCCUUAUCUCCUAUGCUUGUCACCGGGGUAUACUUUUCCAUGACAAGAUCUGCGAGCUUGUAAACUAGCAAUUUGGAAGCGAGAUCCUUACUAUGGCCUAUCACCAGGACCUCCGAGUCGCACUCCACCAAGAAGACAGGCACACGUAGUUUAUCUGCAGUACACUUGACGAUCAGCUUCGGUGGCUGUAGCACUUCACCUGGUAAGGGUGUGUCUAUUUGGAAAAUCUUUGCUGAAUGAUCAAACUCCAGAUUAUACACCACGUAAAUCUUGCUCUGGUACGGGAAGGGUGCAAAAUUUAUGACAUAGUUCCAGGUGGACAUAGUCCAUUGGUGAUCCUGUGAGGUAGCAACGGCCACACGACGUGUCGUACGGAGCGCAAGCAUCACGGUGACGACACCAUCAUCAGCGAAGGUAGCAGCAGUAGAGAUGGAUCUGAGAUACGGAAGCUUCUUUCGCGAGGAUAAAUGUGGGAAUACCUCGUGCAUCUGCGGGAGGAGAGUCUUGAGUGGUGGCAGGUCAAGAAUGUCGCCGGUGAAAGGGUGGAGCAGGCGGAUGGCGGUGUCGUCGUCCCGCUGCAGGACGAGGAGGCCGUUGAAAGAAUCUAGAACGCAGUGGUCCUCGAACAGCGGCAUGUGGACGCGGACGAAGGCUCCCGUGUCGAGGUUGAAGAAGCGGACGUAGCCCUGCAGCUUUGGGUGGCCGGGGUAGAGGCCGCCGCCCUCGGAAAGCAUCAUCCAGCGGCGCGGGUGGAAGCGUGGGUCGACGACCCCGCGGCCGCGCGGGGAGGCCGUGCUGGAUCGCCAUGGGGCACAAACGGCGCGGAAGCGGACGUAAUCCAGCAGAUCGCCGGCAAGCAAGCGCGACGCUACCAGGCGAACCAGAUCCUCCGGCAGAGACGACGCCCAGGGGGACGCCGCAGACAUAUCGGGGGAGAGUGUUGCCGUCGUUGGCAAAGGUGCGGCCAUCCUUGAAUCGCCGUACGUCCUGAUCCAGCAAACAAGCGAGAGUAUGUGCGCAGUUGUGGGAUUGAUCAGUGGCCGGCGGGCGAGAUGGCACAAAACUCGAUCGCUCGUAGGCGAGGCCAAGAACUCACGGUUGUAGGCGAGGUCGAUGGAGGCUAACGCGCGGAACGCUAUAUGCAUGACGCGCCCGCUAGGAGCCGGUGGCCAUCCGACUCGUACCAGGCUGCAACUUCGGACUCCGACCUCGAAAUGGAAUUUCUUUUCGGUGCCGCGGACUGGCCGUAGUCGACACGAAGAGCGUGACACUCGUGUUGGUUUAUGAAGCAAAGAAGGAGAUUAUAUAUAUUGUCUUUAUUUUUUUUCGAAUCAUAUGUUGUCUUUUUUAUUGUUAAAUUAUAUAGAUGGACUACACCAAAGAGCACUACUAUCCUAUGCAACAUCAGGCUUCGUGCUGCCGUUUUAAGUAAAAUGUCAACAGCUCCAUGGCUCAACGCAUUCCAGUGAAAGGAGGAAGCCGCCAUCCUAGCUAGCGGCUUGGGAUCACACGGUGGCGAGUCGUCCUGCAUGCCUGCAUGCGGCACAUGCCUGCAAUGCGGCACAUUGGAGUGACUAGCUAGCUCACUUUAUUUUGUUUGCAAUGCAUGCCUGCAUGCGGCACAUGCCACCAACCUACCACCCCGAAACGCUAAAGCCAUGAGACGCAUGAAGAAAACGUCCGUUGGGGCAGAAACGCGGCCAUCCGCGGUGCCCUGCUGCCACAAAUUUUUCAUCCCUCAUUGGAUAAAAAGGGAUGCAGCUUUGCACCUUUCAGCUGGGAACAUUAGUACCAAUGGGUGCCACGAGAGUUGUUUUGGCUAUUGUGGUGCUUGUACUCAACGUAGCAGCAGGAUCGGGAGCAGGAGAAGAAGAGUAAGUAGUAAUUUCUCCCAAGACGUGCUUUGUUUCCGUGACUGAAUUGUUGCUUAAUUGCCUUCUUGUUGCAUAUGCAGGUGGUACGAGCCAUGUUCGACCGCAAGUUUCCAUCUUGAUACCCACGGGUACAUGUCGGUCUUCGGGACAAUGAAGACUUGGAUCUUUGACCACCGCGACAAGGACCCGAUCGAUUUAGCGGAAUACGAGAACCCAAAGCUCACUGUUCAAGACCUCAAGAACAAGCCUCUUCACUGGUUCAUACCUCUCCUAAUGGGCGAGGGGACUGAAAGCACCAAUUUAGCUUUUCGAAGCGAUAAUUUGUAUUUAUCUGGCUUCACCAACCGGAAAGGUGAGUGGUUCAGUUUCCAAGUAGAUG
rnacentral:lncRNA from 1 species